rnacentral:lncRNA from 1 species
GCUAUUAUUUUUUUUCUCCUUUCUUUUUCUCUUUUCUUUCUUUUUUCUUUCCUUCUUUCUUUUCUUUCUUUUCUUUCCCUUUUCUCCCUCUUCUUCCCCGCUUCCCCUUUUCUCCUUUUCCUUUCUUCUUCGGCCGACACCUUCCUCCAUCGCCGCCGCCCAUCCUAUCUCCCUCUCUCCUCGUCACCAGCUCUCCUUCGCACACUGCCACCUUGGACCCCUCCGUCUCGAGCUAUCAGGCGCUGUCCACCACUGCUGCUUAGCUCACCUCGCACCACCGCACGCCGCGAGCCACGACGGUCUUUCCCUCACGCACGACUUCAGCUUCAACUCCUCGAGCACCGUUAGCUCGCGCCACCACUCCAAGCUCCAAUCUCCAAUCUCCAAGCUCCCUCUCACCCACCGCACUUGCCCACCCUGGUGCCAGGUUUUUCAUUUAUUUGGUGGAACCCGUUAUUUCGAUUACUUGCUAUUGAUGAGGUUUGACUGAUAUUGGGGUGUUGUUCAGUGUUGUUUGGAUUUCUUAGUGGGUUGGGUUAGCCUAUUUGAAUUGGUAUUUGAGGGGACCUCUGACCGUAUUCUCCUCAUUCAAAUUGCUUGAAUCCAUUGCUUUGUUGAGGUCGUCUAUGGUAGCACUUGAGCUCUAUUUUGUUGCUUUCUGUCUUGAGACCAUUGCUGUGCCUUUGGUCGGGUUACUUCUGUUAUUGCUCUUAGUUGCUUUUAAUUGACUUGUUGGGGGCGUUUGCCACAAUUUAGGAUGCGCGUUUUGCGGCCAAUUACACCUUUGGAGGCAUUUACUGAGAAUUUGUGUGGAAAGGUUUGGUAUUUGUCUGCAUUUGCGGACAUCAUUGCUUAUUGAAUUGCUUUUGCUGGUGCUUACAAUAGUAGGGCUUCCUGUGAUUAUUGAUUAUUUUGUUGCAUUGUUGGGAGCCGUGUUCUGAUAGUGUGGGCAACUACUUUCUGCGGUUGUUUGUUGAUUUGGGAAGCUACUGUGACACUUCCGUUGCCUAUUGCUCAUUUGUUGCAUGUAAUUGACUUGCUUGGAGUAAUCUGCCCAUCAAUUUUAAUUACUCAAGUCUUUGGAGCAGUUGUUGCACAUUCGGAUUGCUUUGUUUCUACAUCUGACUGAAUUGGGACCACAAGUGCUUAUCAAUUGCAUUUGCUAUAAGUGUUGGGGUAUUUGUAUGUCCUCUGGGUGAUUGAAUUGUGCAUUUUGUUCGUUGGGUUGGCUUUAAAAUUGUUAUUGUUUUGAAUUUUCGGCUUCCAUUAUUUGUUGGCAAUUGUAGUCUCUUGUUGCUUAAAGUGAUAUCUAGAGUCCAUGGUGAAGCCACGAAUGGCACCAGCUCCAGAUGCGAGUUGAUCCACAAUUUCCACCUGAACCGCCCCUAUUUUGAUGACUUCAGGGAAGUACCGUUGCCCCUCUCCUUCCUUCUGCUUUUACAUUAUCACAUUAAGGGCAAUGUUUGAAUUAGGUGUGGGGGGGGGGAUCGUUGUGGUGCUAGUAUUUUUGUUUUUAGUUUCUAGGGGCUUUUCCUUUAUUUUUAGUUAGUUUUUACCUAUCUUUCAUUUAUUUUCUUUUCUUUUUCUUUCUAGUGAUCAGUUUUUAUAUGAAUACCAAGUUUUGAUGCUGGAUUGUUGUCUCUAAUUCUGCUAUUGCCAAGUUUUAGUAAUAAAAGGGUAUCAAGUUGAUGUGGUUGAGUUCAGGAACAUCUCUUUGGUGAAUAUCAAUAAUUGCUUAACUUUUCCAAUUUUUGGUUAACUUUUCUAGGUAUAGGGAAUGAUUAUUGGCAUUUUUCAUGUGAAUUGGUCCAAUUAUUAAUUUUAGUUCUCAAUUUUUGGAAAUUUGAGGCUGGCUGCUGUUAUUUUUGUGUUAUUUUUAGUUAUUGUGCUAUAUGGUUGUAAAUAAGAGUUGACUGUACUCCGCUAGUUAUUACUACUGGGUAACCAGGGAUCUUCACCUAAAGUGUCGAUUCUCGCGUCAAAAGGUAAUAAUUACUAUGAGUGCGUGGUCGCAUAGCGAUCGAAGCUGAGUAACCGGGCUCCUCCAUCUGGCAAAUGUUGGAGUUCGCGUCAAAAGGCUCUAAUGGCUAGAGAUUAAGUCUUUUGCUAUUCUGAAAAAAAAAGAAAAAAAAAGGAGAAAAAUAGAAAAACGUGAUAAAAAGGGUGAGGGUUGUGUAAGUGUGUGUCUAAAGUUAGCCGUCUGAUCUAUGGAUUUUAUGUUGAGAAUUUGGUUAAUAGUUGGACCAUUUGCUGAUAAAUGUUGAUCGACCAUUUUUUUUUCUUAGAAUAGUUACCCAUAAAUUAGAAGAGUCUGCGGUUUGGAAACUAACCGAGGUGAUGUCUCUUGGAUUUUGACAAUUGAUGCUUGAUAUGUGUUUUCAUGGUAUCUUGGCAAUAUGGUAGUUGGAGCAAUGGCCAUUGUCGAAUUUUUGGUGUUCAAUUGUUGUUCCCAUACUUGAGGGCGAUUCAGGUGUGGGGGAAAUUGAUAGGGUAUUAUUUGUUAGCAAUUUUAUUACUAAUUUUUCCUUUUAUUCCUGCCAAAUAUUGUUUUAAUUGUUAAUAUUUACUUAUAUUUGGUAUUUGAAUUUAAUUUCAGGAAAUGAGGCAGAAAACUACAAAAAGGAGGGACUUAUUCCAUAAGUUGGAGACUUCAAAAAAAUCUCCAUCGACCUGGCCCACAAGGAGAGAACAAAACUAAUUUCCUACCUUUGUGCUGACGAGGAGAACUCAUACGAGAAGUCCUACUAUCAAUAGAACACAAUAAGCAAUUCGGCAGGCCCCACCUCUUUGUAUCUUUUUUCUCUUAGUCGGCUGGCUUUUCUUCUAGAGUUGGACUCUCAAUUUCUGCGGGGACCACGGGACUAGAUAGCAUUAGUCAUCUUUGGCUUUAAAAAAGAAACGGACGUCCAAAGAACUCUUAUCAAGAGUUUUUAGCUUAGCUUUUAGCAGAGUUUUAGUUUGAUUCUUCCUUGGUUCCUUUGAUAGCCUGGACCUCAAUUAAAUUACGUGGAGAUUUUCUCAUGAGGCGUGGCUAAGUUCAUCUAGUCGAAGGUCAAUUUGAAAACUCGGUUCCGAACAUCUGUGAGAUCUAAUUAUUUUACUUAUUUCUUUUAUUUAUUGGUAUUUGUGCGUUUCCUGAUUUAAUUGCUUAUGCUUGUUAUGUUAUUUGAAUGUCAAGGGCCCGAUAUUCGAAUUAACUUAAUGAUCUAAUGCCAAAUUAAUUGAUUGAAUCCGUAAUUGUUCAAUUGAUUAAUACCAGUGGCGACUAGCGUGAUUGGUUUCAUGUUAGGGAAACGUAUGAUCUAACUUAAACAAACCCUCGUAGCGUGUUUGUUGGUUAGGGUUGGGCUUUUCUAAUUAUUAAUACAAUCGAGUAAUUAAAUCCUAUGGUCGUACCUAGAGUUAUUACUUGGUUAGGGAAAUAGUUAACGGUCGUACCUUAACUAUCGAGAAAUUAAGGAAAGGCUGGUUGUUCAUCGCGUGUAUGACAAUUAUAACCAAUCUAUUAAUGAAUAAUUGAAUUACCUUUGUAUCGAUGAUCAGUUGCAUGGACCGUGUCUGAAAAGUUGUACCUUUGGCUAGAGUCAUAUUGGUUAUUGAUUAAUUUCUAUUUAUUUCUAUUAGUUGUUUUAUUAGUUAGUUAAUUAGUUAUUUUAUAUUCUCCAAAAAUCCUCGAUACUUCGGACUUUAAAAGAAAUAAGUUAUCCCCAAUCCCUGUGGAUUCGACCCUACUCACCGCUAUAUACAGAAUCUGUAUUUUUUUCUCGAGUAGGUAAUUAUUAUUGCACAGGCUCGACACCCUGUCAAUUUUUCACAUGACCUAUGAUCAUUUUUUAGGAGCAAAAAAAUUAGAUUUCAUUUGUAAUUAAACAAAUGACGAUCCAUUUUUACUUUUACCUCUAAAAAAAUAGAAUCUAACCUAAACCAUAUCUAUUUUUAUCCAAAAAAGAUGGGAUCCAAUCUAAUUGAUAGGGAUAACUUGUAGUGCAUUUAUAGGUUUAAAUUUCUUGUUAACCAUGUUAUUUGAGCUUUAUCUUAAACAGAAACUACUUAAUUUUGCUCUUAUAUUAUUCUAAUAGGUGAAAAACUCAAUUAGAGAGAAAAUGGACUGAAAACGUGGCGUGAAGAAGCAAUGGAAGAGGAAAAAGUCAAGAGGAAUGGGUUUGGCAAAAUUGACAUGUUUCAAUAUUUUGGCAGUAACUUGAGUUACACAAAUUGGAUUGAGAUUAUUCUUGAUUCAAUUCGAAUCUAAGAGAAUACUCUACAACUUUUGUGAAAACAUCAAAGUCCAGUUCUUAAGUUUUCAUAGUCAAAAGUGCAAAUUACUGAAAUAUAGUUGUGCUGCGAUGCUCUUAGGAUCAGGUCUCAGUAUUUUAGGCAUAUCUCAAUGUCCAGACUUCCAAAUUACUUGAUUCUUACGGUAUUCAAAGGGCUACAACUUUUGUGUUUUGAGCAAGAAUUGAUUCAGCCUAUUUGAUGGAGUUUUAGGGCUUCAAAAAGGAUCCACGCGCGGAGCCGUAAUGAUCCGCGGACGGAUCCAUGUUCCGCGCCGAACAUCUCCAGAUUCUUUGGCUUAGCCCAAUGACCGGCACUGGACAUUAAGCCGGUCUUCAUCGGAAAAAUGGGUGGAAACGCGAUUUUUAAACUCCAAUAAAGCCUAUUCCUACCCUGUUUAGGAUAUAUUUUCAAGAAACUAUAAAUAGGGGUUCUUUAGGUCAUUUUAAGGUGGAAAAUAUUAGUCUAGCCUAGUUUUAACAUCUUUUCAUAGUUUACUCUUGAUAGAUCAAGAUCAAAUGAAGGCGAUUCAAGAAGCAUGCAAGGAGAAGAUCGGAGCAAGCAACUAAAAAGUUUUCUUACUCCUUUUUUUUUUUUAUCUUUGUAGCAACUCUUUGAAUUCAUGGUUUUUAUUUCUAAAUCAUGUUGAACUAAAUUAUUUCUAGAGUUAAGAUUUUUAUGAAGGAAUUAGAUCAAUUCUUCUAGUUUAAUUUCUUGCAUUUUGCUGUGAUUUAUCUAUCUUGAUUUAAUUAUAUGUUUGUUAUUGGCUACCAUAGACAUGCUCUUAUGGUCUGUAUUGAAUUGAGAAAGGAAAUACAACCGCGCACUAGGUAGAUAAACAUAGUUAACCUAUUCACGAGAAUAUAUUAGAAUUUGUAUGACACACUUAUAUCACCGAAGUUCUUAAAGGGUUUAAUUUUUUUUUUCUUAAAGGGUUCUUAAAGGGUUUAAUUGAAUACUUGCGAUCUCGAGAGAGACAUAAGAUUUAAUUAGACACACUUUAAAUGUAUCGAAAGAUAAUCUAAAAUAUAAUUGUGUGAUGCAUUCAUGGUUUAUUGAGAAAUUAACUAGAUAAUUGAUUCAAAUUCUGAAUUAAAACCUAAAACACUAGACUCGCGUCUAUUGUUUUCUCACCACUAUUCUAUUUGAAUUGAUUAUUCCUUUAUUGUUCAGUUAGAAAAAAAUCACACUUUGAAUUUACAUUUUGUUAUUUUGGAAUAAUUAAAGUAGAAAAUUAACUCGUUUCUAUGGGUUUAACCUUAGAAUACUCCAAGCAAAUUAUUACUACGAUCAAUCCUGUGCGCUUGCAGGAAAUCGUCAAUCACUAAUCUAUAUUCAUUUUUGGUCACUACAAAAGUGGAAUUUGAUCUUUUCAUAUAUAAAAAAAUAACUGCAUGUGUAUCACGUGGUGAUUUUAAACUAAAAAGUGAUCGUAAAAUUAGGUAGGAACCAAAUUUUAUUAAUUUGAAUUUGUAAGAAGUGUAAAGUUAACAUUUUAAAAGUGAGAAAUGACAAAAUUAAUUUGAUGAGAAGUGAGGGAUGAAAAUAUUUAUUUGAUGAAAAGUAAGGGACGUUUUAAAUGAUUUUUCCUUGAUUAUGAUUAUUGAAUAGCUAUCCACCAAUGACUAUUAAAAAAAUCCAAGCUCACUAUUUUCUUUCGUUCCUUGGAAAUUUUGAUCAUAUGUUCUACUACAUCAGUUAAUUAAUUCUGUAUUGGUUUAUUCUUAGUCGGUCAAAGCAUUUUUUCUGAAUUUUUUUUUUAUUUUUAUGCAGAUAACAGUACUUUUUUUUUUCAUUGUUUAAGCUCCUUUUCAACUAGCUCAAGUUGAUUCCUUGAACUUCCAAAGGACCCGAUGAAAAUGAACAGAACAUUGAACAGGGGUGAUAUAUGGUAAAAUGAUUCAUUCAUAUCGUUCAUUGUGCAAGUUCUGAAGUUGCAGCCAUGUAGAUAACGGAUUGGGGAAGAUGACAAGCCUUGUGAUUUGCACUUUGACUGAUUAGAUUUUUGGUCAUUAUUAUUUUGCUCCUUGUGUUUUGGCUCACUUUUAAACUUUAGCUCACAUGUUAUCUAAAUUGUGAUUAUCCUGAAAAAAAACAUUUUUUAUUUUUUAUUUUACCAUCUUUAUAUAGCACUACUACGUGCAGUAAUAUUUAAAUAUGGACUUUAAUAUUUUAAAUGUCAUAGUCCUUUAUCAUGAACUUUUACCAUGUUUUUCAUAACUAUUAUUACCACUAUAUAGUUUAUCUACGAUUUUAUUAUAUUUAUUUGUAUUUUAAUAAUAUUUUUUUUGUAAUUUUUAUAUUUUUUAUACAUUAAAAAUUUAAAUUUUGUGAGGCUUGUGCCCCACAUCUUGAGGCUUUCACCCCAUUUGUGUGAAAACAAAGUGUUUUACUUAACACCUUUACUUUUUAAAACACUGCUGCUGACCGAAUGCGUUAGAAGCUAAAUACUAAACUACUCUCACAGUACAAGUCCAAUUUGAACCAUACCUUUUUUUUUUUUUUUUUGGUUCUUGAGGGAUUUGAAUCUUGACUUGGUUCUGAGUCUUUGUAUUUUUUUCCAUUUUCCCGCCUACUCUUCUCUUGCUAUUUGUUUUGUAAGAAAAAAAGAUAUUUUUCUUGUUAGCCUACAUUGGUUUGAUGGUAACAUGAAAAUGAAGGGAGAAUACAUUUUCUUUCAUUAUUUGUGCAUGAAAAUACAAGAAAAUAUGUAACAAAUUAAAUUCAAGAAAACACAUGUCCGUCGUAUAGGAUUUGCCUAGUGCGUCUUACCCCUUCGUGUGGUUGGCGGUCUAUUGAAUAGGAUGGACUUUAUCUAGUGAGCACUCUUGAAUAGCAGUUACAAGUUCCCUUGUCAAAAAAAAAAAAAAAAAAAUGUUCUGCCGACCUGAAUGUGGCCUUUCAUGAUCCAUAUCAAAGUUCCAAAAGUAGAUUUCUUUUUUUUUUUUUGCUUUUUUCUUCCUUAAGGGAGUCCAAUCUAGACUUUUGAUGUUCUUUUUUAAGCAGUCCAACAUAGAUUUAUGAAUCGAGAUUUUAACCCCAAAAAGAGAAAAUUUAAAAAAAAAGGAAAAUAUUCAAGUGUAGUCAGUUACUGGGUCUACUGAUACGCAUGUUAUAUUGUAAAUUCAGAGUCACAUCAUUAUUGUGAUGCAUGAUGAAGUAAAAGUAGUUAUAACAAAUUAUCUUUUUUUUUAAAAAAACCUUUUCUGAGGAUAAUUGGGCUCCUUUCACAGUACAAAUCUAAUUUGAACUUCUUUUGUUUUUCUUUUUUUUUUUCUUUUAAGGCAGUCCAGCAAAGACUUAUGAAUGGGCAUUUUAGCCCCAAAAUGGGAAAAAAGGGAAAAAGAUUGACAUGAAUUAAAUUAAUAUAUGUAUGUUUUGAGAGCCAUAACAUUGGUUGUGAUCUGCUUCUUAAUUGGUUCGUGGGGGCUUAUAAAAAAUCCGAGUCCAGAUAUAGAAUUUCAAAAAAUUUCUACUAAUUUAUCAAUAUGCCCCUAUUGAUUGAGACAAUUGUAGAUUCCAGGGGUUGGUUGUACAAAAUUUUUUACUUUACUUUGAUUAUUGGUGGAAAUUAAUUUAAUAUAAUAUGUGAUAUGAGUAACUUGAUAAUAAUUUUUAAUAAAAAUAAUAAUAAACAUAAUUCAUUAAUACCUUGCCUCUCAAGGUACAUAAUUAAUUAUCGUUAUGCUGGCUCGAAUGCUUCCUAGUUACAAUGUCAUAUGAAAAUCAGAGAUUGGAAAACCCAAAUACGUACACAGUGGUACACAUCAAAUGCAGAAAGUGUGGCCUGCUCAAAAGUUCCAAUUCGUUAUUACAACUUUAAUUGAGAUUGAUCAACCAACCUGCUCCAUUUCUAGAUCAGCUAUAGAUUCACAGAAGGGAUAAUUUCAGAAACCUCCCUGGAGGUUUACAACAAUUUCAUUCAGCUCCCUCAAAGUUUUAAAAUUACACAUACCUCCCUUAUCAUAUGAAUUGACAAUAUUGCCCUUAAAUAUUUUAAUGAAAUUCCCUUGUUUUGUCUGUUUAUACUUAAAAUGAUUUUUAAAAUUAUUUCUUUCAUUCUUUUUCCUUCUUAUUCCUUUUUUUUUUAUUUUUUGCCAAUAAAACUAUAGAACUACCACUAUUAGUUCUAGUUUCUAUUGUAAUUAAAUGUCGAACUAUUGAUUUUUUUUUUUAUAAGUUAACUUUAUAUGCAAUCCAAUGUUUUUGUUGAUCACUGUUUUCUAUUUUUUGGUAUUAAAAUUAACAUUAAAUAAAAAGAAAUGGCCCAAAAUCACUACUAAAUUAUGAUAAUUCUACUACUCAAAAAAUUCAUAAACUCUAAAUGAAUUAUUUCCACAUUUUCUUUUAUAUCUUAUAUAUCUAUCAAAAGUAUACUAUCAUAAUGAUAAAAUUAUUAUUAUAGCUGUUUAUCAAAUAGUAGGUAUGGACAUAAAAAUUUUGGCACAUUUUCCUUAUAAUUAUACUAGAUAAUCUUAUAAUUGUAUAAGGAAGUAAAUUAAAACUCAUUAUACAAGGGCAUUUUUGGGUAUUCAUUUAAAAUUUUGAACAAGUCAAUACUAUUUUAAGAUUUUGUUACUAAAACUAUCAAAUCAAAGGAGGUAGGUGUAAUUUUUCAAAUCUCAGAAGAGGUCAAUGAAAUUUUCAAAAAUCUCAGGGGAUGUUUUUGAAAUUAUCCCUUCACGGAAAGGUUCAAUUGAAUCAUCAGAAGAACAACAACUGCUUCUUUGCACCUAUACAGUUGAAUCUUGAGGAUAAAAUACUGGUUUGGGAGGCAAUUAAAAACCCACGUCAAGAUCACCUUCUGGCAUUGCUAAGACUUCUCUCCUUGAUGGACGAUCAGUUGGUGUCAUCUGUAUUGCUCCACUAUUGUGGCAUUUGAUUGUAAUCAUGUACAGAUGUACUCUUAUGGGGAAAAAAGAGGUAAAUGAUUCUUUGUAACCAAAGACAAAAGAUGGAAAAUUUCGAAUCAAUUGUCUUACAGAUGUUUGAUAGAAGUGUGGUUAUUAAACAAUCUUUCAUUAUCAUCUACAGAUAUCACAUAUGAAUAUGUUAACUUAGCAUUUUGAUACAUCAAGAUCAGUUCUUAAUUAGUCAAGUCGUCACUCGUGUUGAAGUGGUCUGUGUGGCCUUGUAUUGAAGUGGCGUGUGUGGAAGGAAUCUCAAGUCUAUUGGCUUGGGAGGUUUUCACUUUCCAAUAAUAAUAGACUUGUAGAAUUCCACAAAGCAAUGCAUUUAUGAGUCAACCAAUGACUAGAAUACUAAAGUUGAUUAAUUCCAUAUUUUGCGGCCAAUCUUUAUAAAUGAAGAAUAAGUUACCCGUUGCCAAGGUCAGAGUUCAAAUUUCAAUUCUAACAAAUAAGUGAAUAUUUUCCUCACUACAUAUAGGUUGUUAUUCCCAUCCUUUUGUGAGUUUUUGUUGAAUUAUUUGUGAUGAUGUUCAAGUGUAGAUCGUUUCUAUUAGGGUUAAUCACAUUUAAUCCCCUUAAGGUAUACCCCAUUUUUCAGUUUACCCCCUAACCUUUAAUUUUACUCACUUAACCCCCUAUAGGACAAAAUUGCCCUUGCAUUAUUUUGACUUUUUAUUUACCUUGUUUUUCUUUCUUUUUCUCUUUCUUCUUUAUUUAAUUCUUCCUCUUUCCCACAAAAAUCUUCACCGUAAUGAUUGAAAUUAAAAAAGAGCAAUUGCAGAGAUCUAUCUUCUCCUUAAAUGAUUAAAAAAACAUUCAAAUCACUUUCCUAAAAUACAAUUUUUUAGCCUUUCAAUUCUUUUAAUUUUGGAUUUUCCUCUUUCCUUUCUAGUUUCUCAUUUUAUUCCCAAGAAAAUAUCUUAAGAUGAAAUUGUGACCUGAUUAAUAAUCAUCAAUUGAAAUUUGGACACAUGGCAUCAUACAAAAAAUCAAAAUUAGUUUUUGAUGCCUUUUAAACCUUCACCCAGAAAUAUGCAAUUACAAACUCAAAACAAAAAUUUUCGUUGAAAUGGAAUUUUGACAGGUGUCGAGCCUGUACAAUAAUAAAUACCUACUCAAGAAAAAUACAGAUUUUGUAUAUAGAGGUGAGUAAGGUCGAAUUCACAGGGACUGGGGAUAACUUAUUUCUUUUAGAGUCCAGAGAUGGGGGAUUUUUGAAAAAAUAUAAAAUAACUAAUUAACCAACUAAUAAAACAACUAAUAGAAAUAAAUAAGAAUUAAUCAAUAACCAAUACGACUCUAGCCAAAGGUGCAACUUUUCAGACAUGGUCCAUUCAACUGAUCAUCGAUGCAAAGAUAAUUCAAUUACUCAUUACUAGAUUGGUUAUAGUUGUCAUACAAGUGAUAAACAACCAACCUUUCCUUAUUUUUUCGAUAGUCAAAGUACGACCAUUAACUAUUUCCCUAACCAAGAAAUAACCCUAAGUACGACCAUAGGAUUUAAUUUCUCGAUUGCAAUAAGAAUUAUAAAAGCCCAACCCUAAUUAACAAACACGCUACGAGGGUUUGUUUAAAUUAGAUCAUACGUUUCCCUAACAUGAAACCAAUCACGCUAGUCGUCACUAGUAUUAAUCAAUAGAACAAUUAUGGAUUCUAUCAAUUAAUAUGAUAAUAGAUUAUUAGAUUAAUUCGAAUAUCGGGCCUUGACAUUCAGAUAACAAAACAAUCAUAAGCAAUUAAACCAGAAAACGUACGAAUACCAAUGAAUAAAAGAAAUAAGUAAAAUAAUUCGAUCUUACAGAUGUUUGGAAUUGGGUGCUCAAAUUGACCUUCGACUAGAAAAUAAGAAUUUAGUUCUUCAUUGUUGAGGAAAUUCCCAACGUGAUACUAUCAAAGCCGGCCAAGACAUGCGGCUCAUCAGCCUCCAAAAAUAUAAAAAACCUACGUGACUAGUCUCCUAACCGAAUAAGAAGAGAAAAGAAUAAGGCAACCACCCAUUGUUCCUUGUUUUCCGUUUGCUCAUUCUAGUAGAACUCCUAGUACAAGUCAACUACUAAUCAGCAAAAGGAAAGGAAAUCCGUUUGUAGCCCACUGUGGAGCCCGGCUUGCAGAUUUUUUAGAAACUUCCCAGGUGUGGAGUAUUUUUCUCAAGAAGAUCCUUUUUUUUAGCACUUUUCUGCUCCACUUCCUGAAAUUAGGUCCAAAUACCAAAUAUAAGUAUAUAUUAACAAUUAAAAUAAUAUUUGGCAAGGAUAAAGAGGAAAAUUAAUAAUAAAAUUACUAACAAUUAAUACCCUAUCAAAUUUUAUAUUGGGAAGGAUGAAAGAGAGAAGAAAAAGAAAAAGAAAUAAAAGAAUCAUCAAUUGAAAUUUGUGACACGUGGCAUCAUACAAAAAAUCAAAAUUAGUUUUUAAUGCCUUUUAAACCUUCAUCCAGAAAUAUGUAAUUACAAACUCAAAACAAAAAUUUUCGUUGAAAUGGAAUUUUCUAUUGGGAAUCAUGAAAGAAAGAAUAAAAAGAAAAAGAAAUAAAAGAAAGGAAAACAAUUUCAUCUUAAGAUAUUUUCUUGGGAAUAAAAUGAGAAACCAGAAAGGAAAGAGGAAAACCCAAAAUUAAAAGAAUUGAAAGGCUCAAAAAAUUGUAUUUUAGGAAAAUGAUUUGAAUAUUUUUUUAAUCAUUUAAGGAGAAGAUAGAUCUCUGCAAUUCCUCUUUUUUAAUUUCAAUCAUUAAGGUGAAGAUUUUUGUGGGAAAGAGGAAGAAUUAAAUAAAGAAGAAAGAGAAAAAGAAUUAAAUGAAAGGAAAACAAGGUAAAUGAAAAGUCAAAAUUAUGCAAGGGUAAUUUUAUCCUAUAAGGGGUUAAGUAAACAAAAUUAAAGGUUAGGGAGUAAACUGAAAACUGGGGUAUACCUUAAGGGAAUUAAAUGUGAUUAACCCUUUCUAUUAUCCCAGUGGAUUUCGAAUGUAAUCAUGUGUACUCUUAUUGAAAGAAAAAUAAUAAUAAUAAUAAUGUACAAGAUAACGAAAGGCAAAGGAGGGAAAAAUUGGAAGUAAUUGUCAUAUACAUUUUUUUAUCAAAGUGUGUAUGUUGAACAAAAUUUUAAUAUCUUCUACAGAUAUCACAAAAUAAAUGUUGAAUUAGCUGGUUUUGAUAUGUCAAGAUCAACACUUAAUUAGUCAAGCCGUUCUUUUUUUAACUAUCAAUUUUGGAGUCCACGAAUUUAAGUCGUUUGUGGAAUUUUUCUACUAAUAAAUCUGUAGAAUUCCACAAAUCAUAUUUUUUUUUUAGAUGUGGGAUCCAAUGAUAGAAACUGAUUUACAAAUGCAUUAAAAACUAGAUGCUGGACUCUACACGUCUAAUUUCGACUCCUUUUUUUCCCUGUCCUCUAGAAGUUCCAUCUUGACUUGAGUUUUGAGUGCUUGUUCUUGAUUAAUUUUUGGUUACUUUUUCCGUAGUUAUUGUUCUUGAAUAUAUUCUUCUUGUUAGCCGCAAUUGGUGGUAAUAUGAAAACCAAGUGAUAGUGCAUUCUCUUUCGAUAUUUGUUCAUGAAAAAACAAGAAAAUUUGUCGCCUAAUAAUGGUAACAAGGAAAAGAAAGAUUAUAUGAAUGUAUGGCCUUUCACAAUCCAUAUUAAAGUCGUACCUUCAUCUAGUAGUUUUGGGGUCCAGGAUUGAAGAGGUCCGAAGAAAUAUGAGUCAAUUGACUUGGGAGGUUUCGUUUAAUAAGCCAGUAGAAUUCCACGAACGAUACUUUAAAAGCUUAUAAAUUCACCUAGUAAUGAAAUCAAAUGCAUACCACCAACCUGUGAAUCAAUUUUGCAUUGGAAGUUUUAGAAGUGAGAAGAAAAUGAAGCUAUUUUAUUUCUUCAUUUUAUUAUCCUUGAUGAAUUUAUGUGAUGCCUCAAGCAAGAAGAUUCAGGUCAGGAAAACGUUGAGCAGUUCAAAGAAGAUCCCUGUCAAGUCCAUCAAGGUUAUUCCUUCUUCGCUAGUAUAGUUCAGACAUGAACCCUUCUUCGCUCACUUUAAUAUUCAUGGUGCUUGUGUUCAUGUUCUUGCGUACAUCUACGUACUUGUGCUUGUCUAAAUUUCUUUUUUUUUUCCAAUUUGUUGUUCUUGUACACGUUUUUCUAUGUCUUGUUCUGCUUUCUUGCAUAACAAAUUGAAAAAGUUGAGUACGCUGUCCACAUUUUUAGGACUCACGGACAUGAAUAACUGAUGCCUGAUUGUUUUAAAUGGCAGAGCCCUGAUGGUGAUAUUAUUGAUUGUAUCAACAUUUAUCAUCAACCAGCAUUUAAUCAUCCUUUGCUCAAAAAUCAUACCAUUUUGGUGAGCCUUUCUAUCCUACCCAAAAGCAAGACAAGGGAAAAAUCUCUACAAGGGCAUGUGUAUAUUCAAAUUUGUACACAUAAUUGUGCAAGUAAUUAAAAGUAAAAAUUUUACGUAUUUUUGCACGUUGCAGAUGAGGCCUAGUUUCCAGCCUCGGAAAGGACCAAUUGGUGGGGGUGAACUAUUCCAAUCCAAUGCUCAUGGCCAAGAGGAUAAAAAACCAAUUGCUCAGUUAUGGCAGUUGGGUGGGAGAUGCCCUGAAGGAACUAUUCCUAUUAGAAGAAACCAGAAAGCAAGAUACGCAAAGAAGAAGCACAGAAACUUUCCCCAGCUCGCUGGCUUUUCCAAUCACGAGGUACCAUAAACAAUUGGAAAUUGGUUGUGUACCUUAACGGAAGGAUGACCUAUUCUGUGUCACGUAGUCCCACACCAUGCCAUCAAAAGUAGAACGACCGUCGUGCGUUUCACGGCUCACCGGUUAGCCAUGAGAACGAUCGUCAUGCAUUUCUUAACGUUGUCAACGAAGUAUCGAGCACUGGCGGUUAGAACCAACGGAGAAUCGUUGGUAGGCCAUUUUUUAGCGAAGGCAAAAGAGCAACUACGUGCGACGGCUGUGACAGUCACUCGAAACAUCUACUCAUACUAUAUUUUUGCUGGAAUUUUGUAGCAACACACGCCUGCAUGUUUACAUAGGUUUAAUACUUGGUGUCUGCUAAUUUUCCUUUGGAGUAUUAUAUAUCAAAAUUCCUUUAACAGGAAGGAAAUUUUUUAGUUUGUUUAAAUCUCUCUCAUUUUUAGCUUAUUUUAUCGAUUUCUCAUUUUCUUUUUUCUUCAAUUCUUUAGUAUGCAUAUGCAUCUGUCCAGAGUAACAAGUAUUUGGGAGCAAAGGCAACAAUAAACCUUUGGCAACCCCAGGUUCAGGGCAGUGGUGAAUUUAGCUUGGCUCAAAUAUGGGUUGUUGCAGGUGAUAAUUCAGGUCUAAACACCGUUGAAGCUGGUUGGAUGGUACUUCUUCCCUAUAAUAAAUACAUCUGGCCAUGCAUGUGUCUUGAACUUUAUUGUCUACUUAUUUCGUUUGUAUAUAUAUAUAUAAUAGGUAUAUCCAAGUCACUUUGGAGAUAGCAACACAAGACUUUUCACUUACUGGACCGUAAGUCACAAAAUAUUAUCAACCCUAAUGCUAAUAUAAUAUGUUUGCCUGAGUCUAAAUUUUUAUCAUAUGUAUGUAUCAAAAUUUGGUAAUGCUAACAGCGUGAUCGCUAUCAAUCCACUGGGUGCUACAACUUGGACUGCCCUGGCUUUGUUCAUACCAGUAAUUCAAUUGCAUUAGAUGUUGCCCUUUCACCAGUUUCUACCUAUCAUGGUGCUCAACAUGAAAUCAUCCUACAAAUCUUUAAGGUAAUGACAGCCAAAAUUGAUUAAGAUCCCAGCAUAUUAUGUACAACAUAACCCUAAUUUUUUUCUGGGAUUUGAAAAACUCAUAAUAUAGUGGUAUAAUUUUGUUUAGGACCCAAAGCAAAAUGUGUGGUGGCUACAACACGGGAAUGACGAUGUAAUUGGUUAUUGGCCUGCUUCCUUAUUUACAGACCUAGCAGACAGUGCUUCACUAAUUGAAUGGGGUGGAGAGAUAAUAAAUGAUGCUCAAGAUGGGCAACACACCACAACUCAAAUGGGCAGUGGCCAUUUUGCUGAAGAAGGGUAUAAAGGGGCAAGUUACUUCAAGAAUCUUCAAGUAGUUGAUCAAUCCAACACCUUAGUCCCUCCUGGUGAUAUCAAACCUGUAGCUAGAAAGCCGGAUUGCUACAACAUAGUACCUGGAAAGAGUGAUGAUGCGGGAGAUUACUUUUACUUUGGUGGACCAGGAAGAAAUCCUAAGUGUCCAUGAACAAAAGAUGCAGAAAUCUUGAUAUGCGAGAGGCAGAAUCUUGAUAUGCAUUUGAUCAUCUGAAUACAGAAAUUGAUUACAUUUCUUUAGGCAUUAAAUCAAAUUGUAGAAGGCAAACAAUGCCAAAGCAAUACACAUAUUCAGAAGCAAGAAAAAUCAAACUGUACUACUCUACUAUCAUCAUAAUAUUUACCUGUAUGCCUGAAUAAAUAACCUUCUUAUUCUCAAGCUCCUCCUUCUCUUUCCAUGUCAUAUACGCCUGAGACGUAAAAUGAAACCAAAUAACGUCCAUGAUAAAAUGAUAGAGACUGGGGAAAUGAGAGUUACCAAUGGAGAACUGGUAAUCACUUUGCAACCUAACAUGCUGCAUUCAUGUAUGAGAUUCAAAUGUUAUCUAUUGCCAAAUUAAAUGCCAAUAUCCUGCUUUAAACUCUAUUUCCAUUUUUGCUGGAUAUGAUGUUUUCAGCUGUCUGAAUUUUCUUGAGGAACGAAUCCAUUAUCUGGAGAUGUGUUUGUGGCUAUGUAGCAUACUGGAUCUCGUAUGUCUUACUAAAAGGUUAAAAAAGCAAAAUAGUUUUGUAUUAACAAUUGUAAAAUCCAUUCGUCUUACCCCAUUAUUUUCUUUGUUUAUUUGGAAAAAUUUUACGAUACAUUUUAGUAUUUCGGUUAUUAGCACUAUAUUUAUUUCUUCUUUGGCUGUCCAAAUAUGUUUCGAAUUCUUGCUUUGAUGCAUAAAUUAAAAGAGUUGCAUCUUUUGAUUUUUUUUUUAAUCAAAUUAAAAUUUUAUUGCUGCAACCAACAAAAAUACCCAGAUCGGGUCCACCCAUUUCCAGGAGUACAAAUUCAAACCCUGACCAAACCCCCCACCCCCUACCGCCGGCACCUACGAAAGCUUGGGAACCCGUACACAUCCAAGGUAAUGUCCCCCCUCACCAACCUAGGUAAAGCACUAUAACCCUCAUAAAUGCUAGUAUGCCCAUCCUCCACUCCCGCGUUAGACAACCUGUCCGCCGGCUUGUUUGCCUCCCGAUAGCAAUGAGACACGGCAUCAAAAUACCGUCCAUAUUGCUGCAGCUCUCGUAGCUCAUUCUGCAAGCAUCUUUUGAUUAAUUGUUUAAGUUCCAUGCAUUGUAACUCAAAUUGGUUAAGUAACUUUCAGCUGCACAGAUGAAAAUGAAUAAACAAAUGAACAAGGAUGAUAUCUGGCAAAAGUUCCAUUGAAGUAUUAUUCAUUGUCUCUGAAGGUGCAAAGAGCAUAGUUCAAAGACAACAUGGUACAUCUAUGCAAUUGAAAUGUAUACCUAACUAGAAACUAAAUAUCUUCUUUUACAUUAUAUCAAGUCAAAGAUACGUAAUUAAAAAGGAAGUAAAACUCGAGAUAUGAAAGUAGAAUAAAAAAAUGUCUCACCAUAGUGCGGAAAAUAAUAAUUAGCAAAUUAUACAUACUUUAAUGAAAUUACUACAAUUGAGCAAGAGUCCAACAGAUUAAGUUAUCAAUUUAAAAUAUAUUUCAUGUUAUAUGUAGAAAUUAAUCUUUCAAAGAAUCGUUCAAAUGUCUCUCACAUUUAAUCAAAUGAAUAUUAUCAUCCUUUACUGUUAAAAUAGUAAAUUUACAUUUCUUACAAAAUCAAGUCGAUAAAUUUUGGUUUCAACUUAGAUUUUCGAUCAUUUUUUACCUUGUAAAAUGGUUGCAUAACUUAAUUACACUGAACCAACAUUUUUAACUGUGAUUUGAGAUAGUUAUACAGUGGAUGGAUUUUUGUUAGGACCAAAACAGGGCGUGUGGUGAUUACAAUAUGGAAUGACAGUCACAAAGUGAGAUUAAUAAUGUUCAUUGGGCUACAAACUUCAGACUAGGAGACUUAACUUUAGGAUUUUCUUUUUCUAUGGUUUCGGCCUUAGUUAUUUUCAGCACCAGAUAUGCCCCUCAUUGAUAAAUUAAGUAGAUUUCCUUUUUAUAUUAAAAAAAAAAGGUAAAAUGGCAGAUUGAUUAUCUCAUGUCUUUUGACAGAGAAAAUUGUGCUUACACGACCAUUUGCAUUUGCUAGAAUUCCUAUUGCACCUGUACUGAUGUUUAAGAGUGGAGUUUAUUUAUUAUUGUUUUUAUAAUUGUUAUCAUAUAUGUGUCUGUCUGUAUCUGAUUAUAUAUGCCUAGAACUAUAUCCAUCAACCUGUACUAAUGUUGAACUAGUAAUGAGAAUCUAGGGAUUUAUUCACGUUCAUUGGAUAUAUUUAUCACUUAACUUACUUUAAUUAGAAUUGACAAUCGUUCCAAAAAGAGUAACGAUUUCAACUUUUUCUUUUUUUUUUCCGAUAGAAACCAUCAUUUUAUUCAUAUGAUCCGCACUAAUGGUGGAAAGAGUAAUGGUUUCAACUUUUUAAAUAUUCGUUUUGUUCACAGUUUAAUGUUCUUGCAACAGGUUGUCAUCCGAUUGUGGACUUUUUUCUUUUUCUUGAUUCUAUUUCUGUUUUUUGUAUGCGUUCCUCGUACUUUGUUCUUCUAUUUUCAUGUUUAAUACAUUGAACAAGACAACAAUGGUUUCCGUAUUUGGGGUGGAUAGUUACAUAUUUAACCAACCAAUUGAAUCAACUAUGCACAGGCAGCUCCAAAAAAAAAAAAAAAAAAAAAAUCGUGGAUAGGCUGUUUAGUAGUGAGAAGAAAAUGAAGGAAUUCUAUUGCUUCAUUUUGUUAUUCGUGAUGAGUUUAUGUGAUGCUUCAAACAAGACCCCCAUCAAGUCCAUCAAGGUAGUCCCUCCUUGUAUGGAUCCAUGUGCUUUUUUUUUUUUUUAGUGCAUCUUCAAAUCUUGUUUUUUUUUUCCUGGCACGAUAAAUUUAAAAGUUACGAUUUUCAUAUUUGGGGGUUCACAUAAAUCUAGUUCCUUGAAAUGGCAGAGCCCAGAUGGUGAUAUCAUUGACUGUAUUCAUAUUUAUGAUCAACCAGCAUUUGACCAUCCUUUGCUGAAAAAUCAUACCAUUCUGGUGAGUCUUUUUAUCCCCCUGUCACAUAGAAAAUCAAAUAUGUACACAUGAUUUUGUUAUUGGAUGAAUAUAAAACUGUAUAUUUACAUACAUGUAUAUAUGUUUGGAUGUUGCAGAUGAGGCCUAGUUUUCAUCCAAGCUCAGAGCUACUCAAUGCUCAUGGCCAAGAGAAUACAAAUUCAAUUACUCAGUCAUGGCAGUUGAGUGGGAAAUGCCCGGAUAAUACUAUUCCUAUUUUGAGAAACCAAAAUGCAAGAAAAACCAAGAAAUAUGUGAUGAAGCAGAACGAAACUGUUUCCCAGUCUUCUUCAGAUGAUGAUAUGAAGUCUCUUGACCCGUACACUCAUGAGGUACCACAAACAAUAGGAAUAUUCUUCUGUAGAUAAUGUCAUGAAUUUUUUUUGCUUUUAUAAAAUUGUGAAGUUUCGAUACAUAUGGUGCAGUCACUUGAAACAAUGACAAAAGUAUAUUAUGUUUAUGUUACUAUUUUCUUGUUGCACAUACGUAGAUAUCUAUCUACAUAUAUUUAGUACUCUUACUUUUUGAGUGUAUUAAAAUUUGAAAAAGUUUUGGCAACUUUGGAGUGAAUUCUCAUUAGAUGAUGGUAAUUGAAGCAUUUUGAAGAAUUAAUCACAAAACGCUCCCCUCUUAAAUUUUGCGAAUAUAAUUAUUGAUUGAAUUUAAAUGAGACAAACUUAAAAGUUUAAGAUGCAAUGUGUUUAAAAUUAAGAAUUUAUGGUACAAAAUAUCUAAAAUUAAAGUUUAAAAUAUAAAGUAAAAAAGUGAUAUAAGUUUGAAAAUGCAAAGUGGAAUCAGUCAGCCCUUAUAUUUUCUUUCUCACUUUGCUUCCUUUGUUAAUAAACUCAUCAAUAUGACCAAAAUGCCCUUGUCACAUCAACCGCUAAAUUUGACAAAAGUACCUAUAGGCACAGUAUAUUAAAAAACGAACUUAUUUCUCCCUUUUUUUUUCUAAGUAUACAAAAACCAUAUAUACACACACACAUACACAUACGUACGUACAUACAAACAUAUAUAUAAAGUGGGUGCUCUAACUACUAAAAGAAAUACAAGCACCCAUAUGAACAUUUUUUAGUUCCAAAUUCCUGGAAAGUGAGGCUGACCGUUUCUAGGCUUUUAUAAAUUUUUUUAUAAUAUUUUCACAUUUUAAUUUUUUAGAUUAUGGUUUUCUAGAUUUUUUUCCCAUUUUCACAUGAAAUAAGCAACACGUUGCCUUCAUCUCGGAAAAGUGUAAUCUUGGGACAAAAUUUAACUAAAUCCAAAUCCAUCAGUAUAUUAUUCUAUUCAUAGUAUAAUGUAAUAGAAAAUUCUUCGGACAUUAUUUGUCAUGAACGUUAUAAAAUAUUAGAGUUCAAUAACAUUCUUGGAGUUAAAAAUAGAAAAAAAAAGAUGACUUUAAGGGGUAAAUACAAAACACACCACACCUUAAGUGGAUCAACUAAAUUAUCCUAAGUAAAAAUAUUAUUCAAAGGUUGCCAUUAUGUAAAGUUAGAAUUGACUAAUGGUCUUGGGUCUCACAAAGUGAGAAACAAACAAUUAUGUUAGAGAAUAAAGUGAGAAUCAUAUCUUGGGGGGAUUUCUUUUCCUUUUUUUUAUUGUAAUUUGCCCCUCUUUGAAUUGAUUUAUUUCUUCUUUUAAUCUGAAUUUCUCAUUUUUUUUUUCCUUUUUUUACUUGUAGUCUCAUCUUGUUGUAUAUUUGUUUUCUUUUGCAAUUGUGUAGCAUGCAAUUGCAUAUGUUCAAGGUGACAAGUAUCGUGGAGCAAAGGCAACAAUAAACGUUUGGCAACCCUACGUUCAGAACAGAAUUGAAUUUAGCUUAUCUCAGAUUUGGGUUGUUGGAGGUCAUGAUUCGACUAUCAACACCAUUGAAGCUGGUUGGACGGUAUUGCUUCUCCAUAAUAUCACUAACCUAGUAUUCAUCUUGUUUGUGAGUUGUAAAUAUGUAGGUAUUUAUCUCAUACUAUAUGGUUUGCUUAUUUCAAUUGUUAAAAUAACAGGUAGACCCUAGUGUAUUUGGAGAUAACAAACCAAGACUUUUCACUUAUUGGACUGUAAGUAAAACAACUUCUGCUUAGUAUUGGACUGUAUUUUUCACUUAGUAUGUUUCGGCAAUCAAUUUUUUUCAAUGCACAGAACUUCUGCUUACAUAAGUUUGAAUCUAUAAAAAGGAGGGAUGGGUCGGGUGGUUCAGGAGAAGGGAGUAUAAGUAAGAAAUCUCGAAUUCGAACCCUUUCACUUAUACUAAAAAAAAAAGUUUGAUUCUAUAUUGGUAUCAUAGAUAUGUACUAAAAUCUGGUUGCUGUAACAGAGAGAUCAUUAUGGAUCCACUGGAUGCUACAACAUGUUUUGCCCUGGCUUUGUUCAAACCAGCACAAAAAUUGCCUUAGCACUACAACAAAAAUGGCCUUUCCUCACAUUCCUAUAAGGACACUUGCUGGUUUGUGUCAUUACAGCACUCCUAUCAUGAUACUUAUUACCAACUCAAUAAUAUAUACUCUAAUUUUUUUUAUUUUAUCAGAUAUAAAAAUAAUAAUGUUCCUUUAGACUACCUAACAUGACACUUGAGAAAAUGUGAGAUGAACAAAAAAAAAGAAAGACACAAAACGACAUCGUAUGAUUUUGGCGGAAGAUUCAUUUGCUUAAAAUACUCAAAAUUUUCAUUCUGCCGGCCAAAACACUUAGUCAAAACACUUGCUCAAAAUUUUCAUUUUCCGGCUCCACCAUUUCCAGCCCCCCUCCCCCUCUCUCUGUCUCUGUUGUCAGAUUCCGACAUAGUUGGUGGGAAAAAUGGGUAGCAGCCAGGCAGCAGUUUCGUUCCGAGGUAGUUGGUUUGGGUAUCGGCGCCACCGUCCUCAACUCCUCCCUCUACAUUGUCGACAGAGGGCAGCGGGCUGUCCUCUUCGACCGGUUUCACGGUGUCAUCGAUGACACCAUUGGAGAGGGUACUCACUUCCUCAUCCCCUAGCUCCAGAAGCCCUUCAUCUUUGACAUCCGUACCCGUCCCCACACGAUUCUGAUUACGAUUAGCCCCACCUUCAUCUUCAUCAUUAGGAUCUUCCAAGCAUCAGAGCCUGUGAUUGGAGCUCCGAUUUCCAUAGAGCUUCAACCGUGGCUCCCUCAGGCAGCCAAUAGCAGCAUCAGCAACAAAAUCUCUCUCGAAGGAAACCCACUUCCGGGUCAUCAUCUUCUUCUUCUUCGAAUUCGGCUCAACAAAUUUCUUCCCUGACUCGAAUAGUUUAUCGAGAAUCGUCUUCCAAGUCCGAUCUCAGUUUGCUCUUUUGGCAAACCACCUGGUUCAUUGGCUUACUUUUACUAAUGGCAAUCUCAUUUUUCGGUCUCGCCAUUUUCCUUUUUCUUACCCUUGACUCCGAUUCACCUCUUCCCCCGUCUCUAUCGCUUCCGAAGGCGUCCAGGUAAACCGAAAGCCCACUUACUACUUCAAAUUCGUGGUUUUUGCGUUCCUGUAGUUGCACAAAUAUGCGGUGCAUCUUUGUGUGUGUGCUUUUCCCCCUAUUUGUUGAAACUGUAUGCGGAAAGUUGUUUUAUAGUUAUUUUUUGUUCAAAAUUUUGACCAAGUUUGUGCUAUUAUAGGCAUGUGAUGGUUAUAAAUUCUAGCGUUUCAAAGGUUUCUAAGCUAAAAGAGGACAGGGAAAGAGGAAAUGGAGUUGUUUGUGUAGAAUUAGUAAUAGCCUUCGACAUGUUUGAUGAAAUGCCUCGAUAAUCUUUGUUAAAAAUCUAGCUGGGUGUCAGUUAAAAAUUGUAAUUUGGAUUUUUUAAAGAGCUGAUUUAUGAAUUAAAUUUGAUUUUUUUCCUGUUUUAUAGUUUGAGGUUUCUGUUGUGUGGCGAAAAUAAAAAAUGGUGUAUGAUGCUUUGAGUUCUAAUAGUUGUAUAAUGGGGCUUUGUGCUAAGUCAUUCUUAUUUUGUUCGGCAUAUGUGAUUUUGGUAGAUUACUUAUGGGUCAGUGAUCAAGAGAACAAAGUUUAGGCUGCAUUCGCAUGAUGUACCAUAUGGCUCUGGUAGUGGGCAGCAGUCCGUCACUGGUUUUCCCAAUGUUGAUGACUCAAACAGCUAUUGGGUAUGUUUCUUUUUCUAGUAUAUAUUUUUUUCUAGAUCAUCAUAAUUUUCUAAGGUUAGGUAUGAUUAAAUUUGGCUUGCAGAUUGUUAGACCUAUAUCAGAUACCAAUGCCCAACAAAGGGAUACAAUCAAAGAUGGUACCAUCAUCAGGCUGCAACACAUGAGGACUAGAAAAUGGUUACAUAGCCACUUGCUAAAUAUAAGUCUUACUAUGAUGCCUAUUGCUGUUAUGCCUUAUGCAAUUAAUCUUCUUAUCAGUAAAUAGCAUGUAAUGGGUAAAAACCACUAUGCCUUAUGAACUUAUGUUGAUAGUUACUAGGCCGCUCACAGUCUGUCUAUCAACUUCUAAAACCGUGAUACUUCUCUUUCUUGUGACAGAUUCAUAACUGAUUCUACAAUAAUGUACUUCCUUGGUUCCGGAUAAGCAUUCUGGUUUGUGUUUUCUUGCUAGUGCUCAACAUUUGUGUAGAUGACAGUAGAUUGUUAGAAGAAAAAUUUCUUUCCUGAUAGGGUCCUUGAGACUCAUUUGCAUUAAAAACCAUGAAAACAUUAUUGAUUGUUCCAUAUAUACUCCUUUAUCUUUCCAUUUCCUUGGUCCUGCAGUCUUGUGUUGUCAAAAUCAUGCUUAUAUCUUGUUCUUCCUCUGUUUUGCAGUAGCAUUUGAUAGAAGAACUUUCAGCCUACAAGAUACAAGUGCGCUGUUGGGAGUCGAUUGACUUUCUUGAUGUGUAAUUCAUGUCGUGUAAAUGAACGCUAGUUACGCUUUUAGCUCCUUCUCAUUAGCUUACCAUUUAUCAGGCAUGUCUGGACAUCUGUACGGACUCCUUGUGGCCAUUAACCUUACUAGUCAUGUGCUCAUCUAUUAUAUAUGAAUCGUUCCUGUGAAUCUUUUGAUGUAUGAAACAUGAUGACAAAUCUCCUCUUGCUUAUGGGAGUUGGCAUUUUCAGUUCUCAUAAUCAUGGUGCUGCUCAAGUUUGAUGUUUCUAGAUUUUUGCAUCAUAGCAUAUUUUCUUAUAUGCAUUCUGUUCUUUGGGAUAAUUUUACAAAUCCUUUGGGUUUCUGAUUGACGGAAUGUAUAGCAGGGAGCACUACCUGCACGUUGCUUCUAUGUCAAAAAAAAAAAAAAAACUCCUGGCAAUUAAAAGUGUCAGCAUAGAAUUUGAUAUCCUAAUGUUGUACUAUAGCUAUCCUGACACUUUCAAUUAUCAAGAAAAUGGAUUUUUGUUGGCAGAAGAGAUGUUAUAACAUCAUAGUUUUCCUGACACGUUUGAAUAUAUGAGCCCAUCCCCACAUUGGAAGGGACAACACUCGUCUGAGGUGUGAGGAAAGGUAAAGUGUCAAGUUAGAUUAUCUAUACUGACACCUUUAAAUGCCAUUAAAGGUCAUUUUUGUUGUAGUGUAGGGGCGAACAUUUCCCCUGUUUCAACCUACCAUGGUCCUCAAUUCGACAUCAGCCUAUAUAUAGUGAAGGUAACAAAUGAAAACCAGAUUCCGACUUGGGCUUUUGGUUGAAAGUAUUCAUCAUCUCACAAUGAGACUUUCUGCUCUUGUCAUCUCCAUUCUCCCCUUUUUUCUCUUGCAUUUUCUUCGCCAGUUACUUGCUAAAACAUAUCAUUCAAAAAAUUUGUAGGACAAUUGUAGUUUCUUGUAUGGAGAUGCAGCUGAGGCGCAGUAGGUCUGGACUUUAGUGUAGUUAAUAAAUUCUUAUUAUACUAUUUGAUAUUACUUUGCUAUGUAAAAUUGUAAGUAUGCUAAUUGUUGUCUUCGUUUGCACAAUUAAAAUGGGAUGAGAUCGCCUUCAUUAUUUUUCUCUCCAUUUAUCUAUACAACUAAAUUAUUUUUUUAAAAAAAUCUAUUUGUGUCAAUAAUUUUAUUUCCACAAGUAGAUCAACAUACUCAAAAAUCAAUCUCAUCUAUGAAUGUUAAUCAACUUGCUAUUCAAGCAUGUAUCAUCUUAGGAUGAGACUUUCUCUUCUUUUGAUCUUCCAUUCUCCUUUUUCUUGCUUUUUCCUUACCCCUUACUCUCUAAAACAUAUUUGUAUAACCUAUUAUUAGCUACAAAUUAAACCUAAUUAGACUAAACCCACAUUUUGUUAGGACGAACAAUUUGCUGUGUGGUGGUUGCAACUAGGGAAUGACGUAGUUGGUUACUGGCCUACCUCCUUGUUUACAAACUUAGCUAACAGUGCUUUAACGAUCCAAUGGGGUGGAGAGGUGAUAAAUCUUAAACCAAAUGGGUAGCACACCACAACUCAAAUGGGCAGUGGCCAUUUUCCUGAAGAAGGGUUUAAAGGGGCAAGUUACUUCAAGAAUCUUCAAGUAGUUGAUGUAUCGAAGACUUUGAGGAGUCCUGGUACCCUUUACACUUUCGCUGUGCAGCCAAAUUGCUAUAGGAUAUUACUCAAAAAGAGCAGCGAUGCAUGGGGAGAUUACUUUUACUAUGGCGGAUCAGGAAGAAAUGCUAAUUGUCCAUGACCAAAAACUCACAGCUUGAGUUUUGGUUUGUUUUUUGGGUAAAUUAAAGUUUAUUUUCAAUUAGCAAAAUGUACGUUACAAUCAAUACAAAAAAAGCUAAGCUAUUAACUGCUAUCAGUCAAAUAAACAAAGCGACAUCAACAAACAAGCUCUAGCCAACUAUGUUACAACGAAGCAAAACAACUUGAGAUUGUUCAUAAUAAAUUUGGACAUAUAGCGAGGGGCGAAAUUUAGUUAUGAAUUUGAAAUUUUUUUAAAAAAAAGAAAAAAUAUCCUGUUAUUAGGCAAUGGGUUGAUUUUUAAUUUUUGUUUUUGAUGAGUAUUUGAGUUUAUUGUAAUAAGACUCUCUAAAACCCCUAUGGCUUAUUAAGUUGAGUAGCAGAGAGGAGGAGAAAUAGAUUGGAUGGUUCGAAGGGUGAGAGUAUAAAUGAGAAGUCCAGGAAUUUGAUCGCUCUCAUUUACACUAAAAGAAUAAAAAAUUAAGUAGUACAUAUUGCAAAUUCUAAAUUUAUCCUUUUAUACAAUAAAAACAAUUUGCCUUUGUAUUAUUCUUCGUUCAAUUAUCUCCUACUUUUCUAUUUCCAAAUUAAGUUUCAUGUUUUUUUUCUAAUGCUUCCAUUACAUAAUGCAUCAUCCACUUAUCCAUAUUUUUGUCCUAAGAAUGAAUCACAAAAAUCUCAUCGAUCCUUAAUGUUGGGACAAAAAAAAAUAGAUCAUCCACUGAUCCAUAAGACUAGUACUACUUGAAAAGAAAAAAAAAACACUAGAACUAUUAUAUCCAAUGAUGGAGCCAAGAGGGGGCAGAGGGGGGCUAUGGCCCCCCCUAAGUUUUGAAAUUUUAAUUCAUAAUAUGUAAAUAUGUGUGUAAAAUAAAAUUGACUCCCUCUAAAUAUUUACAAUUUUAGUUUAUAUUAUGAGAGUUGAUAUAUAUAUGUGUAUAUAUAUAUAUGAAUUAGUCAUCUUUGAAUUAAUUAUUUUCUUCAAAAAAAGUUAUUUAUUUUUUAUUGUUCUAAUUAUUUAACUUUUAAAAAUUAAACAUAUAAUUUGAUGUUCCAUAGUAAAUUGACCCAAUGUGAUAUAUUAGAAUAAAAAGACCAAAUUCUUAAUUGUUAAUAGGCUAAAACAAAAAUAAUUAUUUUAUUGGCCCAUAUACAAAUAUAUAACUUAGCCCAACGGAUAAAAAUUUUAAAAAAAUUAUUUUAUCUUUACUAUUCUAAGAAAAGCUUACAAAGUAAGCUACUUGCCUACUUCUCUGAUAUGCAGAUCAAAAAGGAAAGCGUGGGUCACUUUUCAUUUCUUUCUUUCUUUCACGGUGGUCCUUGGGAGUUGGUAGAUAAAAGUAAAGUGAAAAGAGCAAAGAAGACAGGAGAACUGGAGAAGAAUACAACAAAGAUUCAAAGAAGAUUCAUCAAGGGUGUCGGGUGAUUGGUCUAGACCAUUUGGUGGCUUUCGUGGCUUGGUCUUUUUUUUUCGAAACGAUAAAUGCUUGUAUUUCUUGUCAAAAGAUGUAUAAGUGCGAGCAAAGGCUCGAUAUAGCUUUACAAGCAGUAAUUAUACCACUAAGGAAACAAAAAUUCCUCAUCAAAGAUGAUGCCUAACGCAUAGGUGCUAAGCUUGGAGGUUAGUUGAUUCUUAUCAUUUUGAACUAGACAAAAAGAGCACAUAUGAAACAAAAGUCUUAAUUGAACAAUAUCAUCCACAAUAGUUGCUAAUCUGAUAUCCCUUACUUGUUUGGUUCGAAUAUGGUUGAGGAGUUUCUGAUUUUGCACUUGGAAUUGUACUGCCCUGUGUUGCAUAUUGGCAGCUUUACACAUUGCCAGUUUGAGUGCUAUUGCUUCAUCCAGUAGUACCGAUCCAGAACUGGUCUCUCGUAAUGCUCAUCCCAUCUUUGAUCCUUGAUCUGCUUCUGUGAAACAGAUUCCAAUGCCUAGCCAAGGCUGGUUCUUGUCCCUUGUGAUCCCAAUGCUGAAAAUCAGUGAACCAAAUUCUGAACGUAACUGUUGAUGGUGUAGUUGUAGAGCUUCUGUUUCGUUUGUACUCAUCCUAGUUUCCACUUUAUCUAUUUUCCCAAAUUCUAACCAUUCCUUCAUUGCCUUCUGUAUAGUCCUCCAUGGCCGGUACUUCUUGCCAUUGAAUUCCACCUCAUUCCUCUCUUUCCAAAUUUGCCAGAGAAUAUGGACAGUUAAAGAGAUAUGUUGCCAACCUUGUGGUCUGUGUUUAGCUUCCGUAAUUGAUAUCCACCAUCUUCUGAAACAGCCAUGUUGCUCCAUCAUUCCUUCCCAUUGGAUUGGGGCUAAUUUCCAAGUCAGAUUUGCUUGCACGCAGUUCAGAAAUGUGGGUUCAAUUGUCUCCUUUCCUCUCUGCAUCUGUUGCAAAUAGGGUUCCCCACUUUGAUUCUACCAUGGAUAAUGUCUCUCACUGGAAGAGCAUUGUUGAGACACUUCCAUAGAAAUAUUUUCUGUUUAUGCUUGACCUUCAAUCUCCACAAUUCCUUCCAUACCUUACUGGUGUGAUUGUCCCAACUUGUAGAGCUCUCAUUCUGAAUUCUUUCCUGUUUAUUAGCCUUGUGAAGCGUCAGAACUUUAUACCCUGAAUGGACAGAGUAAUUUCCAUCUAUCCCGUGUAUCCAAAAAUGAGAAUCUUCCCUACCAGCUAAGCUUAUUGGGAUACUCAGGACUCUGUCCGCAUCUUUGGUAUUGAAGGUUUGGAAAAUCAAAUUUCGAUUCCAGCUCCUCUGGCAUAUCAGCUCGUCUACUCUCUGCGGUCCACCAUCCAUAGAUCUCGUGGUAGUUACUCUUCCAUUUGAUGUGUCCGGAAUCCAGCUAUCUUCCUAGAUAUGUGUACUCUUUCCAUUGCCAAUCUGUCUUCUGGUUCCUUGUUCCACCAACUGUCUAGCUCCCAUCAGGCUCCUCCAUAUCUAGGAUGCAUUGUUGGGGACUUUGCACUUGAAUAUGGAGGACCUGGAGUAGUACUUGGCUUUCAUAACUUGACUGACUAGAAGGUUGGGUUGUGUUAUUAACCUCCAUACCUGUUUGCCUAGUAGUGCUGUAUUAAAGGCCUCCAAAUCUUUGAAGCCUAACCCUCCCAUGUUCUUGUUCUGAAUGAGUUUUCUCCAAGAGCACCAGUGUAUUUUAUUUUUGCUAUUGGUCUCUCCCCACCAAUAGUUUGACAUUAGUGAACUGAUUUCCUUACACAAUCUGGAUGGAAUCUUGAAGUAGGACAUAGUAUACGUGGGCAUAGCUAGGGCCACGAUUUCAGCAUUAUUUCCUUGCUUGCCGAGCUUAAGAACCUGUUUUUCCACUUGAGCAUUCUCUGUUGUAUGGUUGUCUUAACAAAACCAAAAAUCUGCUGUUUUGUUCUCGAAACUACCAUUGGUAACCCGAGGUACUUGCCUUGACUGACUGUUUGCAUGUUCCCCAUGAUUUGGCUUAUCUCAGUCAUCAAAUCUGCCUCACAUUCUUACUAAAAAGUAUAGACGACUUAUCUAGAUUAAUCACUUGACCAGACCCCAAGGCAUACACAUGCAACACCCUCAUUAACUCUUUUGCCUGAUCCUUAUUUGCUUUGCAAAAAAUUAGGGAAUCAUCUGCGAAGAACAAGUGGGUUAUACUAGGUCCAUGUCUGCUUAUCUUCAUCCCGGACAGCAUCCUAUUUUCCGUAGCCUUCCUGAGUAGGUUGGAUAAACCCUCUGAACAAAGUAGAAAUAGAUAAGGAGAGAGAGAGUCACCUUGUCUAAUUCCUCUUUUGGGUAUAACGUACCCUUUAACCUCCCCAUUUAUGUUGAAUGAGUAGGAUACAGAUCUCAAGCAUUUCAUAAUCCAGUUUCUCCAUAUGCUGUGAAAUCCCAUCUUAUGCAUGAUUGCCUCUAGAAAGCACCAUUCCACGUGAUCGUAAACUUUAGACAUGUCUAGCUUUACUGCCAUGAACCCAUCCUUGCCAUGUCUCAUGUUUUUUAGAUAAUGCAAAUAUUCAUGAGAGACCAUAAUGUUGUCAAGAAUUUGCCUACUAGGGAUGAAAGUAUAUUGAUUUUUGCAAAUACAGCAAUGCAAGACACCUUUGAGCCUAUUAGCUAAGAUUUUAGCAAUGAUUUUGUACAUGGUAUUACAGAGACUUAUGGGUCUAAACUGCUUCAGGGAUGUAGGAUUUAACACUUUGGAGAUAAGAGUGAUCACAGUAUGAUUAACACUCUUUAAGAGGUAACCAGUGUGAAAAAAGGUUUGGAUAGCAUUUACCACUUCUUUUUUGAUGGUAGUCCAGAAUUUUUGAAAGAAUAAAGGUGACAUACCAUCAACCCCAGGAGCUUUGUCCGGGUUCAUAGAGAAAAUUACAAAUUUAAUUUCUUCUUCCAACACUGAUUUUAACAGAUUUUCAUUCAGAUCAUCAGUGAUAGAGUGGGGUAUACCAUCCAGUACCUCAGUUAAGUCCCAUUCUUCAUUGCAGUUCAGGAGGUUCCUAUAGUAAUCCGCAAUUUCAUUACUCAACUCCUCCUCGCUCUCAGUCUAAGUACCAUCAUCUCGCUGAAGUUUGUUCAGUCUAUUUCUCCUUCUCCUACCUUGUACUGAGGCAUGGAAAUAUUUUAUGUUUUUGUCACCCUCCUUAAGCCAUUGUAUCCUUGAUUUCUGAUGCCAGUGUUGUUCUUCCUCUUUGUAUGCAUCCUUUAACUGAAUCUUUAGGGAUGCUAUACGUCCCUUUCUGGUGCCCCCAUGUGAUUGCCGCAAUUCACUCAAUUGGUUUUUAAUGUGCUCAACCUUCUGCCUUGAGUUUGUUUGGAAUUGGUUCUUCCAUUUUAGGAGAGCUAUACGGCAAUUCUUAAUCUUUUUCUGCACUUGAAACAUCCUAGAUCUAUACGUUUCCUGCUGCCAAGCAACCUUGAUCACCUCCCCGAUGUCAUCUCUUUUUAGCCACCUCUUGUCAAAAUAGAAUCUCUUAUUCCUCCGACUAGAGUUCCUCGUUGUGUUAAUCAUCAGAAUGCUGUGGUCGGAAGCAUAAGAAUCUAUGUGCCUGCAAUUUACAUCCUCAUAAACCUGUGCCCAAGAAAAGCUAAAAAGUCCCCUAUCUAGUCUUUGCUUGACCUCACCCGCAUCCUCCCAAUUGUUACACCAAGUCCAAGGGUGUCCAGUGAAGCCAAUAUCCAUCAAUUGAUUCCCAUUGAUGAAUUGUUUAAAGUCCUGAAAACUUCUUUCCUCUCUACAUGUACCUCCUCAUUUUUCUUCAUUGGAUACAAUAUCAUUAAAGUCUCCAGCUACAACCCAUCUUUCCCCCCAUAGACUUUUCCUUUUUUCUAUGACCUUUCACUGUUGUUUCCUAACCUGAUGGUCACAACUCGCAUAAAUUCCUACAAACCACCAAUCAGAAUUAGCCUCCGUAUCCUCCACAUGCGCCUAUGGUGAAAGCAGUCAUCAGUACCUGAACAAUUUUCACUUCUUCCUUCCAUAGAAGAGCCAAGCCUCAUGCUUUUUUCAUGGCUUCAAGAACAGCCAUCUCAUCAAAUCUUAAAAUGUUCUUCACUUUUUUCAUGUAUGUUGUCCUAUUUUUGGUCUCACUUAAAAACACCAUGCCUGGAGAGAAGAGGUUAUUUACCUCUCUCAGCUGGGGAAUUGUCAAGGGACUCCCCACUCCUUGACAAUUCCACACUUGAACCCUCAUUUGCACUCUGGGGUCUAACUAGGCAUGGACCCUUCUCCCUCACAACCAUUCUUCUCAGAACCUCUAGCAACUUCAAUCUUAUACAUUUUCAAGUCGUGCACAUCAGCCCCAGCGUUCUCCAUAACCUCAUCCAUUUCAUUACUUUUUCUUUUCCCUUGGUUUUUCAGAUCCCCCAAGUUGAUGCAUAUUUCUUUAAGAGCCUGUCUUCUUUUACUUGGUGACCUCAGAGGCCUUUGAAUCCUUUUGUUCUGUUUUUUCACUACCUCUUGCUUCCUACCUGUACUAUCCUCAUCAACCUGCAUUAGUAUAGCCUCCGAGUGUCCCUCCUCAGGACCUGGCUUCAAGACCUGCUGGUCUCCCUUCUCCUCAUGAAUAUGAUCAAGCUCGCUACCCAUAAUCAUAUAUUUCCUCUAUCCUGUUCCUUUCUAGCAUUCACAUCAGCAUGCAUAUUUGGUUCCCCUCCAGAGGAUGGUUUUAGAGCUCCAGAUUCCGCAAUUCCCACCAAGUUUGGAAAGAAUACUAUAUUUGUAGAUGGUUUAGGCAAAGCCUCUGUCAGAGUGGUUGUUUGGUCCAUUUGCUGCGUUACUGCAAUUGGUGUCUCAUCCAAACCUCCGGAAACAUCACUGCCCGCAAUCUCCCCCCUCUCCUUCUCUACCCAAUCCCUAUUCUGGUAACUACAGUGACGUCUUUGGGGGUUAAAAAUUACUCCUGUUUGUUUUUUCUGGGGAGACAUCUCCCCAUUUGCAUUCCCUGCCCUCAUCCAAUUUCCAUAUUGGUUAUCCUUUUUCCCUUCAAUCCCACUCAAAGACGUUCCAUAUAAUCUCUCGCUGUGUCCUAUUCUUCCACAGCUAUAGCAAAAAUCCGGACAUCUCUCAUACUUAAAGUGUACCCAUUUAACUCUCCCUGCCACCUUAAUUGUUGUCCCUUUCAGAAGAGGUUGUUCAAUAUCCACCAGAACAGCUAUCUUCAGGUGCCUCCCUUCUUUUCCCCCUGUUUGUGGUAUAAUGACAUCCCUAACCUGAUUAAAAACGGAUCCUAUCUUUUUGCCAACGUCCUUUGAAAUCCAGUGAACUGGGAGGUUCCAGACUUGCACCCAGAGUGGAGCAAGUUUAAAGGCUUUUUCAUCAUCCUCUAUUCCUCCGUACCACCUGUUGACCACCAUUAAUUGAUUAUCCAAAAUCCAAGGACCUCCCUUAGCGAUUCUAUCCCUAUCACUUUCCUUAGACAAAAUGAAUUGGAACAGGUUCGGCCCGAGCUCCGCCACAGUCAAAUCCUUUGGGUACCCCCAAGCUGCUAUAACAAAAUUCUUAACUCCUGUAUAGUUAGCUACCUUCUCACCCACAAUCUUCCCUAUCAAGCUGCUUUGGCAUUCCUUUAAACCUGAGGAUAGCUCCUCUCUCCCCACAUUUGUUAUCUGCAACUCCUUGCUCGAUAAUCUGAAGCUUUGCAAAAUCUCAACAAUAUCCUCAGCCAUGGAACUUAACCCGACGUAAUGCUGGUAUACCUCUCACCCCCCACACCAAUGAUCUCAAAGAAAAUUGAGAAAACCACAAAGGAAAAUUGAAAAAAUAUGCUUUUCUCUAGGUAAAUGGAAAACUGGUAGGCAACAAAAACAAAAAGAAAAAAACAGAGCACAAUGCACCUACUUCUAAUGCACCUACACUACCAGACAAGGUAAGAUGAGAAAAUGGCAGUUAGCUUACUUGUCUGCUGUGGCAGCCACACCGAUUGUACUGCUUGUUCAUGCUUUGAUCUGGUUCCGUGAGUGAUAUUUCCCGGAUCAAGAUCUAAAGUGUUGAUUCCUCAGAACUAGUUCACCUCCUCUAAUCAUAAGAACUCCUUCGGUAAAUAAUGACUUUUCAGCUCCUACUUACUAAUAAUAGAAUCUGGCAAUGAUUCUUAUUCAAUUCUAGUUUUACUGCUUGAAGAUUGGCUAAAAGUUAAAAAGGUUGCACCUUUUUGGGCAUUUAAGAGCUACCACAAAGGGAAGAGAUGCUCUCUUUUAAGAGCUACCACAAAAGGGCACCUUUUUGGUCACUUGGUGCUAGAAAGUAGAAUCCAAUAAAUUGAAGUGAAGUGGCUCCAUUCUUUGGUACCUGUACUAAACCUUUUCCUUUUUAUAAUUAAUUUAUUAUGAAAUUUAAUCUUUUCCUCUUUCCAAUUAUCUUAUGCUCUUGUAAAAUACAUUUCUAGUAUCAAAAUUGUGAUAUUAUACUAUAUUUGUAGUAUAUUUUUCUCAAGAUAAAUAAUUUGACAUGUAUAAAGUAUUUUAUUGUUUAAUAAGUGUGUAUCAUUUAAAAUUGUGAUUCCAUACUUUAUUUGUGGUUCAAAGAAAUACUAAUAUAAUACAUACAAAAUUUGGCAUACAUAUAAUUUAUUAUGAUAAUUUGCUAGAGUUGUAUAUAACUUAUGAAAUGUGAAUUAAAUUCAGGUUUGAAAUUUAUUCUCCAUGGGUAAGUCAACAACAAUUGAUGCAUUUUUUAAAAGAAAAAUUAUUGAAGAUCAAAAGCACAAGGAGAGUGAUGCUACUCCAUCAUCUAUUCUUAGUGAGAGUUUGGUUGUUGAACCUGACGGGUUUUUACUACAAGUGCAAGUUUAAUCCGAAUUUAUACCCGUUUGACUGCAAGUAUACAGGCCAAAAUUGUAAUAUAGGGUAUGUAUCGAGUCGAUCUCACGAGGAGCAAUUUAAAACAAUUACUAGAUCCUUAUUUUCUCUACUAUUUAGACUUAUGAUGAAUUUGAGCAGAGAAAUUAUAUUACUACUAUCUAUAAAUCUGAUUUAAUAAAAACUAGAUGCAAAUGGAGAAAUUUCACUAAAGAUUAAAUCUAGAGAUGUAGAUUCCACUUAUGGCACAAAAAAUCCAAAUGAAUGAUCUUAAUACUUGUUAUUACUCUUGUUUAACCAGGGAUUCAUUUCCAAAAAUACCAAAAUCACAUUCUCAUGAUAAUAAUGGUCUAGAACAACUUAGUUUUUCCUAAUCUCUUGGUAAAUACUAAGUCUGUUCUUAUACAUGCAUGAAAUGCAGAUUUCAUCCACUUGAAUGUAUUUCUAUUCUCAUGAACAUACAACUCAAGCUCUACUCAUGUUAAUCCAUUAUUUUUACCAUUUUUCAAUGAGUAAAAACAACUAUAAACCUGCUAUUGGUGAUCAAACAACAACAAGUAAUCCAACAUACAGAAGUAGACAAGUUAAUACAAGAUAUAACAAGUAUAAAUCACAUUCAAUUCAUAUCACUUGGCCAUAAGUUUCAUCUACUCCCUAGAUAAAGGAAAUUAGGUAUUCAUGAAUGAUAAAACACUCAUAAUUUCAUUAAUGUAAAACAUCAUAAAUUACAAGUACAAGAAGAGUGAAGAAAAUCUUAGCCAAGCAAUGGUGAAGCUUUCCAAAAAUCUGCUAUGUCUUGCACUAGAUGAUUACAAGAUGAAUCCUCCAAGUGUUCCUGCAAAAUUUACUAGCUAGAGAGUGUUUGCUAUCAGAAAAUCUGGCUACGUAUGGAUUGUCCAGACCUCCCUAUUUUUCUCUAUAAAAACUGCUCAAAACCUUGGUCAAAUUUCCACCUCCUGAUUCCCAAAUCUGAGAUUUGUUAAGAUAGUCAAUAAUCAAUGUUUUUGACUUGAAAAUAAGCCACCUUUCUUGCCCUUUUGUCUUCUGAAGCAUGUGCACCGAAUUCCCUUGCAUCUUAUAGUUGGAAAGUAGUCUGAACACCAGAGAAAUGGCUGAGCAAAUUGCAGAAUUUCGGCUACAAAACGCGCCUACACAAAACGCGGCUUCAACCCACGUUUUGUCAACUCGCGUUUUUAACUUUGCAUUUUUGGCCUAGCUUCAACUGCUAUUUUCUCUAUGAUGGAGGCCGAAAUAGCUUUUGUGCAAAACACAAAAGUUGUAGCCCUUUGAGUUAGAUUUUCAAUGCUUCAAAAAUCAUCCAAAUCGGAGCUUUGUAGCCUGAGAUAUGAUCGAAAUACUAUCACCAAGUCAAACCCUUGUUUCAAUUUUCGAUCACGGAAUGCAGCUUCUGUAUUCUGACUUUUUGUCCAUGAAAAAAGCAGAAUUGGAUUUCGAUGUCUUCAUAACAAUUGUAGGUCUCUUUCUUAGUUUUAAAAUGGUAUAAAGAUCACAUCAAUCUGAUAAGUGUAACUCUAGAUAUAGUUGAAAUACUGAAGAGUGUCAAAACUGUCUUGAACCGCACUUCUUCACUUAAACGUUUUUCACUUCAUUUCUCUUUUUUACCACUUGAAUUCAUCACCAAUUAUCUACUUUUGACCUCAUUUGACAUCCUUUGGUGAUUGGAUCAUUAACCUGCAAGAAUAUGAAGUUUUUACCAUUAAAAUCAAUAGAAAUGCCAUAUUAGCCACUUUUACAAAAGUUGUAUAUUUUUACCAAAACCUAGUUGUUUUAGUUAUAAAACUAAAUAAUCAAACCAAAAUUAACUAAUAAAAUGUACUUAAAAAUACGUAAAAUACGUAAAAUAAACUCUUAUCAGAACCUCCCAAAAAAGUUUGAAGAGUUGAACUUGAAAAGAUUGAUAUUGCUUCUUUGGAACGUGAUCCCGGAAAACCUGUGUUUUAAAACUCGGCCAAGUGUCCGGUCCGAAUCAUGCUUAAAAAUCGGGUAAGUAAAAAUCCGGUCAAAUCUGGUCAAAAACCGGGUCUGACUGGGUUUGACCGGAAAAACCAGAUUUUCCGGUUCAAACAGUUUUUUUUAAAAAAAAAACUCAAAAGUUUUCAAUAUUAUGUUUUGACCCCUAGAUUGUUAAAAAAUAUUAAUAUACCUCAAAUAUUUCAUACUUUAUCAAUAUUUUCUUAAAUUUUGGUAUUAUUUUUCAAUUAAGUCCAUAAUUUUAAUUCUAAACUUGUUAAUGCUCAUUAAAUAAUAUAAAUUGUUACUUGAUUGUUCUAAUUUCUUUGUAUUUUCUUGUUAAAUAUAUUUAAAACAUCAAAUAUAUAUGAAUAUACCUUUAUUAAUAUUAACAUGUUAUUAGGUAUUUUUCCUAUAAUAUUUUAAUUUUUAAAUAAUUUUUAUUUAUGACGUCAUCCGGUUCAACCCCUAUCGAACCCGGUUGCACCCAUUGACCCCUGAUCCCUGAGCUUGACCGAGUCGAUACCCGGUCCGAUUCUGAAAAAAUAGCGGAAAACGUCCACCUAUAUGGAGCUAUCAUCUUAAUCAACAAGAUGAAAUUCGUCGAGCUUAUAUCAAUUGGGGGCCAUAUCAAGUUAAGCUUGAAAAUUACCCUUCAAGUGGUUCAAAGAAACAUGUUCGUCAUUUUUGUAGCUCUUGGUUUGCAUUGUUUCCAUCUUGGCUUGAAUAUUCUCCAUCAAUUGAUGCUACUUUUUGUCUUUCAUUCUAUCUAUUUAGUAAGCCGAAUGGACGAGUUGAAUUAAGUGCAUUCGUUCUUGGUGGCUUUAACAAUUGGAAGAAGGUCAAUAAAGGAGAUAAUUGUGCUUUCUUACGACGUGUGGGGAAAAGUCCUAACUCAUUUCACAGAAUUGCGGUAAAAGCAUGCAAUGAUUUGAUGAAUGCUUCUCAACACAUUGGAACUUUCAUUGAGAAACAAAGUUUUGAGCAAGUUGAGAUUAAUCGAUUAAGGCUUCAAGUUUCAAUUGAUGUAGUGUGAUGGCUUGCAUUUCAAGGUUGUGCCUUUUGAGGACGAGAUGAGAGUGAAAAAUCUCUUAAUCGUGGAAACUUUCAUCAACUUAUUAAGUUGUUGGCUUCGUAUAAUGAUAAGGUAAGAAUGAUUUUCUUCUAGCUUUGCAUUCUUUCUUGAAUUUAUAUAAUAUCCAUGCUUGAAAGAAAUCUUUUAAAUUCAUAAUAUGCUUCCAUUUAGUUAUUAUCUUUAUAAAAUUAUAAUUAUGCUCUAUUAAUGGAUAGGUUGCAAAUGUUGUUCAAGAAAAUGCUCCAUCCAAUGCCUCCUAUACAUCUCAUGAAAUUCAAAAGGAGAUUCUUUAUAUAUUUUCCAAUAAGGUUAGAAAAGAAAUUUGCCAAGAGAUUGGAAAUUUAAAAUUUUGCACUAUAGUUGAUGAAGCUCGUGAUGAGUCCAAAAGAGAGCAUAUGGCUCUUGUUUUGAGAUAUGUAGAUAAGGAAGGAUGCAUCCGUGAACGAUUUUUUGGUGUUAUUCAUGUCCGUGAUACUAUGGCUUUAACUUUGAAGGAAGGUAUUUUUUUCUACUCUCUCUUAACAUAAUUUGGCCAUUCAUAACAUUUGUGGACAAGGGUAUGAUGGAGCUAUGAGAGGUGAAUGGAAUGGCUUGCAAGCUUUAAUUUGCCAUGAAUGUCCAUAUGCCUAUUACAUUCAUUGUUUGGCCUAUAGGCGUCAACUUGCUUUAGUUGCAGCUUCUAGAGAAGUAGCUUCUGUUCACCAAUUCUUCUCCAAUUUAGUUUUCAUUAUCAACAUUGUUACGGCAUCUAGCAAACGUAAUGAUGAAUUAAAGGAGGCUCAAACAAUUGAAGUUGCUACUAAGAUUGCUAAUGGUGAACUUGAAAUUGGAAGGGGGCUUAAUCAAAUUGGCACUUUAAAACGAGCUGGAGUUACUCCUUGGGGUUCUCAUUUGGAUUCUAUUUCUAGUUUACUGAAAAUGUUCAAUGCUACUUGUGUGGUUUUAAGUAACAUUGCAGCAAAUGGAGGAGAUGCUAAUUUUGCUUUGAAUCAGUUGUUAUCCUUUCAGUUUGUUUUCACUUUGUAUCUUAUGAAAGACAUUAUGGAAAUUACUCAUCUUCUUUGUAUAGCAUUGCAACGUAAAUCUCAAGAUAUUUUGAAUGCAAUACAUCUUGUCUCAAGCACAACAAAGCUACUGAAGAAUUUUCGAGAUUCGGGAUGGGAUGAUUUCUUGGUGAAAGUUAAAUUAUUUUGUGAGCAACAUCAAAUUGAUAUCCCGGAUAUGAAUGCUCAAUAUAUUGCAAGACGUGGUAGAUCUCGAAGUCAUCAUGAUGAGAUUAGUGUGGAGCAUUAUUAUCGAGUGGAUAUAUUUCUUGCAACAAUUGAUUAUCAAUUGCAAGAGUUACAUAGCAGGUUUAAUGAUCAUACCGUGGAAUUGCUUGUUUUGAGCACUGCAUUAGAUCCUAGAAAUGGAUUUAUGCUGUUCAAGAUUGAUGAUAUUUGUAAACUUGCAGAGAAGUUCUAUCCGAAUGAUUUUAUGGAGCAAGAACCAGUACGUCUAAGAAUAGAACUUCAACAUUUUGAGCUCGACAUUCCAAAUCAUCCUGAAUUGCAAGAAUAAUCUGGUAUUCAUGAGUUAUGUCAAGGCUUGGUGAAGAAAAGAAAAUCAGUGAUAUCUCCUCUUAUUGACAGAUUGAUUAGACUUGUUCUUAUUCUUCCUGUAUCAAUUGCAACUACAGAGCGGGCAUUUUCAAUUAUGAAAAUAAUCAAGACAAAGCUCCGAAACAAGAUGGAAGAUAAUUUCUUGAAUGAUUGUCUAAUUGUGUAUAUAGAAAAAGAAGUUGCUGAAAAUUUAGCAGUGAUUCAAUCAUAGAUGAUUUUUGUUAUGACUGUACCGCAUAUUUAUGAAUAGACAUACCUUUAUAAUUAAAUUUAAUAUUUGAUAUUUUUAGAUGUCAUAUAUUUAAAUAGAAGAAAAUUAUUUUGAACAUAAUAUAUUAAGAUAAUUUUAUUAGGAAAAAAUUUUGGCCCCCCCCAAAAAAAAAAUGCUGGCCCUGUCACUGAUUAUAUUUAAUUAAAAGCUUAAUGGUACUACACACAAAUGUCAAACAUUAGUUUUUUUUUACAAGGAAUAGUCAUAAUUCUGUAAAAUCUGAUUGCAUUUGAAACUGUAUAGGCCCAUAAAGCUAUAAGCCAACAAACUUUUUUUAGGAAAUUCACUGAUAUCAAAUAGCUUUUAGAAAUUAGGCGAGUGUAAGACUGAAAAGCAUUUGAAAAAAAUGGUAUAAAUAGUUAAAAGAAUAGUGCAAGGAAAAUUAUUUCUAUAGUGUGAAAAAAUAAACUUGGAAUUGCAAAAAGUUAGAAGGAAACCCCCUAGAUAUUUAGGGCUUCAAAACUUCAUAUUCGUGUUUGAAAUAAUGGUAGAAUGGGAGAGUGUGGAUUUAGCUCCACCCUUACAUUCUUAUAAUCUCAUACGGCAUUUAAUUCCCUAUGUGAUUUAUCAUUUAUAUAUACUCGAAGCUUGCUUAUAACCAUUGCGACAAAUUGUACGCAUUAAAAGUUAAUUCUUGAUCAUCAGCAAAAUUCAAUAACAAUGUCUUCGUACACUGUUAGGAAUAUAUGGAUUUGAAUGUAAAUUGAGUAUUUGUUUUCUUUCAUUAUCAUCUAUAGAUAUCACAAAUGAAUAUGUUAACUUAGCAUUUUGAUACAUCAAGAUCAGAUCUUAAUGACUCAAGUCGUUACUGGUCUGUGUGGAAGGAAUCUCAAGUCUAUUGGCUUGGGAGGUUUUCACUUUCUAAUAAUAAUAGACCUGUACAAUUCCACAAAGCAAUGCAUUUAUGAGUCAACUAAUGACUAGAAUACUAAAGUUGAUUGAUUUCGUAUUUUGCGGGUAAUCCUUAUAAAUGAAGAAUAAGUUACCCGUUGCCAAGGUCAGAGUUCAAAUUUCAAUUCUAACAAAUAAGUGAAUAUUUUCCUCACCAUAUAUAGGUUGUUAUUCCCAUCCUUUUGUGAGUUAUUGUUGAAUUAUUUGUGAUGAUGUUCCAAGUGUAGAUCGUUUGUAUUAUCCCAGUGGAUUUCGAUUGUAAUCAUGUGUUCCCUUAUUGAAACAAAAAUAAAAAAAAAUAAUAAUAAUGUAUGCAAUAAGGAAAGGCAAAGGAGGAAAAAAUUGGAAGUAAUUGUCAUAUACAUUUUUUUUAUAAAAGUGUGUAUGUUGACCAAAAUUUUAAUAUCUUCUACAGAUAUCACAAAAUAAAUGUUAAAUUAGCUGGUUUUGAUAUGUCAUGAUCAACACUUAAUUGGUCAAGUCGUUCUUUUUUUUUUUUUUUAACUAUCAAUUUUGGAGUCCACGAAUUGAAGUCGUCUGUGAAAUUUUGUUACUAAUUAACUGGCCCGAAAACUGCUAGGUUUUCAAUGUUAGCAUUGGGUCUAACGACGCGAGCAUCCGAGUACUUACUGCAUGCAUGUAAUUUUUUCUUGCAAGGGUUUACAAUACUUGGAGCUUUGACCAAAAAAAAAAUUUUUUUUUUGUUUGAGCAAAUGACAACUUUUAUUGAUCAUCAUCAUCGGAAGAUAUCUGUCGUAAAUAUUAGGAUACACUAACCAGGAAGUUUACACCAGGCCGUGAUGAGGCUUUGGAGUUUGUUGCGAUUUCAUUGUGAAGCAGUUGGAGAAAUUUGUUACUACUUCAAAAUUUAAGCUAAAAUUCUACUUGUCACUAUUGUCAAAUUACUAUAAAUUAUGACCGGUGAAAAUGAACUCUCGAGUCAGCCCCCCUCUCUCUCUCUCUCUCUCUCUCGCAAUAUCGACUCAAGCAAAGAUGAAAGAGAGCCUAGCAAAAAAGCAAUGAACCUGACCUAUGAAUGAAAAAAGCUAGAGGACUACUGCUUUCAUUCCUAUGUAUUGAUUCAAACACAUAAAAUUAUCUUCUUCACCGUUCUAAUUGCUUCAUCAAUUCUUAACAUGCACAAAUCAACUACCAAUUUUAUAAUUGACAAUUUUAUCAAUAUUAGCAUAAACUAAAUCUAUUGUUCAUAUAUUCGUGCAAUGUGCAUAAUUUUUUAGCACACAAAAGUAAUUCCAUGUAAGAAUUGAGAAACCAGAAAUGUAAGAAUAUUGAUAAGAUCUUUAAUUUCAUAAUUUGCAAUUUCAGGCAAAAAAAAAGUGUGAGAUCUUUUUUAAGCUAAAUUUAUUAUCAAUUUUAUAUCAAUUUGGUAUUGCUUGAAAUGCUCCUUCUCUUUGAGAAUUUUCAUUAAAUAUGCAAAUCAUUUGAGACUUCACCCAUAUUUGAAAACGGUAGACCACACAAUCAAAAUAGGUUCAGUUCAUCAUUCAGAUUGAGAGAGAACUGGCCAAAAAUACCAAAAUCCUAGCACAUCAAUUUGCUACAUAGAAUACGACGGGAAGGAGGAGGGCAAACCCGCAAACAUCCUCUCAUCCAAUACCCACCAAUAAGCAACAAAAAGAUGCAGCGUAGAAUCGGGAAUUGCUAAUCAAAGGGGGAAAAAGGCAAUCUACAAAAGAAUGAGAACAGAAUGUCUACUUGCAUUCUGUGCAGUAAUGCAGUUAGUCAAAGCUUUGAUGACCGGCUCCAUCUGCCUCGUAGAUAGUCCUAGAGUGAGAUAGUUUGCUCGAUGCUGGAAAGAGAAUCCUCCACACCAUGCAACGCAAGGUUUAGAUGGGAUUGGAGAUUGGAAUGUCAAAAAGUUUCAUCGUCUAAAGCUUCAGAGCCCUCCAAACUAUCAACUAGUUUUACGGUAUUAGUCCCUUCUAAACCAUUCACUUGUAGCCUUGCCCACUUGGUCACCUCCAUGUCACCUUGGAGGAGCUUCAGAAUAAGGCUCAUCUGAGGUCUAGCUCUUGCCGCACGUCUAAUACAAAGUGCAGCUGCUAAAGCCAUCCUCUCCAACUCCUCACCAUCAUACAUGCUACUUAAACUUGGGUCUAGCAGUUGAGUAAAUUUUCCGGAGUUUGGAAUUGGUUUUGCUCACAUAACAAGGCUUUCUUGGCCCUUUGGAGAGUCAUUGCUUAUAGGCUUUCUUCCUGAAAGAAGCUCAAGAAGGACCACUCCAAAUGCAUACACGUCAAUCUUGUCAUUAACUUUUCCAUACACAAAAUAUUCAGGAGCCAAGUAACCGAAAUUUCCUGCUGUGCAUGUUAUGUGAGUUGAAGUGGUUGAAGCCCAUUUAGCCAGCCCAAAGUCAGAGAGCUGAGGCUCAAAAUCAUCAGAGAGUAGUAUAUUAGAAGAUUUCACAUCCCUGUGAAUCACUGGCUGAGCAUCUCUAUUGUGAAGAUAUUCAAGUGCUUCGGCUACACCAACAGCCACCUUAUAUCUCUGGGUCCAUCCAAAUGCAAGUGGAUCCUUCUUGUAACGAUGAAGGUUCUCUUCAAGGCUUCCUCUUGACAGGAAAUCAUACACCAAAAGGAGGUGGUUGUCCUCAAAACAAAACCCAAAAAGAGAGAUGAUAUUCAAAGGAGUAAUAAUCUCUAUUUCCAGAACAAACUCUGUCAACACAACUUCAUAUCAUGCUUAAAGAAUCGGCCGAGUCCAAGACCACUUGGCCGAGUCAUCACGGGAACGCAGCUCUCAGUUUUGAUACCGGAACGAGAUGAUUUUGAAAUACAUGGAUUGCCAAGAACUAGGCCGAGAAGUCUCUGACACAAAUAAAAAUGGCCGAGUCAUACCGAGUCGCUUCAAGUCAUCCCGAGUCCAAAUCAUUUGCUAAUUUUUACUUUCCUUUUGCUAAUUUUUUAUUAUUUUGUUUAGCAUAUUUUUUAUAUUAUAUACAAUUUUUAGAAUAUUAAAUGCUUCAAAAUUAGCGUCUUGCCAAGACCGCGAUCGAUAUGCCGAAACCGAUGUGAAACAGUCCGAGCUGCAACCGCGACUUUGAACCAUGCUUCAGAUGGCUUUAAAAUUUUGACAGCAAGCUCCUUUCCAUCAGGAAGGCAACCCUUAUAAACCUUACUGCUUCCACCUUUACCAACCAUGUUCUCGGGGAUGAAAUAUGAUGUUGCUGAGACAAGUUCCUCGUAUUUAAACAAUCUACAAGUUGCUGAAUACUUCUCAUGGAGACCCUCCAACUCCUUUGGUAAGGCCUUAGAUAUACCAUCUGAAUAAGUAUCUCAUUGCCAAUGGGAACAAUCGCACUACAUUCUCCAUCUAUUUUGGGGGAUUGAUCUUUAUCAUGACCACAAACUCUUCCUUUUUCAUUUGAAUCAAUUGACUGAAAAUGCUUGCUGGGUAAACGCAAUGCCCACUGAACCACAGUGAUCUGACGGAAUGAGGAGUUGUUAAGUUCGCUUGUUUGAUAAUAUUGCUCGGCGAAGAAGUGGCCAACCAGGUCUAACUUCAGGCAAUUCCCUCAUCAACAUCGAAAUUGAACUAGAUGCAACCUCUAUCUUUUGUAAUGGCACUACCGCCAUUGAGUCUCCAUUGCUGCCAUCACAGGAAGAUUCUUUUGCUGAUUGUGUAUUGCGAUCAUCUUCAGGUACUGUAGCAAGAGAACAAAUAGGACAACCCUUUUUUAAGAAACCAUCCUCAUGUUUAGAAUCAGCAUUUUUUUGGGGCUAGAUCUAAAGUCCCAUUAGUAACGUGGUCAGAUGCUAUCAUUCCCAUUGCCAAAUUGCCAUCAGUGAUUGCUUUGUUAUUUUUAGUCAGAGAACUCUGAAGUGCAUUAAAUAGACCAUUCCUAUGGUGAUGUUCAAUUUCUUUUGUGAUGAUAUUGGAGGAAGAUGGAGCCCCUUUAUGAAAGAUAAUUUUCCCAUUAUUUACAGCUAAAGUUGAACGAUCCUUGGCCAACUUCUUAGCACAGUAUUUAGCUACGGAGGCUGAUGACCUGAUGGUAUGAUGAUUCCUUGAAGUUCCAACUAUAAGCUCAGUUGCUGAGUAAGAUUUUGCUUCACGAACUAAAAUUUUGCGAAUUGAUGAUCCUCUGCAGAUCUUUAGCUUGAGAUCCACAUGUCUGAGGUUGCAGAAGCCUUCAUAAACUGCAAGAACAGAGUCAAAAGCUUUACAAGAGACAGCAGAGAUGAUUUCCCAUCACGAUCCACAAUUUCAUUACUAUCAAGAACAUGAACGGCAAUGACACGAUCCCCAGGCUGAGCAACUUUAACCAAAGCCCAAGUGAGCAGUUUUUUACUCUGAGCAUCAAGCUUCACUCCCACCACCACCGUCCGGCCAUCAACACUUCGAUAUCCAGAUGCAUUCGAGUAUAACCGAAGUGAAUCUUUCAGGUUUCCAUAUGUACAUGUAACCAUUUGCUUCACGCUAGUACGACGAUUUUUUUGUGGACAUUUUUUUCAUUAUAAGUGGAAGGGCUCAAAAUCUAACCUCUCACUUAAGGUGUUUUUGAUAAAAUUAAAGUUUAAAAAUUUAAAUUUAAAUUUUGAAAUUUGAAAUUUGAAUCCAUUAAAUCAGUGAAUUGUUAACUAUUAAAUUUGAUACAUUUGAAUGUAUAUCAUAUUAUUAAGUGAUAAGUGAAUAGUUUAUCACUUAUAUUUUGGAGCAAAUUUUACCUAAAAAAUUUAGUGUAACUUAACGAAUUCAGAUGUUCUAACUUUGGUUAUCGAACGUAUCUGAAUAUGUUAAGAUCUGAACCUAUUAAAUUUAAAUGCUGAAUUAGAUUAUCAGAUACGACUUAGGCUCUGUAAAAUUCAGUUAAACCGAUACCCUAAUCCAGACCCUUAUGGAUCUUAAAAAAUAAGUCCAAAUCCAAAUCCUCCUGAAUCUAGAUAUCUAAUGGGUAUCCAUUAUUUUUUCUAAACACACUAAAGUAAAAAUAUAUUAAAAAUACAUAGAUUUCAAAAAUAUAUAUAUAUAUAAACAUCAUCCAAUUUUUAUUUUCAAAUAAUAAAAUUAAUAUUUGAGAAGUUGAAUGCAAUAUUAUGAAUUCAAAAAAAUAACCAUUAUUGACUGCUUCUAUUUAUUUUUAAAACUUCAACUGUAUCUACAUUCAAAUUUUCGUUUAUUUGCCUUUACUUUUUCUUCUUGUUCUAAAAAAGUUUGUACUAAUUACAAUGAUAAGCAGAAUUAAUUUGUAAAAAGAAAACAAUCAUGAAAUUUUACUAUAUUUGAUCCAAUGACCAUAGAAUAUUAGAAUAUUUUAUAAAUUUACUAAUAUAUAUAAUUUGAUUAUAUAUACAUGGGUUUGGGUAGGAGCCGGUAUGAAUUUGGAUUUGGAUAUGGAUUAUAAAAAUUCACACCUUAUCUACAUCCAUAACUCUUUUACAAGGUUUGGAUCUAGGUAGGAUUUGGAUUUGAAAAAUUAAAUUCAAACCCUACCCAAGUAUAUUGGACUUGGAUAAAAUCCAAUCCAUUUACAUGCCUAACCACCACCCCACCCUCUUCCUCCUCCCCCUUCCCCUUCCCUCUUCCUCUUCCACUCCUCUUCUCUUCCCCCCCCACCCCUACCCCCACCCCUCCCCUCCCCCUUUCGAUUUGGUUGGGGCCUCUGGUCGCUACCAAAUCGCGACCAAAAAGUAUAAUUCAGAUGCAGUAGUUCAACAUAUCAUGAAAAUUAGUCAAGAAUUUGGACUAUUUCAGUAGUUUAACAAAUCAUGAAAAUUACUUAAUUCUCAUUCUUGUUGCUGUUUUUCUUCUUUUUUUUUCCCUUUUUUUCUUUGAGAAAUUCGACUUAGAAACUGCACCUCCUCCACGCCGGCAGAAAGAAAACACCGAAAGAAAAGCCAAAACUGAUCUUUAUUUGUUUCUUUUUCUCCUGUGCAUCUGGUUGGAUUUCGUGGUUUGGCAAUUAUACCCUGCCGGAAAAACUGCUGAAGAAUAAGAAAUGGUCGAAAAGGACAAAUAGGAAAGCCAAACAGCCAAAUACUUAAGCUAGAUUCUAGUUUCUUCAGCACUAAUGUCUUGCGUUCACAGAGUAUAGUAAUAAAGCAAAAUGACUAAAUCCAAUGGAUUAUUAUUAGAUUCCCUAUAAAGACUCAGACAAGAAAGACAGCGCAUUAUUGUGUUCAACAAGUUCCAAACAUCCAUCGUCUUUACAAACAAGUGUGAUACAUGUUUACCCAAACAUAUGGCGACGACAAGAAUCCUGUGACAAGAUCUUUUUCACUUCAUUUUGGUUCCGUUAAAUAUGACGAUGCCCUUUUUUCCAAAGAAAGAAUAAAAUGACUCCUUUACUUUUUGUUUUUCUUUGAAUUUUUCUAUCGAACCCCCAUUGGACACUUAUUUAACACAUCUAAAUUUUACAUAAUCUGUCACAUAUAUUAUAUAUAUAUAUAUAUAUAUAUAUAUAUAUAUAUAUAUAUAUAUAUAUAUAUAUAUACAUACUAAUAUUUGUUACCUUUCCUUAUAUUUAUUUACCUUUCUUGAUUAAUCUUACGUUUUAAAAAUUUUAAUAUAUGUUAAUGAGUGCCCCGUUGAGCACCCAUUAUACAGACACUUUUUCUUUCACAUUUCUUGUAUUUUCUUGUUAAUAUGUAUUUUGCUUCGAAAACAAUGAAUACUAGAAUAUGCUGAACAGAAGGAAUUAAUGCGAUAGAAAUGAUGUAUAGGUAGAGUUCUCGAAAAUUUUCUGCUAUAAACUAUGAUACUAUUUCUAAAUACUACUAAAUUUUAGUGACAUAAUUCGUGUGAAGUGAAGUGGCAUAUCUUCUCUUGUUUACUUUCUCUUGCUCUUAUGCGUGGCGUGCAAAUAAUCCUUAGAAUUGUUCUUAAUAUUGACCAGAAAAGUUCAAUUUAAGAUUGUUCUCUUAGAAAGGAAAAGUGCAAAGCGAAUGAUUCCAAAAGGGAAAUGUUGUUUUCCCUUUCCUUUUCCUUUUCCUUUCAUUUUCAGAAAAUCUAGAAAUGCACCCACAUAAAACAAUAUUAUUCCAGCAUAAUUUUGUGUGAUGCAUCGCUAUUUGCUAAGAUGCAACAUGGUACAAUGUUCCUUCCAUGUUACCAACACAUAACAUUUGUUGGCUUCCAAUUUUGCGCAAUUGCCAAGAUGAUUUUUUUUUUUUUUUAACAUUUUCUUCCCCACCCUGACUUUAUUGUCCCUCUCACUUUGUCCCUUGCUUCACGUCAAUACUCAACAUUAGUAUAAAAUCAAGGGUAAAUUACUUACUAUCCCCUAUGAUUUUGCAGAAUGCUAGAUGACCCCCCUGAGAUUUUAAAAUAGCCACAUAACCCUCAUGUAGUUUUAUGCAAAAUGAAAAAUAGAUAGAAUGUACAAUCAAUUAUGCCAUUUAUACCAAAUUUUUUUUAAAAGCGCGUGUGAUAAAAUCUUAAUAUCGAUGUAACCCCUUAUGAUUUAUAUAAAUAUUCACUUUAUUCCUCUAUGAUUUUUGUAUUUAUCCACAUAAUCUCUUUAUACUUUUAUACGAGGUGGUUAAGCCAUUGAUUAAUUUAUUAGCAUUUAAAUAAAGGCACUAUUGAUAUUUUAAUUUACGAUGUUACAAAGCUAUUUUUCGUCAAAUUUUCACUUUAUACAAAAUCUUAUGAGGUGAAGUAGAUAUUUUAAAAUGUUAGGAGGGCCAUGUGGUAAUAAAUAAAACUACUGGGGGUUACAUGUAAUUUACCCUAAAAUCAAAGACUUCAAAAUUUCUUCCAAAAUUGCCAUGUCAUGCCAAGGUUAUUUUUGUUGUUAAAUAUGUAAAGAUGCCGUCCCUCAAUAUCAUCCCAUGUAUUUUAUUAAUCUCAAAUCCAUUGCCAACACUGUUGUGAGUUGUGACUUGUGAUUGAGUUGAAAGGACGAAAACAAAAAGUUCCACAUCAAAGUGUUAUUAUCUGCAUUUUGUGUAUUGGAUACUUUGCUGAUUGAUGCUACUAAUUAUACUGAAGUACUAGUGCAUUCUUUCUCAGUUUCAACGACGCUACUUCUAUGAAUAAGCAAGUUAUUUAAAAGAGACAAACUAAGUUGGAUAAAAAAAAGCCAUUUAACUCGUGCCUCCUCCUCAUCAUUCCAAUACAAUCGAACCCAUAGAUCAUUGAGUUACUGUGGGAAUCUGAUGGAGGACUACGAAGCAGAUGAACAAGAAGCCAACGGAGGUAAAAAACAGCGACAACCACCACAGCCGCCGGAUACUGAUUGGUUCGAUGUGGAAGAUAACAGUCUCUAUGGCCUUUAUCAGCAACAGAACAAUCCCACGCCCAGCAAGGUUGCUUUCUUGGAAGGUGGUCAACAAGCUACGAGUACUCCGCCGCAGUUUAAUUGGGUACAGAAUGAUUUCCAGCACCUGGUCAGCACGCCUGCAGUGCAUUCAUUCCAACCAAUUUAUGAUCAGGCCACGGCCAAGAACAACGAGCAGCCGCAGCAACAACGACUUCCUGAAACGGGCGGCAAAUGGCAGCAGCUCAAGGGAAAAACACAUUCGUUUACCUUAGCAUCCCUGGAGCUUCUGAGCAAUUAUGGGAAGGGCUUCAAGAAUGCGGCCAGAGAAGAUCAAAACUGGAGCAACGACUCCCCAACAAAUAUUGAUCAGGAUAGCAGCCAGGGCCGGAGAUUAUCCCUGGGAGAGAUCAUCAGGGCGGCUGGAGCGAGGUACAUCCAAUUCUCCACCAAAAAUGUUGACGGCUUUUCGGGGCUUAUCCACCCAUACGCUUCUGCCAUCACGGACAUUUCAGUAGCAGAAACUGCAGACGUGGAACUCGUGCAGUUUCUUUUGAUUGCAGCGAGUGCGUGGGUCACAAAAAGUUUGACCUCGCAAGCGGCUUGAUCACUCGCUGCCUGUGUAUCGCCUCCGAUUCAGGGAAUGCUGCCCAGAAAUUGUAUUCCACUUUGCCGAAGCUUUGCAGCAUAGGAUUGAUAUGCAGACAGGAAAGAUCACUCCUGAGAGAAUCAUUGAACGGUUUGCCUAUGCAAGGAACCUUGAAUUGGAUUUCAAUCUUUCCUUCCUGGCAUGCCACCAGGCGAUCCCCUUCACCCAGGUCACACAAUUUGCUGCGAUGCAAGCAGUCAUUGACAACGUCAAAUCGGCAACCAAGAUCCACCUGGUUGAUCUGCACAUCAGGAGCGGAGUCCAAUGGACCGUGUUGAUGCAAGCUCUGGUUGAGCGGGAUGACCGUCCAGCACUCAGGAUAACGGCGGUGGGAACCAUGAACAAGCAGCGUAUGGAGGAAACGGGCAAGAGACUGAUCAGCUUUGCUCAGUCCUGAAUUUAUCCCUUUCUUUCAAUGUAGUGAUGGUCUCCGACAUGGAAGAGUUGAAGGAAGACAUGCUCAGCAAAGCACCUGAUGAAGCCGUGGCUGUUUACUCUCCCCUAAUACUCAGAACCAUGAUCUCAAAACCUGAGAGCUUGAGAAAUGUAAUCAAAGUGAUCAGGAGGAUGAAGCCGGCGGUAGUGGUAGUCACCGAGGUAGAAGCCAACCACAAUUCACCGCUAUUCAUUAGCCGUUUCACCGAAUCCCUCUUCUUUUAUAGCGCAUUCUUUGAUUGCCUGGAGGACUGCAUGGAGCGGAAUAAUGAGCACCGGAAGACGAUUGAGGGAAUCUAUUUGGGUGAAGGGAUUAGAAACAUGGUUGGGAGCGAGGGCGACAAAAGAUGUACCCGAAAUGUGAUGAUUGAUGUUUGGAGAGAGUUCUUCACAAGAUACGGGAUGGUGGAGGUCGAACUCAGCCAUUCAUCUCUGCAACAAGCUAAUAUGAUUCUCAAGAAGUUCCAUAAGGCCAGCUCCUGCAAUCUUAUCAAUACUGGUAAAGGUAUAGUCAUUGGAUGGAAGGGAACUCCCAUCCAUUCUCUUACUACUUGGAAAUUCAUGUAAUUAAGCAGAUUGAUUCUGAAGAGUAAAAUAUAAGGAAGGAAACAAAACUCUCCAAUUUGGAGGGCAAGUGAAAAAUGUCUGUUAGAUUUUUAUUUGGAAAAUGCCAAUGUUACAGAAGGAAAUAUAAUAUACAUAUAACUUCUUGAUCCAAACAAUAGGAAAAUCUCUCCUCUUCUCUAUUUCUUUUUCUCGUGACUUAAGUUUUGUCGUCUUUCUUUUCUAUCCUGAACUCCCAAGCCAGGUUACGCCUAAUCUCAUUCCAUACCAUGGCCAAAAAUCUAAAGAAGGAUACCGGAAACAAAUGCAAUUGCUUUUUCAAAACAUCGAAUGCAUUGUUGGAAAGCCCAAUUAUUAUGUUAUUGGGAUCCCAUAAGAACACAAAUACAGCUAUCUUAGUCUUGAUCCAAAUUGCAUUUCUUUAACCAAAACCUUCUUGAGAGCACGGAGAGUUAAUUUGUAUUGAAUAUUUGUUUGUAGAUCAUGAAUACAAAUAUUUUAGAACCAACGAAAUAUACAUUAAGGGAUCAUACAUACCUCAGUGAAGAUUACUCUAUUCACUUUUGCUGAGAGAGAUAGAGAAUUGGAUUUUUGGUCUCAAAUGUUCGGGGCAUGAAUGUUUCUAGUUCCUAAAGUUUGGACGAAAACAAAUAUAGUCCCAAAAUUUCAAUCUCUAAAUGCAUUUAAUCCUAUUGACUGAUUUUUGCCAAUUGCUACCCGAAUCCAAUCACGUGCUACUAUGUCCGGCAAUUAAUUUUUUGAAGAAAAAUAUUGUUGGCCAUAAUUUGCAGUAAUAGAUGAUUAAUUACUCACAUGUAGAUCACAUAAUCAGUCAUCUUUUAUUCCAGAUUAUAGCUAGUAACAUUUUAUCAAAUUUUAAAAUUUUUCAAAAAUUAAUUAUCAACAGAUUUCAGUAGUAAUUGGGAAAAACCAGUCAUUAGGACCAAAUUUGCAUGAUAGCUGAAACAUCUAGGACGUCAUUUGCCUUCAUCUAAAAUUUAGGAACUAAAAACACUCAUAUCUCAAACAUUUGAAACUAAAACUGUACUUCUCUCAAAAAGAAAAAAGAGGUUUUGGUAGAUAUUAGCAAACCAAAAUAAUAAAUAAAUGAAUACUAAUCUAGAUACCUAGGGGUUAUAUUGGAAUUGAAGGAUAAAACUGAAAGAUUAAUGUAAUAACUGUAUGUAACGUGUUUGUGUUUAUUUAUACUCGUUGUAAAACCUUAAUGAGCAUAAAUGUGGAAUGUUAAACACACGCAAAUUUCUUGCAUGAUGGUUUCAAUUAAAGUAAACUAAUUGAUAUGAAAGACCGGAUUGAUUUGGAAACUCUAUUAGUUAUAAUACAUCAAAAUUAAAUAAAGUACGUAAAGUAAAACAAAGUGGGUUGGGAAAAAAAAACUCUAGAAAUUUAGGUACGCGUAGGGCUUCUCCUAAAGUUAUGGAAAGAAUCUUGAUGAUGUUUUAUUGCGUCGACACAGUAAUUGUUAUCUAAAAACCAGUAAUGACAAAACGAAACAUAAAUCUCUGUCUUGUAAACAUGAUUUCUUACUACAAAACUAUAAUGGUAACUUAUAUCUUUGAUAAAUGAGGCAUUCGGAAACCAUCCAUUUCACUGCCUGAUAUUUUCUAAUUCCGAUUGGUGGAAUGCCAAUAGUCUUCCAAAAUCACAUUCCAUUGCAAUCUUUAAGUUAAAAGCAAAAUGACAGAUUACAAAGAGAUAUAGAAAAUAUAUGACUUAAUAAGUUUGUUCAACAUGCCCAAAUCAUACAGUAAUGGUGUAAAAGUUCAAGCCAUCGUGGAAAAUAUUUACUUUUCACAUAAAAUUAAGAAGAAUAAUAUAAAUGGUCCGACCUCAUGAAACGUAAGAUUUGAAAAUGAAUCAUCAUAAUAUUCUCUAAAUUUAUAGAUGUAAAUUACUAGAUCUUAGUCGUAGAAUAUUAGUUGUCUAACUAGGAUUAGGAUUGAAUUCGUAAAUUUGGAUGGGGAUGGACAUGGGCUAGGUACCCAUCUUGUGGGCAUUUGACUGACUUGAUUCGUAUUUUGUCAUUUUCUAAUCUUAUUCACUCUGCGUAUCAAUUGGUAUUCGAUUAUCAAGUACCCAACCCACCCUUCUCAUCAUUUAAUGUUUUUAAAAAAUAAGUUACACUAAUUUAUUUUUAUAUUUUACAUAUCCAUCAAAUGUUCAAUAUAGAUUUUACCUAGAAAAAAGUGUCAUGCCAUAAACAAAUAUCCAAAGAGUAUGCAAAAAAAAAAAAAAGAAUUCAGAACCAAUAAAUCCAAACUAAUGAUAAUUGUUAUAAGCAUUGCCCUUUUUGACACAUAUUCUAUAUCAAUUAAAUUUUUUAUUAAAAAGGAUCAUGACAUCUACAAAUGAAUCUAGUAAACAAAUUAUAGGUGUGAAGUACUUUUGACUUUUUAAUCUUCUUGACGGGUAUUUUACAUACGUACAAGUUAAAAAAUUCGAAAUUACACACGUUCACUGCAAGUAUACAGGUCAACUGGUAGUUUAGGGUAUAUAUCGGGUCGAUCCACAGGAAAAAAUGAACAAUUACCGGUAUUACUAAAGCUUCUCUAUUAUUUAGACUAUCAAUGAAUUAUAACAAAUUUAACCUACUGAAAUUAUACAAAAUAACAAAUAAAAGCUCCUUAGGUUAUGAUAUCCCUAACUACUCAUGCAAUUGCCAUUUUUGGAUCAUUGAGUACUACAUGUAGGUUAGUUAUGGUGUAAUUUCCUUAUGCAUUUGAAUCCUACUUUCGUAGUGAAUCAAUUAUACUUAUAACUAAUCAUACCUAUUCUCAUGGUUAUGAAAUUAGCUACAAGUUCAUUUCUUCAGUGAAAUUACAUGAAAUGAAUCACUAAAAACCACAUAGGUGUACCUCUACUUUCGUGAGUGUACUCCCUAUAUUUAGCACUUCUUGAACUAGUGUUAAAUCUCAACUUUCAUUGCAGAAACAACACCUUAGGUAAUCACAAUCAAUGGUACCAGAUUAAUCAUGAUUUAAAGAGCCAAAGUGCUAAAUAAUUUGCUCAAAUCAUAGCAAUCAAAUAACCAAAUAAUAAACACUAACAAUUAUAGAAAGUUCAACCAAACCCAAGGCAUAAACUUUAGAAACACAUAAUAACAUAUAAAUCCAUAACUUGUAUAUUAACUAAACUUAGAAUCAAGUACAAAAGAUAAAGAGUUGGAAAGAAAAAAUAACCCUUGUCACAUGAGCUCUUUCCUUGCCUUCUUCAUCUCCUUCUUCAUCUUUGCCUAGCUAAUAAACAAGAAGGAUGAAUUACUACUCUAUACUAAACUAAUCUAACACUAAGAGAAUGGAAAAGCUACAUUUUUGCAGACUCCAAGCUUCUCCCAUAUGAUCAUCUCAGACCUCCCAAAUGUCUCUGCAUAUAAACUACUCCAAAGCUCAUUUUUCACUGGUCAAACUUUCCACACUUGAUUUCCAAAUCUGAAAUUGUUAAGAUAGUCAAUAACAAAUGUUUUUGACUUGAAAAUAAGCCACCUUUCUUGCCAUUUUGUCUUCUGAAGCAUGUGCACCGAAUUCCCUUGCAACUUAUACCUGGAAAGUAGUCUGAACACAAGAGAAAUGGCUAAGCAAAUUGCAGAAUUUUGGCUUCAAAACACGGCUUGGAGUCGCGUGUUUUUAACUCGCGUUUUCAAUUCUGUGUUUUUGGCUUCACUUCAACUGCAAUUUUCUCUAUGAUUGAGGCCGAACUAGCUUUUGUGCAAAACACAAAAGUUUUAGCCCUUUGAAUUAGCUUUGCAAUGCUUCAAAAAUCAUCCAAAUCGAAGCUUUGUAGACUGAGAUAUGACCGAAAUACUAAUACCUGGUCAAACCCCUGUUUUCAACUUUGGACAGCAGUGUUGAAUUUUGGUAUUUCGACUUUUUGACUGAGUAAUCGGCUGAAUUGGAUUCUGAUGUCUUCAUACCGAAUUUAGAUCUAUUUCUUAGUUUCAAAAUGGUAUAAAGAUCACUUCAAUCCAAUUUGUGUAGCUGCAGAUAUAGUUGAAAUACCAAAACGUGUCAGAGUUGUCAAAGCUGACUUUUCUUGAUCCAAAUUGCAUUUCUCCUUUUACACUUCAUAUUUUAUUUUCACCACUUUAAUCCAUUUUCAAUCAUCCAAAUAUCUUUUCAAUGCCCUUCAUUGGAUGAUUGAAUCAUUAAACCUACAAAAUAUGAAGUUUUUACCAUAAAAAUCCAUAAAAUGCAAUGUUUAGCUACUUUAACAUAAAAUGUAGUUUUUUACCAAAACCUUAGUUAUUUUACUUACAAAACUAAAUAAUCAAACCAAAAUUAACUAAUAAAACACACUAAAAAAACGUAAAAUAUAUUCUUAUCAAAUACCCCCACACUUGAACCAUUGCUUGUCCUCAAGCAAUAAGAAAUAUAAACCAACAAUGAUCCAAAAUUUGAAAAUAAACAUAUGUAGCAUUUCAACUUCAUUUCCUCAAAACAAAGUAAAUAACUACUAUGCAAUCAUUCAAUAACCUCAAGUACUCAUAAUAUCAAGUAAAGGAGAGCCAAUUAUACCAUAAUUAUAACAAGUUUAAUUCAAUUUCUCAUUCUUACUCAAUUUCACAAGCAAGUAACUCAUAUGAUCAAUAAAAUGCUUCCUAAACCCAUGAUCAUCUUCUUAUUUAACUUAAAGAGGGAUUUAUUUAUAUAAUAUAGCUAAAUAUUACUUAAGUUGUGAAAGUAUCUUUUUUACGCGAGGAUCGACAUUUUUAGAUGAAGAUCACCGGUUACUCAACACUUCACAUACUCAAGUUGCUUUGCAUACUCUUAAUUCAAGUACCGUUUUACGCGAAAGUCGACAUUUUUAGAUGAAGACACCCGGUUACUAAGUACAAGAAUCAUUGGAGUAGAACAAAUCUUAUUGUAUUUUUGUCUUUUUCUUUUUUCUCGUCAUUUUUUUUCAUUUUUUCAUUUUUUUAUUUUUUUUAAAGUAAAGAUAAUAACAUUCCCUCGAAAGCAUAAUCAUGAGAAGAGUAUUGCAAUUAUUGACCAUAUUUAUCACUUAACUUAUAAAAUCAAAUAAAGCGAAGAAAUUUCAUCAAAUAUGCAAAAAAAUAUAGGCAUAAUUUUCUCCACUUUAAAAGAUAUACUUUCUUACAAAUGCAAAUUAUAAUCACAUAAUAGUCAUUUUCAAGUUAAAUGAGAAAAGAAGUGCUUAAACCACAUAUAUUUAUCUCAAAUGUAGAAGGAGUUUGAACUACUAAUGGUAUGGAACUUGUUACCUCUUGGAUAAAAUCGAAAAAAUUUAAAAAAAUUUUGGGCAAGUUUGCAAUUUUGGACAAGAUUUUAGAAAAAUUUUGAAUUUUAACACAAGUCCAAUAUUUGCAACUAAUAAGUCAAUCACAUACAAUGUAUAUAAUCUCAAUUCUCCCCCACACUUAACAUACACAUUGUCCUCAAUGUGUAAAAAGGAAAAUCAAGAUAAAGAAAGUAAUACUCCCCUAUGAUAUGAUUGAAUAUGAAGCUUCAAGGUACGUUGUUCGUCUGUCUUCAUCGCUUCAUGAGUUCCAUUUGGUAACCAUUAGUGAUAUAAACCUAAAAAUGGAAAAUGAGAAACAAAAUGAUAACAAAGGCUUAAGAAAACAAAAUGGGGAUCCGUAACUUCAAGCCCUUGUUUUCGUGAUGUACCUAUAAAAAAAUACACAAUAAGCAACUCAAGGUACAAGAAAAUAUAUGAGGAAAAGAAGAAAAAGAGAAUCAAGGAAGCUGCAUUUAAAAAAAAAAAAAAAAAAAGUGCUCAGAAAACGCGACUCAUCAAAAUGCGCCAUCAAGCUGCGUUUUGUGAAGUCGCGUUUCUUCACAAAAUUUGCAGCAUUGAAAACGUGACUACGUGAGAAAACGCGACUCCAAGUCGCGUAUUGGAAGGCGCGUUUAUGGUUUCUGAACAAGCUGGAAAACACGACUUGGUAGAAAACACGACUUCAUGUCGCGUUUUGAAGGCGCGUUUUCUUCAGUAUGGGCGCAGAAUUGAAAACGCGAUUGUAUGAAAACGCAAUUCACUGGUACGUUUUAUAGAAAAACGCAUUUUCUGCUGUGAAAUUUAGCAGAAAUUCAACUUUUGAAUAAUUACAAAUGAUACCCCAAUUUCCCAAAAUGCAUCAUAGAUCAUUUGUUUGCUAAAAUUCUCAAUGCAUGCACAUGUAAAAUGAUCAAAACAUGCAUUUUAAGCCCUUCUAAUGAAUCAAAAACAACAAUUACUCAAAUCGAGGAGUUGAGUUCCUUGAUCAAAUUUUGCCUUUUUCACCUCAUUUGGUCACUUUUGCUUUCAUUUCCAAUACCUAUAAAUGAAAAAUAACGAAAUAACUCAAACACAUACUUUAAACAUAAAAUCACACCAAAAUAACAUAAAUAGCCAAAACAUUGGGCUGCCUCCCAAUAAGCGCUUUUAUUUAUAGUCGUUAGCUCGACUAUUGAACCUCAUUUUUCAAGGAGGCUUGGUUAAAGAAUAAUCCACCAUUUUAGGUCGUGGUGGAUCAUUAAAAGGUGACUUUAUAGCAAAAGUCACAUGUUCUAAUGAUAUGAGAAAUGGAAGUGACUUACCUAUUCCAAGUGUUUCAUAAAUAUUACCUUGAAUAUGCACCACUUGAGAACUUACCAAAGGGAAUGCCAUGAGAGUAUCUUGGCAGCAAUACCCUUAGAACCUAUACUUUCAAUGCACUCCUCAAGAGGGGUGAAAAAUGAGUCAUUAAAACUCACCUCUUGAGGCUCAAAGUUAGUUCCAAAGAUAUUAUCAUGUGAAAUGGAUAUUUGCUCAUUAAAACACAAUUGAGAUUCAUCAUUUUCAUCAAAUGCAAUCCAUUUUCACAUACAACAUUCCUACCAUUCAUGCUAGGAUCAUUUUGCAAUUUAUUAGAAGAAAUAACUUCACACAAUGCAUUCAAUUGCUCAUUUAUUCUACCAAAGUGAGAAGUUAAUUCAUCUAUUCUUUCUCAAUCCUAUCAAAACGGUCAGAAGUCACAUUAGCUAAUUUUUCUAAAGCUAACUCCCAAGAUGGCUUAGAAUCAUUAGCUACCUUUCAUUGCCAACUCCCAAGAUGGUUUUGAUUCAUAUUGGACACAUUCAGGUUGGUAAUCAUAAAAAUAUGAAGAAUUACUAUAAGUACAUUGAUUAUCCCAACCAUAAGCAGGAGAAUUGCUCAAUUAGCACUAUAUUGAUCAAAACAAGGAUUGUAAUGCUCUAAUUCAUCAUAAUAAUCCACAUUUUGUGCUUGCAUACAUGUAUUAGUAUCAUGAUAACUCCACACAAGUCACAAAUCACAUGAUAAGAAUUAAAAGCAUUAACAUUCCUCCCUUGCUCAAUUUCAUGCAUAAUUGUGUCCAUUUGAACUUGUAACAUAUAAUCAAAUUUUGCCUUUAAGCACUUAAACCAUCUUCAAAAGACAUACCUUCAGUAAUUUCUUGGUUACCUCUGUUGAAGGAGCUUUGCACUUGGUAACCAUCCAUUGCCAAUCUUCCACUUCUCAAGCAUUGUCCUCCAAAUUGACCUACCCUCUCAUUACCUAAAAUUGCUUUUAAACAACUUAAGAGCAAAAUUAGUAAGAAGAAUAGGUGAUAAACAUACACAUAAAAAACUAAAAUAACAGAAAAUAACAUUCACACUAUAACUAAUAAAAUGUCUAAACUAAUAAAGUUGCUCUUCACACCGAUAUUGCCAAAUCUUCCCCGGCAACGGCGCCAAAAACUUGACGGGUAUUUUACAUACGUACAAGUUAAAAAAUACCGAAUUACACCCGUUCACUGCAAGUAUACAGAUCAACUAGUAGUUUAGGGUAUAUAUCGGGUCGAUCCCACAGGGAAGAGUGAACAAUUACCGGUAUUACUAAAGCUUCUCUAUUAUUUAGACUAUCAAUGAAUUAUAACAAAUUUAACCUACUGAAAUUAUACAAAACAAAUAAAAGCUCCUUAGUUGUGGUAUCCCUAACUACUCAUGCAAGUUUAUAUUUGGAUCAUUGAACUACAUCUAGGCUAGUUAUGGUGUAAUUUCCUUAUGCAUUUGAAUCCUACUUUUAGUGAAUCAAUUAUACUUAUAACUAAUCCAUACCUAUUCUCAUGGUUAUGAAAUUAGCUACAAGUUCAUUUCUUCAGUGAAAUUACAUGAAAUGAAUCACUAAAAACCACAUAGGUGCACCUCUACUUUCGUGAGUGUACUCCCUAUGUUUAGCACUUCUUGAACUAGUUAAAUUCUCAACAAUCAAUGGUACCAGAUUAAUCAUGAUUUAAAGAGCCAAAGUGCUAAAUAAUUGCUCAAAUCAUAGCAAUCAAAUAACCAAAUAAUAAACACUAACAAUUAUAGAAAGUUCAACCAAACCCAAGGCAUAAACUUUAGAAACACAUAAUAACAUAUAAAUCCAGAACUUGUAUAUUAACUAAACUUAGAAUCAAGUACAAAAGAUAAAGAGUUGGAAAGAAAAAUAACCCUUGUCACAUGAGCUCUUUCCUUGCCUUCUUCAUCUCCUUCUUCAUCUUUGCCUAGCUAAUAACAAGAAGGAUGAAUUACUAUUCUAUACUAACUAAUCUAACACUAAGAGAAUGGAAAAGCUACAUUUUUGCAUACUCCAAGCUUCUCCCGUAUGAUCUUCAACCUCCCAAAUGUCUCUGCAUAUAACUACUCAAAGCUCAUUUUUCACUGUCAAACUUUCCACACUUGAUUUCCAAAUCUGAAAUUGUUAGAUAGUCAAUAACAAAUGUUUUUGACUUGAAAAUAAGCCACUUUCUUGCCCUUUUGUCUUCUGAAGCAUGUGCACCGAAUUCCUUGCAACUUAUAGCUGGAAAGUAGUUGAACACAAGAGAAUGACUGAGCAAAUUGCAGAAUUUCGGCCAAAACGCGCCUACACAAAAUGCGGCUAGUCGCGUUUUUUACUUGCGUUUUCACUUUGUGCCUUACUUCAACUAGCAAUUUUCUCUAUGAUUGAGGCCGAACUAGCUUUUGUGUAAAACACAAAAGUUUAGUCCUUUGAAUUAGCUUUGCAAUGCUUCAAAAAUCAUCCAAAUCGGAGCUUUGUAGACUGAGAUAUGACGAAAUACUAAACACUGGUCAAACCCCUGUUUUCACUUUGGACAGCAGUGUUGAAUUUCGGUAUUUCAACUUUUGACUAGAAUUGGCUGAAUUGGACUGAUGUCUUCAUACCAAUUAGAUCUAUUUCUUAGCUUCAAAAUGGUAUAAUCACCUCAUCCAAUCUGUGUAGCUCCAGAUAUAGUUAAAAUACCAAAACGUGUCAGAGUUGUUAAAGCUGACUUUUCUUGAUCAAAUUGCAUUUUCCUUUUACACUUCAUAUUUUAUUUUCACCACUUUAAUCCAUCUUCAAUCAUCCAAAUAUCUUUCAAUGCCUUCAUUUGAUGAUUGAAUCAUUAAACCUACAAAAUAUGAAGUUUUUACCAUAAAAAUCCAUAAAAUGCAAUGUUUAGCCACUUUAACAUAAAAUGUAGUUUUUUACCAAAACCUUAGUUAUUUUACUUACAAAACUAAAUAAUCAAACCAAAAUUAACUAAUAAAACACACUAAAAAAAUACAUAAAAUAUAUUCUUAUCACUUCUGAUUCUAAACCAUCCCACAUAUAUGUGGAUACAUGAUCCUCUUACUCGGUCAUAUAAUACGGAUUAGAUACUCUAUUUCUCAAAACAGAUCGAAUAAGAUCUCAUGGAUUUUCAGAUCAACGGAUAUGUUUUCCCACUCCAAAAUUUAGAUUCUCAAAUCACCAAGAUCCUAAUAACUACUGUCGUGCCCCUUUUUUUUGGAAAAAAUAAAAUCCAAGCGUAUUUAGGGUGUUAGAAAAUGAAUUGAUUUGAAAAAUGAGUUUCUUAUUUUAGAGAAUAAACAAAAGAAAAAGGAUCUAAAAUGGGACUUAAAAAGUGCGACGAUUUUGGUCUAAUAUAAUACUCUAAAAAGGGUUUUUAAGAAAAAUAGGAGUCGCCACUUGGUAUUAAGUUAAGAUGUACCAAGUCACCUAAAAAUGAAUUUUUAAAUAAAAAUAGAAAAAACCCUUUUAGACGAUUCCAAGUUUUCAAAACACAAGAGAAAAGGGCUCGGGAGUCACAGUUGAAGAAAGGGAAGACAAGGAUAAAAUCCAAGACACCCUUUCAACCUAACCAAGGCCAAUUGCGUGAUUUAGUCGAAAAUUUUCUUAAUUUAACCUAUAAAACUUAUCACAUUUAGAUGUUACUUUAUGGAUGCAAACCUAGACCUAAUGGAUAUCGGAAUGGUCGAAAUAUCUUUUCAAAGUUUAAUCGGUGCAAAUCACAUUAAAUGUGAUGCCAAAAAUGAUUCUUAGAAAAGGUCACGAAUAUGCAAACAGUGAAACUCGAAGAAAAGAAAAAAUUAUAAUAUAUAAAUAUAUGUGACCUAAAAAGAGGCAUGCAACAUAACGGGUACGGGGGAUUAAGAUUCGUGAUUCAAUUUUCCUUUUUAUAGAGGAGAUACGAGUUUGCUAAGGUUAAGAAACCAUACUCGUACAUUUCCCAUAUUUGAAGGGUACUCCCCUAUCCUAGUCAAGCAAAUGAACUAAUCUAUAUCUAAUUCCCUAAAUGGAAUACAAGUCUAAAUAUCAUGCUUUGCACACAUAGGGGUAAGGGGUAUACAUAUAGAGGAAAUAUCAUGCAAAAUGGUAAAGAUCCUAAAAGUAGAAAAUAUGCAUGCAAUGUAGUGAUUGUCACGCAAGUAUGUGAUUCUAGUACGUGGACGGUCUAAAGAGUUUAGCAUUUGACUAACCCAUUUCUACAAUUUUUCACUAGCGUUGGACUAGUGAAAAAUCGGGGAGAAUGGCCAGAACUAGCGUAGGACUAGUGUGGUGACGUCAUGCAUUUAUUAUAAUUGAGUAAAUCAUAUAAAAAUAAUUAAAGCAAGUAAACAUAUAAUGUACAUAGAACACAUAACACAUAAGCAUAAUUUCUAGAUACAAAACCCUAAUGAAAGUGAGUAAACACAUAAGCACACAAGCAUGCAAGCACCCAAGCAAAUAAACGCAAAUAAGAGCUUAACUAUUAUAUUCAGGACCCUAACUACAAUCUAAGGGGGAAUUUUAAAAAUAAUAACCUAACAAUUACAUUUAUCUAACUAAAUACAUUUUUAACAAAAAUUAAAACCUAUCUAUUACAUAAGCUAGUUAAACACAUGUCUUGAGCACCUAUCUAUUACAACUUAGCAUUUUAAAACCUCUCAAAUGAUCAUCAAAAUUAGAUAAAACAAAUGAAACUUAAAAUAAAUAAAAAUGAAUAAUUAAAGGAAAAAAAAGUACUCAAAACAUACAAUUACACAUUAAAAAAAACACAGUGAAGCACAUAAAAGAAUUUAAAAUAAUAAAAAAAGGUUACCUCCCUUGAAGUGGUGGUUAUGUGGGGGUGAAAUUUGUCCUACUUAUGUUUCAAAAUCAACAAAAUGAUCAAGGCACUAAUUUAAUUGUAAAUAAAUGGAAAUAAUCAUGCAAUCUAGCAAUUAAAGAAGCAAAGUAACUUUUAUUUAAGAAAUCAAAACUAUUAGGGACCUAUUUACAAAAAUUAAGAAAUUUUUAUUAUCAAAUUAUAAUUAUUAUAAAAAUUAGGGGGUCACAAUUAAAAAAUAAAGUUUAGAGACCAACGUGUAAUUAAAUUAGGGACCUAAUUGAAAGAAAACUAAAGUUUUUAGAGCCAUAAUAUAAUUACUAGAAAGUAUAGGACUAACUUGCAAUUUGCGUUACCUGAUUACUUGAGCAAACAGGCCUCUGGGCCAUUUCUCUUAUUUUUCGGGCCAAAUCCUUCCAAGCCCAGCGAAAAGUUCAAGGAAAAUGCACAGGCCAAUCCAUAAUCUUACCCAAACAAAACCAACCAAAAAGGAUUGGCUUUUACCUCCUAAGCCCAAGCCAAAACCAAAAAUGAAGAUUUUUCUACCCCAACCAAAUCAAACCAUAACCCAAAUGACUAACUAUUUUUACCAAAAUAACAAAAAAUUAAGGUUUAAUUACACAUCACUAACCUACUUAAAAUAUGAAAAGAUGAUUAAAGUUAGAAGGGGGCAAAUUGAUAAAUAACCUACCCAAUAAACCACUUAAAAUAUGAAAAAGAUGAUUAAAGUUAGAAGGGGGCAAAAUUGAUUAAUUUCCUAGAUUUUGGGCCAUAGUGUAAUUAAGCAAAAGUUUUAGGGCGGACUUGGAGCUGAAAUUUGGGGGUACUGGAGAUGUUUUUUGGAGAAUUUUUCUUAACAAAGGUUACACUACUACAAGUGUAGAUAGUGCAAAUGACAAAAGAAUGCCUAAAAGACUUAGACUCGGGUCGAAUUUUGGUAGAAAAUUUGACAGCUCUCAAGUUUCUCAUCAUAAUUUUCUGCACUUUUUUUUCCUCCCUUAAUUUUCUCUCCUUUUUUGCUGUUUUUUUUUUUUCCUUUGAUCUCUCCGCCGCCCCAUGCUCUCUUGUUGUCCUUUCUUGCAUUUUGGAGCCUUUUAUAGGCACAAAAUCCACCCCCAAAACCUAGGAUCAAUGAUGUAGAUGAACUGAGUCUUAAUUUGGGAUUCCAAUUACUCAAAUGUGUGAACAAUUUAUUGGCAAAUCUAAGCUGUAUAUUGUCUUUUUAUCCUUUCUUGGCUAUAUCAUCCCCAUGAACAAGCCAAGGGUCUCCAGAAAAUAUGGCAUAUAUAGACAUAUCAUAAAUGUGAAUAUUUCCCAUAAUGAAUAAGUGAACAAUAUUAUGUUAAGUGAUGAGUAACUUUCCAUAUAUAUAUAUAUAUGAAUUCAUACAUCUAUGUUUGAGAUAACAUAAUACAUAACAUUUAGCAUAUUCCUUCACUGGUAUUAAUAAUGAUACUGGACAUCAUGGAUUAGGCAUUUGAUAAAUUUUUACAAUCCAUUCAAGAUUGCAAAGUGAUGCAACGCAUCUCAGUCCGUCAAGCUCACUUCACCCCACCCUGCAAUGCAAUUUUGCAGUUAGGCACAUUAUGUAUUUAAUUAGAAAACAUUGUAAAACUCAAUAUACAAAUCAAUCCUCCUCAAGAAGCAUUCAACGAGAUAACUAGGAAGGGCUGCAGUCGUCCCCCUAAGACUUUAGAAAGUUUUCAAAUAAGUACCACUUGAAAGAUCGUCAGUUUCCCCCACCAAAUUGUAAAGAUCAUGUUUAAAUUGUAUUGAUUAUUGAAUGAUUUAUACGUGAUAAUUUUUGCCGCUGCAUUCAUUUAUGAAGACUAUAACCAUUUUCUUUUUUGGCUUUUCUAUUUUCAUGCACUCAAACCUGUAAACUCUGAUGUCGAAAUCUGUACAAUAUAUAAAAACCUUAUGAAGCACUUUUUUGUAGUUUCUUCUUUAUGUUUUUUUCGUCAUCUUGUUCAAUUAAAAGUUUUUUUUUUCCGAAAAUUUCAUUACAGUAGAAUUGUAUGCCUAGAGCACUAGUGAUUAUAAUGAAAAUUAUAGAGAUUAAAGAGUGUGCAAGAUAGAACAUUACUUUGUGCAGUCGAUGUUGCGAGAAAUGUUGUAUGGGAGAUUAACACCACAGAGAUGAGGGAUUUGUGCAGCAUUCUUGAGCUGACCAUCAGUAGCACUCUGAGCAACAGAUUUCAAGCAAGAACAAACACUCUGGCGAUCAGUUUUAGUCUUAGCCAGGCUGAGUAGAGUCUGAAUCCCACUGCAGCAAGCAGGUGCAACUUUUCCUCCAAUCAGGACGAAGCUAAGGCAUGGAAGCAGGUCGUUUUCAACAGUGUCACAGGAGAUUUGUGCUUGCCCUCCAUGGGAGAAACUCAUGAUAAGCAUGGAUACGAACAUUACAAGAGUCCCUAGUUUGAGGAGUCCUGAUGAAUUAGCCAUACUUGAGUUUGCCUUCAAAGUAAGAAUGGUGAAGAAAGAAAUUGAUCUUUUCUUCUGGACCUGGAUUUUUUCAGCAGUUUGAAUACAAUUUAUAGAGGUGAUUAGCCAAUAGAAUGUGAUGCGUUGGGGUAAAAAUUGUUUCCUUUUAUACCACAGUGCAGAUUGUAAAAAUCAUACAAGUCUAUUUACAAGAAUUUUAAGAUUUUGAAAAUUAAGAAGAACAAGUCAACCAGGUGCAUGGCAUCGAACUCUAAAAGGUCUAGGAGUUAGUAUCAAUGGUAAAGAAAGUUACAAUUAAUAUACACUAGGGUUGUUAUCACUUUACCCCCUUCAACUAUAUUACUACUAUCAGUUUACUUCCUAACGUUAUCUUUUAGUCACUUCACCCCCAUUAGUAAUUCAACUCAACAUGUUAAAAAAUUUUGGACAAAAAUACCCUUUUAUUCUAUAGCAUUACUAUAUUGUUAUUAUUACUUUAUUCCUUUAAAUUAUAGUGAUAUAAUCGCUUUAAUUCCUAACAUUAUUUACUAAUAAGAUUGUCAAGAAGAAAAAAAUUAAUACUUUGACUUUUUUUCUUGAUACUAAAGAGGAGAAGAGCCACUCUAAAUUUUUUAUUAUUUUUAUUAUAGAAAGAGGAGGGUACUUUCUUCUAAGGUUUUUUAACUUGCUAAGUUAGUUUAAUAGUGAGAUAAAUUGUCUAAAAAAUAACUCUAUGGGGUAAAUUGACAAUGAAACUAUAGUUUAUGGGGGUAAAGUGAUAAUAACUUUAAGGGCUAAAUUUGUCUUUUUACUUUAAUUAACAAACUCUGUUAAGUUUGACCGUUAGUUUUGGGGGUAAAGUGACUAAAAGAUAACGUUAAGGGAGAAAUUGAUAGUUAUAUCAAACGUUAAGGGGGUAAAGUGAUAAUAACCCUAUACACUAAAAAUAAUGAAUCUGUAAACCAACAACCAAUCUCUUCAAGCAUUUAACCAGAUGUAGAUCUUCUUUCUUCUGGACUUAAAAAUCGAAUCUGGUAAAAUAAAUUCCUAAGUUGUUCAGUUUUUGUUCCAUUAACCAUUUUUUUUUUCUACAAAUCCGGUCAUAUGACGAUUUGAUUUUUCAACUUUCCAAACAAAUUUUUUAUAUUUAUCGAGAGAUUAUUGGAGCAAUACAGUCCAGUAACACAGUGCAAUCAAAUUGAAAAUUUCUUUCUUGGAGAGAAAAUUUUUUUCCAUCUUUGCAAGGGAACCAAGAUAAUUUUUUUUUUUAGAUCACGUUGCAACCUAACAUGCUGCAUUCAUUUAUGAAAUUCAAAUGUUAUCUUAUUCAUUCUUUAAACUUUAUUUCCACUUUUGAUGGGUACUAUGACUUUUUUGGCUGUCUGAAUUUUCUUGAGGAACGAAUCCAUUGUUAUCUGGAGAUGUCAUUGUGGCUAUGUAGUAUACUGGCCUCUCAUAUGUCUUGCUCAAAGGUUUUCUAUUAAGCAACCAUUGUAAAAUCCAUUAUGUCUCACCCCAUUAUAAUCUUUGUUUAUUUGAAAAAAAUGUUAUGAUUAAGUUUUAGUAUUUCAAUUUAUUAGCUAUAUAUUUAUUUAUCCUUUGGCUGUCCAAACAUGUUUUGAAUUCUUGUUUUGAUGUAUAAAUUAAAAGAGCUGCAUCUUUUGAUUAAUUGUUUAAGUUCUAUGUAUAGUAACUCAAAUUGGUUAAUUAACUUUCAUCUGCACAGAUGAAAAAGAAUAAACGAAUGAACAAAGAUGAUAUCUGGCAAAAAGUUCCAUUGAAGUAUUAUUCAUUUUCUCUAAAGGUGCAAAGAACAUAGUCCAUAUACAACAUGGGAUAUCUAUGCAAUUGAAAUUUAUAACAAAUUAGAAACCAAAAAUCUUCUUUUACAUUACAUAAAGUCAAAGAUACGUAAUUAAAAAAGGACAAGGCCUUAGGACCUAUUUACUUUAGAAAGAAAGUAAAAGUCGAGAUAUGAAAGUAGAAUAAGAAAUGUCUUACCAUAGUGAGGAAAAUUAAAAAUAGAAAAUUGUACAUGUUUUGAUGGAAUUCUACAAUUGAACAACGGUCCAACAGAUUAAGUUAUCAAUUCAAAAUAUAUUUCUUUGUUGUAUGUAGAAAUGGAUCUUUUAUGUCUUAACAUAAGAUAAUAGUUAUAUCUAAAGGUGCAAAGAGCAUAGUUCAAAAACAACAUGGUAUAUCUAUACAAUUGAUUUGUAUACCAAAUGAGAAACUAAAUAGUAAUUGUAAACCCAAAAAAUUCCACAAAAAAUAAGUCUUACAACUACAAGAAUUUUCUAAUAAAAUACUAAUUCCUACAUAAUAAAACUACCAUAACAGGACUCAAAUAAAAUUACUAAAAUCAUAACUUGAAUAAAACACUACAAAAUAAUAAUAUAGAAAUUUCUAUUUUUGAGUCAUUACUAAAAUCAUAACUUGACUAAAACACUACUAAAUAAUAAUAUAGAAAUUUCUAUUUUUGAGUCAUAUAUUUCAGACAUAAAUUGUAUACACAUUAAUUUUUAUGAUUGAGCGACAAUCCAACAAAUUAAAUACUUUAAAAGCUUAUAAAUUCACCUUGUAAUGAAAUCAAAUACAUACCACCAAUCUGUGAAUCAAUUUUACAUUGGUAUUUUAGAAGUGAGAAGAAAAUGAAGCGAAUUUAUUUCUUCGUUUUAUUAUACAUGAUGAAUUUAUGUGAUGCCUCCAGCAAGAAGAUUCAGUUCAGGAAAACGUUAAGCGUUCAAACAAGAUCCCUGUCAAGUCCAUCAAGGUUAUUCCUGCUAGUUUUGCUCUACUUUCUUACAUUACUAAUUGAAAAGUAAAGUAUGCCGUCCACACUUUUAGGACUCACGUACAUGACUAACUGGUGCAUGAUUGUUUUAAAUGGCAGAGCCCUGAUGGUGAUAUUAUUGAUUGUAUCAACAUUUAUCAUCAACCAGCGUUUGAUCAUCCUUUGCUCAAAAAUCAUACCAUUUUGGUGAGACUUUCUAUCCCACCCAAAAGCAAGAAAAGGGAAAAAUCUCUACAAGUGCAUGUGUAUAUUCAAAUUUGUACACAUAAUUGUGUAAGUAAUUAAAAGUAAAAAUUUUAUGUAUUUUUGCACGUUGCAGAUGAGGCCUAGUUUGCACCCUCAGAAAGGACCAAUUGGUGAGGGUGAACUGUUCAAAUCCAAUGCUCAUGGCCGAGAGGAUAAAAAACCAUUUGCUCAGUUAUGGCAGCUGAGUGGGGAAUGCCCUGAAGGAACUAUUCCUAUUACAAGGAACCAGAAAGCAAGAAAUUUCAAGAGAUAUGCAAAGAAGAAGCACAAAAGCUUUUCCCAGCUUGAUGACCCUUCUACUCACGAGGUACCAUAAACAAUUGGAAAUUUCUUGUGUAGAUAAUGGCAAUAAACUUAACCACUUAUUGUACAAAUUUUUAAGUGUUGAUAUGCAUGGCAGAAUCACUUGAAACAUCUACAUAUAGUGCUUUUUUUUUCUUUUGCUAGAAUUUUGUAGCAACACACAUGCAUGUUUACAUAGGUUUAUAUAUACUGUGUUCGUGCGCGACACACACAUGCAUGUUUACAUAGGUUUAAGCGCACGCGCGCGCAUACUUUUAUAUAUAUAUAUAUAUAUAUAUAUAUAUGUAGUGUUGGCAACUUUGUACAAGUAAAUUCUUUUUACAAGAGGGUAAUUUUUGAGGUUUUUGAGUUUAUUUAAAUCUUUCCCAUUUUUAACUUAUUUUAUCGAUUUCUCAUUUUCUUUUUUCUGCAAUUCUUUAGCAUGCAGUUGCAUCUGUCCAAAAUAACGUGUAUUUCGGAGCAAAGGCAACUAUAAACGUUUGGCAACCCAAGUUCAGACCAGUGGUGAAUUUAGCUUGGCUCAAAUAUGGGUUCUUGCAGGUGCUAAUUCAUUUCUGAACAGCGUUGAAGCUGGUUGGAUGGUACUUCUUCCCUAUCAUAAAUAGUCAAUCAGCAAUUCAAUUUGUUCUUCAACAAUAAAAAUAUCUGGCCAUGCAUGUGCCUUGUACUUUGUUGUCUACUUAUUUCAGUUGUUAAUAUUAUAGGUAAGUCCAAGUCUAUAUGGAGAUAACAACACAAGACUCUUCACUUUCUGGACAGUAAGUCACAAAAUAUCAUCAAUCCAAUUGUUUAUAUAAUAUGCUUGCCCGAAUCUAAGUUGCUACCAAAAUUUGGUCAUUGUAACAGAGAGAUGGCUAUCAAUCCGUAGGGUGCUACAACUUGUUCUGCCCUGGCUUUGUUCAGACCAAUACAACAAUUGCAUUGGGUGCCACCAUUUCACCUGUUUCUACCUAUCAUGGUGCUCAAUAUGAUAUCAUCCUAUGUAUCUUUAAGGUAAUGACAAACAAAUUGAUUAAGAUCCCAAUAUAUUAUGCAGAACAUAGCCAAAUGUUUUCUGUGAUUUGAAAAACUUAUAUGAUGGUAAAAUUUUGUUAGGAUCCAAAGCAAAAUGUGUGGUGGCUACAAUAUGGGAAUGACGGUGUAAUUGGUUAUUGGCCUGCUUCCUUAUUUACAAGCCUCGCAGACAGUGCUUCACUAAUUCAAUGGGGUGGAGGGGUGGUAAAUACUGCUCAAGGUGGGCAACACACCACAACUCAAAUGGGCAGUGGCCAUUUUUCUGAAGAACAAGCUGGAGGGCAAGUUACUUCAAGAAUCUUCAAGUAGUUGAUCAAUCCAACACUUUGGUCCCUCCUGGUGACAUCACAUCUACAGCUCAAAAGCCGAAUUGCUACAACAUAAUACUUGCAAAGAAUGAUGAUGCCGGAGAUUUCUUUUUCUAUGGUGGACCAGGAAGAAAUCCUAAUUGUCCAUGACCAAAAGAUGCAACUUGAGAUUCUCCACACAUUAGGCGAGGGCAGAAUCUUGAUAUGCAUUUGAUCAUCUGAAUACAGAAAUUGAUUACAUUUCUUUAGGCAUUAAAUCAAAUUUUAGAAGGCAAACGAUGCCAAAGCAAUGCACAUAUUCAGAAGCAUGCAAGAAAAAUCAAACUACACUACUCUAUUAUGUAACAUCAAAAAUCUGAUCCAUAUUCCAUGCCAUGUAGAAAUGCCAAUUCUCUUUGAUACUUUGCAACAACAGUCGACGGUCUUCGAACUUUGGCAAGGGAUCGUCUCCUCACUUGGGAUCCGACAAAAGUUUGCUUAUGUGAUAUAAAACACAGGGAUUUGAAUGUAAAUUAAAUUUUCCUUUUCUCCUUUUUUUUUUCUCUAGGAAGCCACAAAAUAACAAGUACAGAAAAACUCAAUAACUCAUACUAGGUGGGCCAAAAACCCUCAAAUAUUGAGACUGAUACUAAGACUAAUUGGGUCACAGCCUUCAAUUUCUUGAAGUAAUUUUUCCUCACUGUUCUUCUUCUUCUUGACGCCAUAAAGAAUUUUACCUUUCUGCCUGAAUUAACAACCUUCUUAUUCUCAAGCUCCUUCUUCUCUUUCCAGGUCAUAGACGCCUAAGACGUAAAAUGAAACACCAAAUAACGUCCAUGAUAAAAAUGAUAGAGACUAGGGAAAUGAGAAUUACCAAUGGAGAACUAGAUUGUUUCCUUUAUUAAUUUUUGAUACUCAAUUGUUCGGAAUCCCUGAUUCCAAUAUGGUUCAAGGAAUUUUAUUCAAACUGAACCAUCAAAUCCUGUCAUCAAGUCUUAGUGAGGUGGUGAUGUCCUUCAAAAACUAAUAACCGCAUGCAAAUGUUCUUUCUUCUGGACUCCAAAAUCGAAUGUUAUAAAAUAAAUUUCUAAAUUGUUCAGUUUUUGUUGCAUUAACCAGUUUUCUUUUCUCCAUUUCCCGUCAUAUGAUAAUUGACUUUUUAUAUUUAUCGAGAGAUUUUUGGAGUAAAUACACUCCAGUAACAUAUACAUGAAGGAUCCAUUGCUAUCAAAUUGAAAAUUUGUUCCUUAAAGUGAAAAAUGAUUCGUUAUAACCAAAAUCUUUUUUUUUCCACAUCUUUACAGGGGAAUGAAGAUAAUUUUUUUUUUUUUUGCGAUCACUUUGCAAGCUAACAUGCUGCAUUCAUGUAUGAGAUUCAAAUGUUAGCUUAUUCAUUCCAUGUUCUAUUAUCAAAUUAAAUGCCAAUAUCCUACUCUAAACUCUAUUUCCAUUUUUGCUGGAUAUGACUUUUUCGGCUGUCUGAAUAUUCUUGAGGAACGAUUCCAUUAUCUGGAGAUGUCUUUGUGGCUAUGUAGCAUACUGGAUCUCGUAUGUCUUACUAAAAGGUUAAAAAAGCAAAAUAGUUUUGUAUUAACUAUUGUAAAAUCCAUUACGUCUUACUCCAUUAUUUUCUUUGUUUAUUUGGAAAAAUUUUAUGAUACAUUUUAGUACUUCAGUUAUUAGCUCUAUAUUUAUUUCUUCUUUGGCUGUCCAAACAUAUUUCGAAUUCUCGUUUUGAUGCAUAAAUUAAAAGAGUUGCAUCUUUUGAUUAAUUGUUUAAGUUCCAUGUAUAGUAACUCAAAUUGGUUAAGUAACUUUCAGCUUCGCAGAUGAAAAUGAAUAAAUGAAUGAACAAGGAUAAUAUCUGAUAAAAAUUUCCAUUGAAGUAUUAUUCACUGUCUCUGAAGGUGCAAAGAACAUAGUUCAAAGACAUCAUGGUACAUCUAUGCAAUUGAAAUGUAUACCUAAUUAGAAACUAAAUAUCUUCUUUUACAUUAUAUCAAGUCAAAGAUACGUAAUUAAAAAGGAAGUAAAACUCGAGAUAUGAAAGUAGAAUAUAAAAUGUCUCCCCAUAGUGGCGAAAAUAAUAAAUACCAAAUUAUACAUUCUUUGAUGAUAUUACUACAAAUGAACAGCAGUCCAACGGAUUAAGUUAUCAAUUCAAAAUAUAUCUCAUUGUCGUUUGCAGAAAUAGGAAAAAUCAUUCAAAAUGUCUCUUAAAAUUUGUCAAAUAAAUUUUUUUCGUUCUUCACUUUUGUAAUAGUAAAUUUACAUCCCUUACAAAAUUAGGCCGAUAAAAGUUGGUUCCAACAUAGAUUUUUGACCAUUUUUUAUUUUAAAUGCAUCACGUGACCUAUGAUCAUUUUUCAGGAGCAAAAAAAUUAGAUCUCAUUUGUAAUUAUACAAAUGACGAUUCAUUUUUACUUUUACCUCUAAAAAAGUAGAAUCUAACCUAAACCAUAUCUAUUUUUAUCCAAAAAAAGGUGGGAUCCAAUCUAAUUGAUAGGGGUAACUUGUAGUGCAUUUAUAGGUAUAAAUUUCUUGUUAACCAUGAUAUUUGAGUUUUAUCUUGAGUAGAUACUACUUAAUUUGGCCCUUAUAUAAUUUUAAUAGGUGAAAAACUAAUUAGAGAGAAAAUGGAGUAAAAACAUGGCGUGAAAAAGCAAUGGAAGAGGAAAAAGUCAAGAGGAAUGGGUUUGGCAAGAUUGAUAUUACACAAAUUGGAUUGAGAUGAUUCUUGAUUCAAUUCAAAUCUAAGAGAAUACUCUACAACCUUUGUGAAGACAUCAAAGUCCAGUUCUUAAGGUUUCAUAGUCAAAAGUCCAAAUUACUAAAAUAUAAUUGUGCUGCAAUGCUCUUAUGACCAGGUCUCAGUAUUUUAGACGCAUCUCAAUGUCCAGACUUCCCAAUUACUUGACUCUUAUGGUUUUGAAAAGUUUAUUCAAAGGGCUACAACUUUUGUGUUUGAGUAAGAAUUGAUUCAGACUAUUUGAUGGGGUUUUGAGGCUUUAAAGAGAAUCCACGCGCGGAUCUGUAAUGAUCCGCGGAAGGAUCCAUGUUCCGCGCCAGACAUCUCCAGAUUCUUUGGCUCAGCCCAAUGACCGGCACUGGACAUUAUCUAACACCCUGACCAAUAUUGUCCCAUAGUUAGCCACCCAGAAGGUCGUGAGUUUUGCUCCUGGAGGUGGGGUUAUAGCACACAACAAGUAAAGAACCAAGCCCGCAGGUCAAGAACCCCAACACCCUCCAAAAGGCCUCGUCAGAUAGAGGGACAUCUACAACAGGUUAUAAAGCGGCCAGAACUCUCCUCCCUAACUGAUGUGGGAUCGUUACAAUCCACCCCCUUUAGGGGACCUAGCGUCCUUGCUGGCACAUCAGAGUCGGGAGUCGGCUCUGAUACCAACUCUAGAACCCCUGACCAAUAUUGUCCCAUAGUUAGCCAUCCAAAAGGUCGUGGGUUUUGUUCCUAGAGGUGGGGUUAUAGGCCACAACAAGUGAAGAGCCCAAGCUCGCAGGUUAAGAAACCCAGCACCCCUCCAAAAGGCCUCGGUCAGGUGGGGGGACACCUACAAUAGGUUAUAAAGGGGCCAAGAUUGUAACGAUCCCACAUCGGCUAGGGAAGAGAGUCCUGGCCGCUUUAUAACCUGUUGUGGAUGUCCCCCACCAGACCGAGAUCUUUUGGAGGGAUGCUAGGUUUCUUGACUUGCGGAUUUGGGCUCUUCACUUGUUGUGGGCUAUAACCCAUCUCCAGAAACAAAACUCACGACCUUCUGAGUGGCUAACUGUGGGACAAUAUUGGUCAGGAGUGUUAGAGUUGAUAUCAGAGCCUAGGUUUGAAUUGGUUUGGGUGGAUUGAGUGACUUGUACUUGAUAUGGCUUAUGUACGAAUGUCUAAGUGUGAAACUCUAGAGAGUAGGUGGCCAACUGUGGGACAAUAUUGGUCAAAGGUGAAGACAUCAUGGAAACGCGAUUUUUAAACUCCAAUAAAGCCUAUUCCUAUCCUGUUUAGGAUAUAUCUUCAAGAAACUAUAAAUAGGGGUUCUUUAGGUCGUUUUAAAGUGGAAAAUAUUAGUCUAGCCUACUUUUAACAUCUUUUCAUAGUUUACUCUUGAUAGAUCAAGAUCAAAUGAAGGCGAUUCAAGAAGCACGCGAGGAGAAGAACGGAGCAAGCAACUAAAAAGUUUUCUUACUUUUUUUUUUUUUUUUAACUUUGUAGCAACUCUUUGAAUUCAUGGUUUUAACUUCUAAAUCAUGUUGAACUAAAUUAUUUCUAGGGUUAAGAUUUUUAUGAAGGAAUUUGAUCAAUUUUCUAGUUUAAUUUCUUGCUUUUUGCUAUGAUUUAUCUAUCUUGAUUUAAUUAUAUGUUUGUGAUUGACCUCCAUAAACAUGCUCUUAUGGUUUGUAUUAAAUUGAGAAAGGAGAUACAACCGAGCACUAGAUAGAUAAACAUACUUAACAUAUUUAUGAGAGUAGGUUAGUAUUUGUAUGGUGCACUUAAAUCACCGAAGUUCUUAAAGGGUUUAAUUAAAUACUUGCGAUCUCGAGAGAGACGUAGGAUUUAAUUAUGCACACUUUAGAUGUAUCGAAAGAUAAUCUAAAAUUUAAUUGUGAGAUGCAUUCAUGGUUUAUUGAGAAAUUAAUUAGAUAAUUGAUUCUAAUUCUGAAUUCAAACCUAAAACUCUAGACUCACGUCUAUUGUUUUCUCACCACUAUUCUAUUUGAAUUGAUUAUUCCUUUAUUGUUUAGUUAGAAAAAAUCACUCUUUGAAUUUAAAUUUUGUUAUUUUCGAAUAAUUAAAGUAGGAAAUUAACUCAUUCUUAUGGAUUUAACCCUAGAAUACUCCAGGUAAAUUAUUAUUACGAUCGACCCUAUGCACUUGCAGGAAAUCAUCAAUCACUAAUCUAUAUUCAUUUUUUUGUCACUAAAAAAGUGGAAUUUGAUCUUUUCAUAUAUAAAAAGAUAACUACAUGUGUAUCACAUGGUGAUUUUAAACUAAAAAAUGAUCGUAAAAUUAGGUAGGAAUCAAAUUUUAUUAAUUUGAAUUUGUAAAAAGUGUAAAGUUAACAUUUUAAAAGUGAGAAAUGAAAAAUUAAUUUGAUGAGAAGUGAGGGAAGAAAAUAUUCAUUUGAUAAAAAGUAAGGGACGUUUUAAAUGAUUUUCCUUUAGUUAUGAUAGUAGAAUAGUUAUCCACCAAUGACUAUUAAAAAAAUCCAAGCUCACUAUUUUCUUUCGUUCCUUGGAAAUUUUGAUCAUAUGUUCUACUACAUCAAUUAAUUAAUUCUGUAUUAGUUUAUUCUUAGUCGGUCAAAGCAUUUUUUUCUGAAAUCUUUUUUUUUUAUGUAGAUAACAGUACCUUUUUUGUUCAUUGUUUAAGCUCCUUUUCAAGUAGCUCAAGUUGAUUCCUUGAGCUUCUAAAGAACCCAAUGAAAAUAAACAGAACAUUGAACAGGGGUGAUAUAUGGUAAAAUGAUUCAUUCAUAUAGUUCAUUGUGCAAGAUCUGAAGUUGCAGCGAUGUAGAUAACGGACUGGGGAAGGUGACAAGUCUUGUGAUUUGCACUUUGACUGAUUAGAUUUUUAGUCAUUAUUAUUUUGCUCCUUGUGUUUUGGCUCACUUUUAUACUUUAGCUCACAUGUUAUCUAAAUUGUGAUUAACCCAAAAAAACAUAUUUUAUUUUUUAUUUUACCAUCUUUAUAUAGUACUACUACGUGCAGUAAUAUUUAAAUAUCUAAACUUCCUUUUAAUGUCAUAGUCCUUUAUCAUGAACUUUUACUAUGUUUUUCAUAACUAUUAUUACCACUAUAUAGUUUAUCUACGAUUUUAUUGUAUUUAUUUGUAUUUUAAUUAUUUUUUUUGUAAUUUUUAUAUUUUUUAUACAUUAAAAUUUAAAAUUUGUGAGGCUUGUGCCCCACACCUCGAGGCUUUUGCCCAUCUGUGUGAAAACAAAGUGUUUUACUCAACACCUUUACCUUUUAAAACACUGCUGCUAACCGAGCGUUAGAAGCCAAAUACUAAACUACUCUCACAAUACAAGACCAAUUUGAACCAUACAUUCUUUUUUUUUUUUUUGUUCUGAGGGAGUUGCAUCUUGACUUGGUUCUGACUUUUUGCAUUUUUUCUAUUUUCCCGCCUACUCUUCUCUUGCUGUUUGUUUUGUAAGAAAAAAAGAUAUUUUUCUUGUUAGUCUACAUUGGUUUGAUGGUAACAUGAAAAUGAAGAGAAUACAUUUUCUUCAAUAUUUGUGCAUUAAAAUACGAGAAAUAUGUAGCAAAUUAAAUUCAAGACAACACAUGCCCGUUGCACAAGGUUUGCCUAGUAUAUCUUUCCCCUCCGUAUGGUUGACAGUCUAUUGCAUGGGGCGGGAUUUAUCCAGUACAUACUCUUGAAUAGCGGCCACAGGUUUCCUUGUCAAAAAAAAAAAAAGAAAGAAAACAAAUUGUUCUGCCGACUUGGAUGUGGCCUUUCAUGAUCCAUAUCAAAGACUUUAUUUAUUUUUUAUUUAUUUUUUGCUUUUCUCUUCCUUAGGGAGUCCAGUCUAGACUUUUGAUGUUCUUUUUUAAGCAGUCCAACAUAGAUUUAUGAAUCAAGAUUUUAACCCCAAAAAGAGAAAAUUAAAAAAAAAGGAAAAUAUUCAGGUGUAGUCAGUUAAUGGGUCUACUGAUAUGCAUGUUAUAUUGUAAAUUCAGAGUCACAUCAUUAUUGUGAUGCAUGAUGAAGUAAAAGUAGUUAUAACAAAUUAUCUUUAUUUUUUUAAAAAAAAAGCUUUUUUGAGGAUUAAUUGCGCUCCAAUGCAUUAAAAACUAAAUGUUGAACUCCUUUCACAGUACAAAUCUAAUUUGAACUUCUUUUGUUUUUCUUUUUUUCUUUUAAGGCAGUCCAGUAAAGACUUAUUAAUAGGCAUUUUAGCCCCAAAAUGGGAAAAAAAAUAAGGGAAAAAGAUUGACAUAAAUUAAAUUAAUAUAUGUAUGUUUUGAAAGCCGCAACAUUGGUGGUGAUCUGCUUCUUAAUAAAUUGGUUCGUGGGGGCUUGUGAAAAAUCCAAGUCUAGAUAUAGAAUUUCAAAAAAAAUUCUUGAUUGUUAAUACUAAUUUAUCAAUAUGCCCCUAUUGAUUGACAAAAUUGUAGAUUCCAGGUGUUGGCUGUACAAAUUUUUUGCCUUUACUUUGAUUAUUGGUGGAAAUUUAAUAUAAUAUGUGAUAUGAGUAACUUGACAAUAAUUUUUAAUAAAAAAAUAAUAAACAUAAUUAAUUAAUACCUUGCCUCUCAAGGUACAUAAUUAUCGUUAUGCUGGCUCAAAUACUUCCUAUUUACAAUGUCAAAUGAAAAUCAGAGAUUGGAAAACAAAAUACAUAGGUGGUACAUAUCAAAUGCAGAAAGUAUGGCCUGCUCAAAAGUUCUUUUUUCCCCUUUUUUUAUUAAAAUAAAUAUGUUAUUUAUUUUAAGAAAAUUUUGGCAAAGUUUUCCCUUAUAAAUGGAUGAAACUCCCUGUUAACAAACACAAAUUCAAGAAAAAUAUCACAUGGCACUUUCUACAUUCUAACUCAUUAUCAUGACCUCAGCUUCGGAACGAAAAACGAAAGCUACAAAAAUUCUGCAUAUGUAGAGCCAAUAACCCUCUAGUGCGGCCCGGUAGUUGAGCUACCGUAGAAAAAAUUUCAAAGAAACCACGCGCGUUGGCAUAAGAUGCUAGUGAGUCUGCCACAAAAUUUCCCUCCCUAAAACAGUGAGAGAACCGAAAACCGUUAAGGGUAAUCCUCCGAAUAGCGCGCGAACGACAGGUCGAAUGACAGCAGGAACACCCCAGGACCCCCGUAAAGAACUGAUCAAGAUAAGGCAAUCAGAUUCAACAAUAAACUGGGAGAUACCCCUUUGAAGCCCAACUAAAGACCCAGUAGAAAAGCACGCGCCUCCGCUUGCAAGGAAUUCACAGGACCAAACACAUCAGCAAACGCCAGAAUAAACCUACCACAUGAGUCCCUAAUUACUCCGUCGCCGCUCCCCUCACGAGAUGUGGCACAGCCAUCCAUAUUUACCUUAAAAAAUUCAUCCCUCGGACACACCCAACGCACCAAUAUUGAGGUUAGUGGCCUCCGCACCGCAGACAUCGAGUCAAGGAACUCCGUCCACGGAAGUGACUAUCGUGACAUGGCCGGGAAAUGCACCUGGACCAGCAACCGCAUCUCAUGAAUGACCCAUCUCUGAACCUGUCCAGCUGAGAUACUCCGACCCUCAAAACGGGCCAUUUUUUGGCCUUCCAUAGAAACCAUACAAUAAGUAAGGGCAGUAUUCGGUAUAGCCAACGCAGUGCCCUUCCUCUGAUCGGGGUGAACCACCAUAUAGAGCACCGUGACCUAACAUUAACCACAGAGUAUGAAGAGAUACCGAUUGAUUGUUAAAAAAAAUCCCAAAGUUCGUCUGUCAAGUCGCUAGUAGAGAAAACAUUGCAAUGUUUCUGACUGAGGCUGCGAGCAACAAUAGCACUUAGAAGGGCCAUGCACCUGAAACUUCACCAACACCGCAUCCACGAGGAGCCGGCCCUGCAACAAUCGCCACAUGAGAAAAGACAAUUUUCAAGGAAUUGUAAAGUGCCAGAUAAACGCAUAGGUCCACACCCGGGCUCCAGCUAUACGAACUAACUGAUAGGCCAAUUUUAUAGAGAAACCUCCCAAGGGUUCUAACGUCCAAACAGGCUUAUCUGGACUUGUACCAAAACAAAAGAAAGAUUCAGCCACCGCCGCUACAAUUUCCAAUGGAAAGGAAGCCAAUGCCAAAAGAUCCCAUCGAUUGUCCCUCCAAUAACCAUUAAUCUUCCCGUCAGAUGCUAACUCUUGGAACCUCCAUGCCAACGGACCAAGUCCACUCCAAUUAUCCCACCAAAAAGAAGACUCCCUCCCAGACAGGUCCCACUGCAACCACAUUUCCAUGGAGCAUUGAACCGCAAACAUCCGAGCACAACUAGCAGAGAACUUAGGAGAAAUAGCCACCUGAUUAGGAUGUAAACCACCGACAUACCUGCCCCGCAUAAACUUUGCCUAGAGUGACUGGCCAUCCCUAAACAACCACCAAAGCUUACAAGAAAAAGCAUCACUGAUCGCUUGUAAAGAUUGGAAGCCUACCCCUUCUUCCUCUACAGAACGGCAUAACUUCGACCAUGUCGUCCAAUGCCUCUUAGGACCGAAUUCUGACUCCUCCCAAAAAAAUUAAACAAACAUCCGCUCCAACUCAGCAACUAUCCCCUUGGAGGCACCAACACGGUCAAAAGAUGAAUCGGGAUUGAGGUCAACACAUGCUUAAAAAGUAGAGUCCGAGCACUCAUAGAUAACACCGGCCUCGCCAAGCCGUCAACCACUGUGAGACUUUAUCCAGUAAACCAGUGAACAACCCUUUCACUUGUCUCAUAACAUACAAAGGGCAACCCAAGUAAGUGAUUGGCAGAUCCUUUGCGAAAAAAUCCGUAACUCUUGAGAUCACCUUGCGACGUGCAAUAGACACUUUCUUGCCCACCAAAAAACAAUUCUUAGAAGCGUUCACCAGUUGCCCUGAGUUCUUCUGGUAUUUAUCUAGUACGUCCAUCACAUAUGUCAGCGAGCGUGUAGUCCCAUUGCAAAAUAUAAUGAUGUCAUCGGCAUAAGUUAGGUGUGUCAAUGGGGGCAACCUUGAGUAACUGGAUACGGCAAAAACUGUCGGUUUCCCACUAGGGCGUUCAAACCCUCGAGAGUACCUCAACCGCAAUGAUGAACAGAACCGGAGAUAGCGAAUCCUCUUGCCUUAAUCCCCGAGAUAAGUGAAAAAAGCCACAGGGUUUCCCAUUCACCAAUACGGAGAAGUGGCAAGAAGAGAUCAGCCGCCAGAUCAUGUCUAUCCACUGUUCCCAAACCCAAACCUGCGCAUAACUUGUAAUAAGAAGCACCAGAAGACCCGAUCAUAAGUUUUGGCCAUAUCUAAUUUUAAUGCCACAUUUGCCCCCUAACCUUCCUACCCAACCUCGAACACAUUUCCAGAGCCAGCAGUAUAUUAUCAGAUAUCUGCCUCCCUUCACAAAUCCACUCUGUUGGGUGAAAUUAUCUUAGGCAGAAUAGCUUCCAAGAGCAAAGCAAGCAAUUUAGAGAAAAUUUUAUUCACAAAAUUACACAAACUAAUUGGUCUAAACUCUGAGAAAGAAGACGCACCUGGUACUUUUAGAAUUAAAGCCAACAGCGUAGCUGUGUACCCCCAGGGUAAUUCUGCCUCCGCAAAAAAUUCCCCGACCGCCGUACACACAUCACUCUUCACAACAUCUCAACACGUAGUAAAGAAAGAACCGGUAUACCCAUCAGGCCCAGAACAACUGUCCGCAUUCAUCUGGAAUACCACUCUUUGAAUCUCGUCUUUAGUAGGUAAUUGUUGAAGAGUCUCGUUGUCUUGUUCUGAUACCACUAAGGGGAUAAUGUCUAUGAGAGAAUGAUCCACUGGAACUUGUGCUUGUUGCCCAACGCUAAGUAUCAAUCGCCAUGGAUUCUAUCUGGGACUGCUCGUCUACCCAUAUGCCAUUCAUAUCCUUUAUACGGUGUAUAAAACUACGCAUGCACCGCUGCUUAAAUUGGGCGUGAAAGAACCUAGUGUUAGCAUCCCCUUCUUUGAGCCACUGAACACAAGUUUUUUGACGCCAAUAUCUAGCUUCCUGCAGCAGAGCCGCCUUCAAGUCACACUGCGUUUGGGUAAGCAGAUGUUCACCCUCCUCUGUUGGGUUAGUCUCCAAAGACCCUUCCAGUGAAAGGACCCGCUUUUCCCUUUCCUGGACGCGAUCGAAAACAUUUCCAAAUACCUCCUUAUUCCACAGCCGCAACGCAUCCUUCACCGUCUUUAAUUUCGAAGAGUAAAACCAUAACGGGCGGCCCUCAACUCCACCUCCCAAGCCUUACGAAUCACAUUAAUAAACUCCCCAUGGGACCUCCACACCUCCAGAAAUCGGAAGCUGCAUGGGCCACUACCGACGGCAAGGAAGGAAGGACCAGCAACGGAGAGUGAUCCGAAACCACUCUAGGCAAGUGCAUCACUGAAGUGUUAACCGGCAAGUCCAACCAUAUCUAAUUCACUAGAGCUCGAUCCAGACGCUUCCAUAUCCGGGCCCUCCCCGGCGAUUAUUGCACCAUGUAAACUUGGGGUCAGAGAAACCCAAAUCCGUUAAAGCCGCUUCCUCAGUGAAAUUUAAGAACGACUCCGCCUCAACAUAUUGGAACGGCCGACCUCCUUGUUUCUCCUCUGCACUAGAAAUGACGUUAAAGUCACCUAGAAAGAUUGUUGGGACACGCAUUUGACUCACCCGAAGUAACUGCUGCCAGAGCUACUCCCGUUCUUCCAGGGCACACGGUUAUGGACAAAAGUCGCAAUAAAAGGAUACCGGAAGUAGCUAUGGAUAAUCUUCACUGCCAAAAACUGAGAGAGAGGCCACAACAAUGCCACAUUCGUACUCAGCAUCAAAGAAUAUCCAAAUGCUGCUUUCAACAUUCGCAAACGGGAAACCCAAUUUUCGGCGUACAAUAUCCAAAUGCUCACGACCCACCAAUGAUUCAUAGAGAGCUAUCAACGAGAUGUGGUACAUGCGUUUCAACUUUCGUAGUCGAGCUAUCAUAAGAGCGUUGUCCACCCCUCGAGCAUUCCAAAAGAGUGAAUUAAUCAUGGUGUUGCGCAGUAAGAGCUCGGAGGUGAACCACCAUUUCUAUUCUAGCGACGACGAGUGAUCGGACCAUCCAAAUGCUUCCGACUAUCCUCCAGUGGCAGAUUAUCUAGCACACCAGCCUUGCGAGGAGAUAAGUUCAAGGUUGCAACCAUAGCUUGCUGUUGAGUGCUCACCUCCUCCUGAACCUGUUCCUCCAGGUCUUCCAUCCCUACCUUCUCAGCCUCCGCUACCGAAACGACCUCAGCAGCCAGGAAAGAGGCCGCAUUACUAACGCCAUUAUCAGACUCGCUAGCAUCUAAUUCGCCAGCGACCCGCUCAAUAAACCCAUGUAUUAGCCGAUCUGCCGCCGCCCCUAUCGUUUCCUCCACCAGUCCAGGAAGGAAAAUAAUCAGCCCAUCCUGCAUCAAAGUUGGGUCCGUAGGCGUCUGAGUUGCGCGAUGCGCUAGUACCAAGUCUGUAUCACCGCCGGCUCGAGUCGAAGCCAAAAACUCCCGUGGCUCCUCCACCAUGAUCAAACCAAACAUCCUUCCACCAUCUGUGUCAGUAGCAUCCACAACAGGAGCCACUGGAGGGGGAGGGACCUGCAACCUCUUCUCCGAGCAGUCCGGAAGAGAAACACUCACCUUCUGCAAUCCCUUUUCCACUAGACCUUCACCCAAUCCAGUUUUCUGGUUCUUCUCCACCAGCGGCUGCCGAAAUUCAGGGUGCUUCACAUGGCAGUUCACCUCACCAUGACCCUGACGGUAGUAAUGACCACAAUAACUGGGCAAGUUUUCUGGGUUCAGAGGCUACCAGAAGCUGUCACCAUCAAGGUUUGUAAAAUCGGGAUUUCACGUAGGAUCGAUUUUAGUUUUACAGAAUCGGAUCGUAGGAUCGGAUCGUAGGAUCGUAAGAUCCCACCAAAAGCUUGUUUGUUUAAUUUGGAGUUUAAUUUGUUUACUGCUUUGCCUAAAGAGGUAUGAAUUUUGCAAUUUCAAUGUCUAGCAACCAAUCCAUCUUAUCUUUCGGCAAAAGUUCUGUUUGUAAUGGAUUUUUACCAGCAAAUUUGAAGAAAGCUCAUUGAUUGCUGUAAAAACAUGGAAUGCAAUGCAAUAUAUAUAUAAUCUGCAUGUCUCUGUUGCGUGAAAACAUAGUAAAACCUGGGAAUUGCAUGCUGUGUACUAGGAGCUGAAGCUCAAAGCUAUCAGUAACACUUGGUUUGGAUAUGCAGCAGACAGGCAACUCUACUACUAAAUUUUAUGCUGUAAAAUUCCUACUAGCAAACUGUUGUCACCAGAAAACUUGCUUCUAACAUUGCAAAGAACUCAAAUGGAUUGAGGCUAAAAGUAUGAAUAUGUCAAGCAUGACAAGCUUGUCUCUGAUAGAGCUUUAGUCAGGCAGGCUUACCAAGCCGUCCAUCAACCGUCCAACUGCUGCAAAAUGCAUGAUAAAAUGGGAAGAUUUAAACAAUGUUAUAUUAAAUAAUUUUAUGAGUUCUCAUUAAUUCAUUAUUACAAAAUAAUAAUACUCCUAAUUUUGAUUUCUUUAACAAGUUCAAUGGGAAGAUUUAUGUUGGUAGCAGAGUCUCGAUUAUCAGAGCUUCCUAUGGAGAAGGCAAAAAAGAGUAUACCUAAUGGACCCGUUAAAUGUUAAUGAUUCUGAGAGCACAAAUCCUAAGACAAAGUGCUGGUGCUUCAGAACCAUCAAUAAUUUUCAAGCAAGAAAACCAAAUUUUCACAAAUCCUAAUGGACCCGUCAAUAAUUCCCUUCAACUUCAACUCAAUUCAAUCAAAAGCAAUAUAUGUUCAAAUAUCAAGAAAACCAAAUACAAAUCACAACUUUAUCAAUCACCAUCUGCCGAAGUAUCAAUUUUCAAGCAAGAAAAUAACCAGACUCACAUAUGACUUUAAUUGAAGUGCUGGUGCUUGAGCUUCAGUGUGGUGGCAGGCUGGCAGCACAAAAAUUGGAGAAGAAUGGGUGCUGGAGCUUCAAGCUUUGAAGCUUGAAACGGCCAAAAUCCGAAACGGCCAAAAUCCGGCGGCAACAGAGGAUUUCGUAGCUUGAUAUUCUUACCGAAGCAAUGGCUGCUGGAGCCUGGAGCUUGAAGCUGUCGGCUAUAGCUUGUGGGUUCUUGGUAGAAGCUGCAGCGAUUUGUCUUGUUACUUGUUAGUACUUGGUCUUGGUAAGAGUUGUUGUAGCCGAAGCUUGAGGUGGUUUGAUGGUGCAAAUUAGGGAUUUGAUUUAGGGAUUUGAUUUGGGCAGCGGUGAGAGAAGAGAAAUGAAAAAGGUCUGCUUGAGGACUGAGGAGAAGAUGAAGAAAAGUAGAAGACCCGAAGCUUUUUCCUUUUGACGGAACUUUUGACUUUGAGGCAAAAUUUGUUAAAACAUUUGCAACUAAGGCCUGCAAUUUCCUGAUAAAUUACACGCCUACCCCAAAUGUUGAUUUUUACUUGCAAAAUGAACCUUGUAUUUCAUGAAAUAGCAAAAUUUUGUAGGAUCGAAGUAGGAUCGUAGAAUCGUACGAUUCUAUGCGAUCCUACCGAUCCUACGUCGAUCCUUUAUAGAGUCAAGGGAUUUGCGAUUCUAUGGCGAUUCGGAUCGAUUUUGCCAUUCCGGAUCGUACGAUCCUACGAUCCUACGAUCCGGAUCGCGAUUUUAACAACCCUGGUCACCAUCUCCCAUGUCUACCUAAACCCUGGCCGGCAAUGGUUUUAACAGGUCAACCUCUACACAAACACGAGCAACAUUUGGCCGAGAAAAUGAAGACGUAGCGGAGUCUACAAAAAGCGGGGUGCCGAGACAAGAAACAAUAUGGAAGAGGCAUUGUUUGUCAAACAAAUGGAUCGGUAACUUCGGUAAACUAAACCACACCGGGACCAGGGAGAAUUUCCGAUCCACUAGAAAUUUCGAGAACCACUUAAAUACUCUUAUAGGGCAACCAUGCACGUACCAUAUAUUCCUAACCCAUACCCGAAGAAAGUCUGCCUCAUUUUUGAAUUGUAUUAGGACAUGCCUGAAAGUCCAACAGACCCACUGACAUAGAAUCCUUCUAGUCAAGGGACAAAAAAAACUUACGCAGAUCCGGAAGUAGCGGCCGGCCUCUAGAGAAUUUGCCGACCAAGGAGAACGGAACGCAGCAGCAAUGGUGGAGAUAUCUACCGCAUCGAACACGACUGCAGGUUCCCCCGAUGAGUAGCCAACGUUGCCUGAACCUGCCGCGCCUCCAGCGAAGAGGGUUGCGCAAACAAUGUCGAGAAGGACUUUUUUGUGAAGGAUAGCGGAGAGCCCGUGUGACCCCCCCUUUGCAGUGGAGGGCAGUCACGGCUGCCAUGGAGCCACAGUACCAAACACAAAAAAUCUAGUUGUCAUAGCUCUCCAGAGGAAACAAUAGACUAUCCGUCCACUUAGACUCUCUAGAGCUUAAUAUUCAUUGAGGCAUAUUAUCAAACAUAAACUAGGCAAAACUUAAGUUCUUACGGUUCAUGAAGUUUGGAAAGAAAUGAACUCCCAAAUUUUACCAACAACCAGUAAGAAAUGAAGUUCAAAAUCUUGUGGCUUCUUCCUGUUCAGAUCGCGUGAACGAAGAAAAAAGAAUUCUGGAUCGUGAAAUAGCUCAUGCAAAGAUUUCAGCGAAUCGAGCUGCUGUUGUUGUUCGGCAGAUAAUUUCAGAAACUCCCUUAAGGUUUACAACAAUUUCAUUCAGCUCCAUCAAAGUUUUAAAAUUACACAUACCUCCCUUAUCAGUUGAAUUGACAAUACUGCUCUUAAAUAUUUUAAUGAAAUUCCCUUGUUUGUUGUUGUGUUAUAAUUAGAAUGAUUUUUAAAAUUAUUUCUUUCAUUCUUUUUCCUUCUUAUUCUUUUUUUUUAUUUUUUACCAAUAAAACUAUAGAACUAUCACUAUUACCUCUAGCUUCUAUUGUAAAAAAAUUUCGAACUAUUGAUUUUUUUAAAAGUAAACUUUAUAUGCAAUCCAACGUUUUUGCUGAUCAUUAUUUUCUAUUUUUGGUAUUAAAAAUUAACAAUAAAUCAAAAAGAAAUGACCCAAAAUCACUACUAAAUAAUGAUAAUUCCACUACUUAAAAAAUUCAUAAACUCUAAAUGAAAUAUUUCAAUAUUUUCUAUUAUAUCUUAUAAAUCUAAAUCAAUAAUAAAAUACCAUCAAAAGUAUCCUAUCAUAAUGAUAAAAUUGUUAUUAUAAUUGUUUAUCAAAUAGUAGGUAUGAACAUAAAAAAUUUGACACAUUUUCCUUAUAAUUAUGCUAGAUAAUCUUAUAAUUGUAUAGGGAAAUAAAUUAAAACUCAUUAUUAUCGCGCCCCAUUUUUCGUGAUGGAAAAAUAAAUAAGAAGGUGUUUAUAAAAGAUAUGAUCUUAUUUAAAAAUAAGUGAAAAGGGACCUAGAAUGGGACUUUAAACAAUGCGACAAUUUGGGUCCAAAAUUUAGUCUAAAAGGUUUUAAGAAAAAUUAGGAGUCGCCACUUGGUAUCGAGUUUGGGUGUACCAAGUCACCCAAAAAGUGUUUUAAAGUAAAAUAAAAAUAAAACCUUUUUCGACAACUCCAGGUCAUCGAAAAAACAGAGAAAAUGGGUUCGGGAUUCACGAUUGAAGAAAGGGAAGGCAAAGGUUCAAUUAAUUCAAACCUAAGGCACCCUUUCAACCUAGUCUAAGCUAGUUGCGAGUUUAGCCAAAAUUUUUCCAAUCUAACCCUUAAUUUUAUCACGUUUAGAUGUUUCUUACAUGAAUGCAAAUCUAAAUUUAAAAAUAUCGAAAGGGACAAAAUGUUCAUUCAAGGGUUUAAUUAAACCAAUCACAUUAAUUGCGAAGGCUAAAAUACUUCCUUGAAAGGGUCACGAGUAUGCAAAUGAUGAAAAAGAAAAGUAAAGAAAUUAAAUUAAAUUAUAUACAUAGAUAUAAGUGAUCAAAGAAAAAGGGAAUGCAACAUAAAGGGUACGGGAGGCAAAAACUCGUGACGCAAUUUUCUUAUACAGGGAUUAAUAGGGUAUUUAAACUAAAAAAUUAUAAUCACCCAUUUUCUAUGUUUGAAAAAAUAAUUCCCCUAAUAUGAACAAACAAAUGAACCUACUUAUUAUACAAUUUCUUAAAUGAAGUGCAAUUCUAAGUGAUAUGAUUAACACAUAUAGAGGAUAGGGGAUAAUAUAAUAGGGAAUAUCAUGCAAAUGAGAAAAGAUCCUUAAAAAUGAAAAUAUGCAUGAAAAUAUAGUGAAUUAUCACACAAAGAUGAAUCUAGCGCAGGACGGCCUAAAAGGUCUAGCAUUGGACUAGCCUAUUUCUAAAAAUCCUUACUAGCGUUGGACUAGCAAGUAAGCGGAGGGGAAAAACUACAACUAGCAUUGAACUAGUGUAGUGACGUCAUGCAUUUUAAUACAUAAUAAGACAAGUAGGCAUAAAUUAAAACAAAUAAACACAUAAGAGCACGUAGCACGUAACACAUAAGCAUAAUAUCUAGAUGCAAAAAUCCUAAAGAAAGCGGGUAAGACACGUAACACAUAAGCCACAUAAACACACAACCUACCUAUUACAUCGGGGAGCGCCUAACUACAAUCUAAAAGGGGAAAUAAAAUAAAACAAAAUCUAAUUAUCCUAUCUAUUACAUUUUUGAGGCAAUUAAAUGCCUCUCAAAUAAUUAUAAGAAUUAACUAAAAAACAUAAGAGAAUUGGAAUAAACAUCUAAAUCAAAUAAAUAACAAAACAUAUAAAAAAUAUAUAGACACAUAAGAGCACGUAUGAGCACAUAAAAGCACGUAAUUGACUCUUAAAUAAUAAUAGGGGUACCUCCCUUUUUGAAGUGAUGACUAAAUGGAGUCGAAUUGCCUUAUUUAUAUUCAAAAUGAACAAAAGAAUCAUGGCACCAAUUUAAUUGAAAAAUAAUAAUAACAAAAAUACUAAAUUCACACUAAUAUGUCGAACGUAAACAAAUUUAAGAACAUCUAAAAAUUACAAGUUAAGUAUAUUCAAAAGUAGCAUAAUUAGCUAUUAAAGAAAAGAAACAAUCAUAAUAAAAAGAGUCAAAAUUCAUCAGGGACUGAAUUACAAAAUUGAAACUUUUGGGGACAGAAAUUAUAUUUUUUCAAAGUUUAGGGGUCAAAAUUAAAUGAAAGAUAAAAUUCAAGGACCAAAGUGCAAUUAAUUUAAGGGCCUAAGUGAAACAAAUUUAAAAUGUUCUGGGCCAAAGUGAAACUACUCCAAAGAUCAGGGGCUAAAGUGCAAAUUUCGGUUUCUGAUUUGGGAGAAAAAGGCCAUCGGGCCAUCAUUUUAUUUAUUUGGGCCGGAUACUACCUAAGCCCAGCCAAAAAGUACAUGGGCUCUGACCUUCUAACCCAACCGAAACCCAAAGAAAAUAAAAUAAAACCCAUUCCUGAAACCCAACCAAAACUAACUCUUGGCCCAUCAAAAAAAUAAACAUUAGCCCAAAUCUUUUUUUUCUUUUUCCUUCCUUUUUCUUUCUUCUCUUCACCGUCUGUUUCUUCUUCUUCUUGCCUGGCCAGCUGAAGCUUCUUCAGCUAUCGGCCAUGGCAGCUGCUGCCGCCGACCGCCGCCGCCGGCGAUCGCCGGCAACUUCUUCCGUUACCAAAUUUCACCAAAAUACAUCCCCUCACUCGAUUUUUCGCGUAGAUUCGAUUUUUAAAAUUAGUUUUUACAAAAAAUGACCCGAAAGGGGCCGAAAUGCUAAAAAACAGCCCAAUUUUUUUAUAUUUUUAAACACUCAAAUCUUCACCAAAAAUCAUAAAAUUAUGCCGAAACACUCCUUAUAGCUUCUACAUUACAACUAUAAUAUUAGUUUGACAAAUAAACAACAACAAAAUGAUGCAUUAAGUCAAAACAGCCCCAACAAUGAAGAAAAUUAUUCUAAUGCUUUGAAGGCUCAAAACUCCAAAAUUUUUUAGAUAAUGCAACCUUUUUGGACCUACACUGUCAAAUGGUCAUCUAUUUUGACAAAAACAACAUGCACCAUGCCCAGCUUUUAACUCGUUUUCCAUUUUGGCAUUUUUUCAAACGGUUAAUAUGCAUGCACGAAAAACAUUUCCCUUUCCUCAAUCUAGUUCAUGCCAUUUCCCAAUUUUUAACAAUACAACAACAACAAUGCAAGGCAGCCAGCAGAAACGAAAGAAAACUAAACAAUGAAGCAUUUGAUUUAACGUGCUGGACAAAACUAAAAAUUACCUCAAUGUAGGUGUGUGUGAGGUUGAGAUGGAACCGAGAGGAGUUGGGGAAGAUUUUUUUUCUUCUUCUCUGUUUCUUUCCUCUGCCCAAGUUCGAGAGAGGGAGAGAGUGAGGGUCAGGUUGCAAAAUUCCGAGAGCUUCACUUCCUCUUCUCUCGUGCGUUUCUCUAUUUUUUUUUUUUCUGCCUCUGCCAAGUGAGCCUGGAGAGAUUGGAGUGUUUUUUUUUUUUUUUUUUUUGUGGCUUGUGUCUUCUUAGCUUCUUGUCUUCUGUCUGUGAGAGCUGAGAGAGGAGAUUGAGGAAGUAAAGGUGGGGAGUUUGUGUGUUUGUUUGGUCAAAAUCAUUAUUUUUUUACCAAUGACAAGAAAGAUCAAGAAAGUUGAGCGUAGGAAUGGGUUAAGUGUUUUUUUUUGUAGGGAAAAUAAUGAAAAUGUGUAAGUUUUGUAAUAAUGUGAUUUUGAUUUGAUUUUUGAUUUUUUUUGUUUGUUUUUUUUUUCUAAAAUAAACCUGCAAAAAAUGAGAAAAAUACACAUUAAAAUGUAAGAAAAUAAAUAACUGAUUAAAUAGAAAAAAUUCACUAAAAUAUUGAAGAUUGACAAAAAUUUGGUGUAGUCUACAACUAUACAAGGGCAAUUUUGGGCAUUCAUUUAUAAUUUUGACCAAGUCAAAUAUUAUUUUAAAAUUUUAUUACUAAAACUAUCAAAUCAAGAAAGGUAAGUGUAAUUUUUCAAAUCUUAGGAGAGCUCAGUGAAAUUUUCAAAAACCUCAAGGGAGGUUUUUGAAAUUAUCCCUUCACAAAAAGGUUCAACUGCUUCUUUGCACCUAUAGAGGUGAAUCUUGAGGAUAAAAAACUGGUUUGGGAGGCAAUUAAAAACCUACAUCAAGAUCACCUUCUAGCAUUGCUAUGACUUCUCUCAUUGAUGCACAAUCACUGGUGUCAUCUGUAUUGCUGUCCCAUUAUGCUUCUUUUACAUUCAUUCCACUAGUCUGGCAUUUGAUUGUAAUCAUGUACAGAUGUACUGUUAUGGAGAAAAAAAAGGUAAAUGAUUCUUUGUAACCAAAGACAAAAGAUGGAAAAUUUCGAAUCAAUUGUCACAAAAAUGUUUGAUCGAAGUGUGGUUAUUAAACAAUCUUUCAUUAUCAUCUACAGAUAUCACAUAUGAAUAUAUUAACUUGGCAUUUUGAUACAUCAAGAUCAGAUCUUAAUUAGUCAAGUGGUUGCUCGUGUUGAAGUGGUCUGUGCGGCCUCGUAUUGAAGUGGCGUGUGUGGAAGGAAUCUCAAGUCUAUUGGCUUGGGAGGUUUUCACCUUCCAAUAAUAAUAGACCUGUAGAAUUCCACAAAGCAAUGCAUUUAUGAGUCAACUAAUGACUAGAAUACUAAAGUUGAUUAAUUCCGUAUUUUGCGGCCAAUCCUUAUAAAUGAAGAAUAAGUUACCCGUUUGUGGCCUACUAAUUAAUGGUAACAAGGAAAAGAAAGAUUAUAUGAAUAUAUGGCCUUUCACAAUCCAUAUUAAGUCGUACUUUCGUCUAGUAGUAGUUUUGGGGUCCAGGAUUGAAGAGGUCCGAAGAAUUAUGAGUCAAUUGACUUGGUAGGUUUCGUUUAAUAAACCAGUAGAAUUCCACGAACGAUACUUUAAAAGCUUAUAAAUUCACCUAGCAACGAAAUCAAAUACAUACCACCAACCUGUGAAUCAAUUUUGCAUUGGAAGUUUGAGAAGUGAGAAGAAAAUGAAGCUAUUUUAUUUCUUCAUUUUAUUAUCCUGGAUGAAUUUAUGUGAUGCCUCAAGCAAGAAGAUUCAGGUCAGGAAAACGUUGAGCAGUUCAAAGAAGAUCCCUGUCAAGUCCAUCAAGGUUAUUCCUUCUUCGCUCACUUUAAUAUUCAUGGUGCCUGUGUUCAUGUUCUUGUGUACAUCUACGUACUUGUGCUUGUCUAAAUUCUUUUUUUUUUUUUUUCCAAUUUGUUGUUCUUGUACACGUUUUUCUAUGUCUUAUUCUACUUUCUUACAUAACAAAUUGAAAAAGUUGAGUACUUGAAUAACUAAUGCAUGAUUGUUUUAAAUGGCAGAGCCCUGAUGGUGAUAUUAUUGAUUGUAUCAACAUUUAUCAUCAACCAGCAUUUGAUCAUCCUUUGCUCAAAAAUCAUACCAUUCUGGUGAGCCUUUCUAUCCCACCCAAAAGCAAGACAAGGGAAAAAUCUCUACAAGGGCAUGUGUAUAUUCAAAUUUGUACACAUAAUUGUGUAAGUAAUUAAAAGUAAAAAAAUUUAUUCAUUUGCACGUUGCAGAUGAGGCCCAGUUUGCAGCCUCGGAAAGGACCAAUUGGUGGGGGUGAACUAUUCCAAUCCAAUGCUCAUGGCCAAGAGGAUAAAAAACCAAUUGCUCAGUUAUGGCAGUUGGGUGGGAGAUGCCCUGAAGGAACUAUUCCUGUUAGAAGAAACCAGAAAGCAAGAUAUGCAAAGAAGAAGCACGGAAACUUUCCCCAGCUCGCUGACUUUUCCAAUCACGAGGUACCAUAAACAAUUGGAAAUUUGUUGUGUACCAUAAACAAUACGACUCUUGUAGAAUUUUUUUUUAAUGUGUUGAUAUGCACCGUUGUCGGAAGGAUGACCUAUUCCGUGUCACGUAGUCGUACACCAUGCCAUCAAAGGGUAGAACCACCGUCGUGCGUUUCACGACUCACUAGUUAGCCAUGAGAACGAUCAUCGUACAUUUCUUAACGUUGUCAGCGGAGUAUCAUGCACUGGCGGUUAGAACCAACGGAGAAUCGUUGGUAGGCCGUUUUUUAGCGAAGGCAAGAGAGCUACUACGUGCGACGGCUGUGACAGAGUCACUCGAAACAUCUACUCAUACUAUAUUUUUGCCCUGCAUGUUUACAUAGGUUUAAUACUUGGUGUCUGCUAAUUUUCCUUUGGAGUAUUAUAUAUCAAAAUUCCUUUAACAGGAAGGAAAUUUUUGAGUUUGUUUAAAUCUCUCUCAUUUUUAGCUUAUUAAUUUUAUCGAUUUCUCAUUUCCUUUUUUCUUCAAUUCUUUAGCAUGCAUAUGCAUAUGUCCAAAGUAACAAGUAUUUGGGAGCAAAGGCAACAAUAAACCUUUGGCAACCCCAAGUUCAGGGCAGUGGUGAAUUUAGCUUGGCUCAAAUAUGGGUUCUUGCAGGUGCUAAUUCAGAUCUGAACACCAUUGAAGCUGGUUGGAUGGUACUUCUUCCCUAUAAUAAAUAGUCAAUAAGCAAUUCAAUUUGUUCAUCAACAAUAAAUAGUCUUGAACUUUAUUGUCUACUUAUUUCGUUUGUUAAUAUAUACAAUAGGUAUUUCCAAGUCACUUUGGAGAUAGCAACACAAGACUUUUCACUUACUGGACUGUAAGUCACAAAAUAUUAUCAAUCCUAAUGCAAAUAUAAUAUGUUUGCCUGAGUCUAAAUUUUUAUCAUAUGUAUGUAUCAAAAUUUGGUAAUGCUAACAGCGUGAUCGCUAUCAAUCCACUGGUGCUACAACUUGGACUGCCCUGGCUUUGUUCAUACCAGUAAUUCAAUUGCAUUAGAUGUUGCCCUUUCACCAGUUUCUACCUAUCAUGGUGCUCAACAUGAAAUCAUCCUACAAAUCUUUAAGGUAAUGACAGCCAAAAUUGAUUAAGAUCCCAGCAUAUUAUGUACAACAUAACCCUAAUUUUUUUCUGGGAUUUGAAAAACUCAUAAUAUAGUGGUAUAAUUUUGUUUAGGACCCAAAGCAAAAUGUGUGGUGGCUACAACACGGGAAUGACGAUGUAAUUGGUUAUUGGCCUGCUUCCUUAUUUACAGACCUAGCAGACAGUGCUUCACUAAUUGAAUGGGGUGGAGAGAUAAUAAAUAAUGCUCAAGAUGGGCAACACACCACAACUCAAAUGGGCAGUGGCCAUUUUGCUGAAGAACAAGCUGGAGGGGCAAGUUACUUCAAGAAUCUUCAAGUAGUUGAUCAAUCCAACACCUUAGUCCCUCCUGGUGAUAUCACUACCGUAGCUGAGAAGCCGAAUUGCUACAACAUAGUAUCUGGAAAGAGUGAUGAUGCCGGAGAUUACUUUUACUUUGGUGGACCAGGAAGAAAUCCUAAUUGUCCAUGACCAAAAGAUGCAGAAAUCUUGAUAUGCGAGAGGCAGAAUCUUGAUAUGCAUUUGAUCAUCUGAAUACAGAAAUUGAUUACAUUUCUUUAGUCAUUAAAUCAAAUUGUAGAAGGCAAACAAUGCCAAAGCAAUACACAUAUUCAGAAGCAAGAAAAAUCAAACUGUACUACUCUAUUAUCAUCAUAAUAUUUACCUGUAUGCCUGAAUAAAUAACCUUCUUAUUCUCAAGCUCCUCCUUCCCUUUCCAUGUCAUAUACGCCUAAGACGUAAAAUGAAACCAAAUAACGUCCAUGAUAAAAUGAUAGAGACUGGGGAAAUGAGAGUUACCAAUGGAGAACUAGAUUGUUUCCUUUAUUAAUUUUUGGUACUCAAUUGCUCGGUAUCCCUGAUUAUCCAAUAUGGUUCAAGGAAUUUUAUUCAAACUGAACCAUCACAUCCUGUCAUCAAGUCUUAGUGAGGAGGUAUUGUCCUUCAAAAAUUAAUAACCCCAUGCAGAUGUUCUUUCUUCUGGACUCAAAAAUCGAAUGUGAUAAAAUAAAUUUCUAAGUUGUUCAGUUUUUGUUGGAUUAACCAGUUUUUUUUUUCUCCACUUCCCGUCAUAUGAUAAUUCGACUUUUCUACUUGCAAAUAAACUUUUUAUAUUUAUCGAGAGAUUGUUGGAGCAAAUACGGCCAGUAACAUGUACAUGAAGGAUCCAUUGCUAUCCAAUUGAAAAUUUCUUCCUUAAAGAGAAAAAUGAUUCGUUAUAACCAAAAUCUUUUUUUUUCCACAUCUUUACAGGGGAAUGAAUAAACGAAUUGUUUAAGUUCCAUGUAUAGUAACUCAAAUUGGUUAAGUAACUUUAAGCUGCGCAGAUGAAGAUGAAUAAACGAAUGAACAAGGAUGAUAUCUGGCAAAAAGUUCCAUUGAAGUAUUAUUCAUUGUCUCUAAAGGUGCAAAGAACAUAGUUCAAUGGCAACACGGUAUACCUAUGCAAUUGAAAUGCAUACCUAAUUAGAGAUUAAAAAUCUUCUUUUACAUUACAUCAAGUCAAAGAUACGUAAUUGAAAUAGGAGGCAAAACUCGAGACAUGAAAGUAGAAUAUAAAAUGUCUCCCCCUAGUGAGGAAAAUAAUAAAUACCAAAUUAUACAUUCUUUGAUGAAAUUACUACAAAUGAACAGCAGUCCAACGGAUUAAGUUAUCAAUUCAAAAUAUAUCCCAUUGUCGUUUGCAGAAAUUGGAAAAAACAUUUGACAAUAAAUUUUUUUCAUUGUUCACUUUUGUAAUAGUAAAUUUACAUCCCUUAUAAAAUUAGGUCGAUAAAAGUUAGUUCCAACAUAGAUUUUUGACCAUUUUUUUUAUUUUAAAUGCAUGAUAGGGUAUUAUUUGUUAACAAUUUUAUUACUAAUUUUUCCUUUUAUUCCUACCAAAUAUUGUUUUAAUUGUUAAUAUUUACUUAUAUUUGGUAUUUGAAUUUAAUUUCAGAAAAUGGAGCAGAAAACUAAAAAAAAAAAGGGACUUAUUCCAUAAGUUGGAGACUUCAAAAAAAUCUCCAUCGACCUGACCCACAAGGAGAGAACAAAACUAAUUUCCUACCUUUGUGCUGAUAAGGAGAACUCAUACGAGAAGUCCUACUAUCAAUAGAACACAAUAAGCAAUUCGGCAGGCCCCACCUCUUUGUAUCUUUUUUCUCUUAGUCGGCUGGCUUUUCUUCUAGAGUUGGACUCUCAAUUUCUGUGGGGACACGGGACUAGAUAGCAUUAGUCAUCUUUGGCUUUAAAAAAGAAACGGACGUACAGAGAACUCUUAUCAAGAGUUUUUAGCUUAGCUUUUAGCAGAGUUUUAGUUUGAUUCUUUCUUGGUUCCUUUGAUGGCCUGGAUCUCAAUUAAAUUACGUGGAGAUUUUCUCAUGAGGCGUGACUAAGUUCAUCUAGUCGAAGGUCAAUUUGAGAACUCGGUUCCGAACAUCCGUGAGAUCUAAUUAUUUUAUUUAUUUCUUUUAUUUAUUGGUAUUUGUGCGUUUCCUGAUUUAAUUGCUUAUGCUAGUUAUGUUAUUUGAAUGUCAAGGGCCCGAUAUUCGAAUUAACUUAAUGAUCUAAUACCAAAUUAAUUGAUUGAAUCCAUAAUUGUUCAAUUGAUUAAUACCAGUGGCGACUAGCGUGAUUGGUUUCAUGUUAGGGAAACGUAUGAUCUAACUUAAACAAAUCCUCGUAGCGUAUUUGUUGGUUAGGGUUAGACUUUUCUAAUUAUUAAUGCAAUCGAGUAAUUAAAUCCUAUGGUCGUACCUAGGGUUAUUUCUUGGUUAGGGAAAUAGUUAACAGUCGUACCUUAACUAUCGAGAAAUUAAGGAAAGGCUGGUUAUUCAUCGCGUGUAUGACAACUAUAACCAAUCCAUUAAUGAAUAAUUGAAUUACCUUUGCAUCGAUGAUCAGUUGCAUGGGCCGUGUCUGAAAAGUUGUACCUUUGGUUAGAGUCAUAUUGGUUAUUGAUUAAUUUCUAUUUAUUUCUACUAGUUGUUUUAUUAGUUAGUUAAUUAGUUAUUUUAUAUUCUCCAAAAAUCCCCCAUACUUCGAACUUUAAAAGAAAUAAGUUAUCCCCAAUCCCUGCGGAUUCGAUCCUACUCACCGCUAUAUACAGAAUCUGUAUUUUUCUUGAGUAGGUAAUUAUUAUUGGACAGGCUCGACGACCUGUCAAUUUUUGGCGCCAUUGCCGGGAACUGGUGCCUGACUAAUUUGUUUCUUUUUGAGUUCAUCUUGAUUUUUUUUUCUUUCUCUUAUUUUUUUUAUAUAGUUUAUGGCUGCUAACAUUCCGUAUUUUGAUGAUAGACUGGACUUUAUUCCUGAAUGGGGUUAUGAGACGUGUUUUUCCUAAUGAUCAAUGGGCUGUUGCAAAUUGUGGAACUUAUUUUGCCUCAGGUUAUUCAACCGACACAUGCCCCGCAUUUUUAAGAUAAUCUAAGUGCUCCAAUUGAUACUUUUGGAGAUUUUUCACCUCGAUUUCAAACGUGGUAUGAUCCUUGAUCAAGGAUGGUGGGAUAAUUUCAAUUUUAAUUAUGCGACCGGGCCAAUGGAAUUUCAACAGCAAGAGUCUCAAAAACCAUCAUUCGUGUCAGGUAUGUCUCUUGAAGAAAUGAUUGAAUUACUAGCUGCUAAUACAUAUCGAUUUCAACAGGAGACACAAGCGAUGGCAGAUCAAGUGCAACUAUUGACAUCCGGGAUGACGGAUCAAGUGCAUCUAUUGGCAUUUAGGAUAACGCAAUUAGCUUCUUACGUGAGUGAAAAUUGCCCUCACAGACCAACAUCGACCUUGAAGAAGAUGAGAGUGCAAUUAUCCUAACAAGUGACAUGGAGCUACAAGAGUCUCAAGAAAAUGGAUCUAAAAAUGCAAUUGAAAAGGAAGUUGAAGUGCAAGAAGUGAGACCCCAGUAUCAACUCGUUCAAGUGAAUGAAUCUGGUGAACAAUCUCCAAAUGCGGUGACAUUUCCUCCAUUCCUUAAUCAAUAUUCUCCUAACUCUUAUUCUUCAAUUCCUGUUAAUGAAAUUGACUUUAUUAUACCAGAAAAUUUUGAAUUUCAUUACAGGAAUAAAUUAAGAGUGGUGAUGGCAAGAUAUCUUGGACCAAUAAAUGCACGUGAGGGGGAGUGAAUGGAGAAUGCAAAUUAUCGUUGAUCCGUUUGGCGCCAUUUACUAGUCCAUGGAAGCCCGUAACUCGUGUGCCCAAGGAUUACUCUAUUUACGAGGGCUAUCCGGACUAUAUAGAGGAUGAAACAUUAAAACGAGCCACAAGAUUUUAUCCUCCCUGAACAAACAUGACAAUGUCUAGCCAAAGACAUUAAACAAAUGCGCUCUUUUGGGAGGCAACCCAAAUAUUGGUUUUAUUGUUUUUAGUUGUUCAUUUCUUUCAUUUUGUCGUUUCUCCGUUGGGUAGUAUCAGUAUUAAUAUUUUCCUCCACAGUGACCAGGAAGUGCAAUUUUGGGGUGCCCACGCGGUGUUUGUGUCUCCUGAGAUCAGUGGACGUUUACCAAUCUUGGCGUGCCCACGCGGUGUUUGACGAUCCAAAACAUGAAUUAAAAAAAAAUUUAUUUUCCUUUUAAACCUUCAGUUUUGUGUUUUCUUCAAAAAUGCAAAUUUUGAAAAUUAAAUUCAAAAAAGAAUUAAAAAAAGUAAAUUAAUUCAAAAAAAUAUAUAGAAAAUUAUAUCUUCUUCUUGACCUUCAGUUUAGUUUUUUCUCAGCAAUUCAUUUUUUUUCUUGAAAUUUAAAUUUGAAAAAGAAAAACAAAAAAAAGGAAAAAAAUAGACCAAAAGCUAUUAUUUUUUUUCUCCUUUCUUUUUCUCUUUUCUUUCUUUUUUCUUUCCUUCUUUCUUUUCUUUCUUUUCUUUCCCUUUUCUCCCUCUUCUUCCCCGCUUCCCCUUUUCUCCUUUUCCUUUCUUCUUCGGCCGACACCUUCCUCCAUCGCCGCCGCCCAUCCUAUCUCCCUCUCUCCUCGUCACCAGCUCUCCUUCGCACACUGCCACCUUGGACCCCUCCGUCUCGAGCUAUCAGGCGCUGUCCACCACUGCUGCUUAGCUCACCUCGCACACCGCACGCCGCGAGCCACGACGGUCUUUCCCUCACGCACGACUUCAGCUUCAACUCCUCGAGCACCGUUAGCUCGCGCCACCACUCCAAGCUCCAAUCUCCAAUCUCCAAGCUCCCUCUCACCCACCGCACUUGCCCACCCUGGUGCCAGGUUUUUCAUUUAUUUGGUGGAACCCGUUAUUUCGAUUACUUGCUAUUGAUGAGGUUUGACUGAUAUUGGGGUGUUGUUCAGUGUUGUUUGGAUUUCUUAGUGGGUUGGGUUAGCCUAUUUGAAUUGGUAUUUGAGGGGACCUCUGACCGUAUUCUCCUCAUUCAAAUUGCUUGAAUCCAUUGCUUUGUUGAGGUCGUCUAUGGUAGCACUUGAGCUCUAUUUUGUUGCUUUCUGUCUUGAGACCAUUGCUGUGCCUUUGGUCGGGUUACUUCUGUUAUUGCUCUUAGUUGCUUUUAAUUGACUUGUUGGGGGCGUUUGCCACAAUUUAGGAUGCGCGUUUUGCGGCCAAUUACACCUUUGGAGGCAUUUACUGAGAAUUUGUGUGGAAAGGUUUGGUAUUUGUCUGCAUUUGCGGACAUCAUUGCUUAUUGAAUUGCUUUUGCUGGUGCUUACAAUAGUAGGGCUUCCUGUGAUUAUUGAUUAUUUUGUUGCAUUGUUGGGAGCCGUGUUCUGAUAGUGUGGGCAACUACUUUCUGCGGUUGUUUGUUGAUUUGGGAAGCUACUGUGACACUUCCGUUGCCUAUUGCUCAUUUGUUGCAUGUAAUUGACUUGCUUGGAGUAAUCUGCCCAUCAAUUUUAAUUACUCAAGUCUUUGGAGCAGUUGUUGCACAUUCGGAUUGCUUUGUUUCUACAUCUGACUGAAUUGGGACCACAAGUGCUUAUCAAUUGCAUUUGCUAUAAGUGUUGGGGUAUUUGUAUGUCCUCUGGGUGAUUGAAUUGUGCAUUUUGUUCGUUGGGUUGGCUUUAAAAUUGUUAUUGUUUUGAAUUUUCGGCUUCCAUUAUUUGUUGGCAAUUGUAGUCUCUUGUUGCUUAAAGUGAUAUCUAGAGUCCAUGGUGAAGCCACGAAUGGCACCAGCUCCAGAUGCGAGUUGAUCCACAAUUUCCACCUGAACCGCCCCUAUUUUGAUGACUUCAGGGAAGUACCGUUGCCCCUCUCCUUCCUUCUGCUUUUACAUUAUCACAUUAAGGGCAAUGUUUGAAUUAGGUGUGGGGGGGGGAUCGUUGUGGUGCUAGUAUUUUUGUUUUUAGUUUCUAGGGGCUUUUCCUUUAUUUUUAGUUAGUUUUUACCUAUCUUUCAUUUAUUUUCUUUUCUUUUUCUUUCUAGUGAUCAGUUUUUAUAUGAAUACCAAGUUUUGAUGCUGGAUUGUUGUCUCUAAUUCUGCUAUUGCCAAGUUUUAGUAAUAAAAGGGUAUCAAGUUGAUGUGGUUGAGUUCAGGAACAUCUCUUUGGUGAAUAUCAAUAAUUGCUUAACUUUUCCAAUUUUUGGUUAACUUUUCUAGGUAUAGGGAAUGAUUAUUGGCAUUUUUCAUGUGAAUUGGUCCAAUUAUUAAUUUUAGUUCUCAAUUUUUGGAAAUUUGAGGCUGGCUGCUGUUAUUUUUGUGUUAUUUUUAGUUAUUGUGCUAUAUGGUUGUAAAUAAGAGUUGACUGUACUCCGCUAGUUAUUACUACUGGGUAACCAGGGAUCUUCACCUAAAGUGUCGAUUCUCGCGUCAAAAGGUAAUAAUUACUAUGAGUGCGUGGUCGCAUAGCGAUCGAAGCUGAGUAACCGGGCUCCUCCAUCUGGCAAAUGUUGGAGUUCGCGUCAAAAGGCUCUAAUGGCUAGAGAUUAAGUCUUUUGCUAUUCUGAAAAAAAAAGAAAAAAAAAGGAGAAAAAUAGAAAAACGUGAUAAAAAGGGUGAGGGUUGUGUAAGUGUGUGUCUAAAGUUAGCCGUCUGAUCUAUGGAUUUUAUGUUGAGAAUUUGGUUAAUAGUUGGACCAUUUGCUGAUAAAUGUUGAUCGACCAUUUUUUUUUCUUAGAAUAGUUACCCAUAAAUUAGAAGAGUCUGCGGUUUGGAAACUAACCGAGGUGAUGUCUCUUGGAUUUUGACAAUUGAUGCUUGAUAUGUGUUUUCAUGGUAUCUUGGCAAUAUGGUAGUUGGAGCAAUGGCCAUUGUCGAAUUUUUGGUGUUCAAUUGUUGUUCCCAUACUUGAGGGCGAUUCAGGUGUGGGGGAAAUUGAUAGGGUAUUAUUUGUUAGCAAUUUUAUUACUAAUUUUUCCUUUUAUUCCUGCCAAAUAUUGUUUUAAUUGUUAAUAUUUACUUAUAUUUGGUAUUUGAAUUUAAUUUCAGGAAAUGAGGCAGAAAACUACAAAAAGGAGGGACUUAUUCCAUAAGUUGGAGACUUCAAAAAAAUCUCCAUCGACCUGGCCCACAAGGAGAGAACAAAACUAAUUUCCUACCUUUGUGCUGACGAGGAGAACUCAUACGAGAAGUCCUACUAUCAAUAGAACACAAUAAGCAAUUCGGCAGGCCCCACCUCUUUGUAUCUUUUUUCUCUUAGUCGGCUGGCUUUUCUUCUAGAGUUGGACUCUCAAUUUCUGCGGGGACCACGGGACUAGAUAGCAUUAGUCAUCUUUGGCUUUAAAAAAGAAACGGACGUCCAAAGAACUCUUAUCAAGAGUUUUUAGCUUAGCUUUUAGCAGAGUUUUAGUUUGAUUCUUCCUUGGUUCCUUUGAUAGCCUGGACCUCAAUUAAAUUACGUGGAGAUUUUCUCAUGAGGCGUGGCUAAGUUCAUCUAGUCGAAGGUCAAUUUGAAAACUCGGUUCCGAACAUCUGUGAGAUCUAAUUAUUUUACUUAUUUCUUUUAUUUAUUGGUAUUUGUGCGUUUCCUGAUUUAA